rnacentral:lncRNA from 1 species
UUAUUGAAUAUUAAAAUAACAUAGUUGAUUUCUAAAACAUACAAAAAUUAUUAUCUCAUCAACGCAUAAUUAUUUUGAGAACCAUAAGGUUGAGAUUUAUCCACCCAAAAACUAUUGUGUUGUUGUUGCUGGUGUGCAAUUAAUCUUGCAGGGACAGUUGAUGAAGCAUUCUCCAAGAUCUGGCCAGCACAAGUUAUCUAUUUGACAGCAGAAUUCCCGUCCUGGGAGCUGGUGCCCAUCUUUAUAACAAGGGGGUCUAGUUACAUGGCUUACUUUGCUCAUCAUGUUUCUCCCCUUGUUGUUUAUGAUUUCACCUAAUUAACAUAAAAUAAAGAAUAUACUUAUCAUCUCAUCAUAUAAACAAUAAAAGUCCACAAUAUCAAUACCACCAAAAAAUCGAGUUGUUAAUUACCAUAUGUGCCUCCAAGACAAGUCAAACACACCACAAGAAGAAAAGAAAGUAGCACAAGUCCUUGCACAUUGUUCCUCGUGAACUUGGUCAUCGUCACUAAGGAAUAGAGGCUAUUAAUGGGUGGUACUCUUGUAAGUGGAGUUGAUGAGUGUAUGACCGUGAAAUGCUUGCUCCAUGAAUGGUUCAUAUAUAUAUAGGAAAAGCUUCUCCGUGUUGAUGUGUGAAGUUAUAGAAAAUAUUAAUGCUUGGAGUUAUGGCUUGUGUGAAUUUCCAAUUUUAGUUUCACUUCUAAAGAUUCAUGGUUCCUUCUAGAGUUUUUUUCUCAAAUUUAUGCUUUGUCAUAGCAUGUAAGUUACUUUAAUGCCCCCUCUAGAAUUGAUCGCUCAUUGUUUUCAAGGGGUAGAAUUGACCUCUUAGAAUGGGUAGUAAAAAAUGGGUGCAUGGCAAUAUUAUGUUUAAGGCAUUGAUAAUAAUUGGUAUAAUAUCAAUAAUUCCUAUAUAUAUGAUGCCUUAUCAAUAAAAUUAUUAAUUUCUGUCUUGGUAUAAGAGAACAGAGUUUAAAAUUCAACAAGACUCAUCCACUUAACAUUGGACUUGAUUUUUAAUGUAUGUAAGCAAUUGUUCUUAAGUAUAUCAACAAGUUACAGAUACAUUUUUUUUUACUUUUAUUCCAUGAACAUAGAUUAAUUAUGGGAUGGCCAUUUUAUAAAUAUAAGAUGAUGAUUUAUUUUCAUAUACAUGAACAUUUUAUAUCAAGGUACUUGAGCAUUUUUUACAUAUUUCUAUACACAAAAUUUUCUCCAAUAUUAAGUCGAUUUUUUUAAAUAGAUUAGUUUCCCCAAAACUUUCUUUAUUAAAAUGUCGCACUUGCCCAGCUAGGGAAAAUUUUGUUAGGCAGAGCUGCCCAAUUCUCGGAACUCCCUAUAAGUUCCUCCUUGCCGCUACCAACCUCCCCUUCAGACAGCGCAUGCCUGGCUGGUCCGACCUAUUGACGACACGAAUGGACACCACCGAGUGGGAGAGUAGGCGUUGAGCCAAUCCACUUUAGCAACAAUUUUUUCAUUUUUGGAAAAUAUCUUUGCAAAAUGAACAAGCAUUGAUAAAUGUGAAGUUUUUUUUGAACAUAUUCUAAAAUUUAAAAUUUCUUAAAACCCCAAUUAUGUUUGGAAUUUCAUACAUUCUUCUGAACAAAUAAACACUUUUGGAAAUACUUAACAUUAUUUGAAAACUAAGACCUUUUCUUGGAGAACCAACAAUUUUAUGAAAAACGUGUUAGUUUUAUAAUUUGUAGAAUGUUUUUCAAAGUUAUGAUCUUUAAGAACACAAACAAUUUUUGAAAUUUCAAACAAAAUAUGAGAAUCGGAACAUUUCCCGAAAACUUGAAUAUUUUCUAAAUUUCAAAUUUUUACACAUUUUUAAAAAAGGAGACUUUUUGAUAAAGAUAAUAAGAAAAAUAAAACAAUGGAAAAACAAAUAAGAAAAACUGUAACAUCCUAAUUUUCAAUUUGGAUGUUAUACAUAGAUCAGCAGAUGCAUAUCCUAUUUAUUCUUUCUUUUGGUUGAGAUCCUAGAGAUCUUAAGCAACUCAAGGACCCAAGGAGAGAGUUGGAGGUUUCACAAAAUUCAUAUUUGAAUUUAUUUCAAAUUUGAGGGAAGGAUCAAUUUGAUUUUAUUAUUUUUCUCUCUAAUUUUUUCCAAUAAUAAAAAUACAUGCGAGAAGAUAAUAUGACUUCUUCAACCUAAGAUAAAUAUUGGAGAAAGAAGUUUAAAAUCAAAUUAUGAUUUUAUUAGAAUUUUAUUAGAAUUAGAAAAAUAUUGCAUUUUUUAAAAUUGGAUCUUUGUCCAGAAAAAUGUUUAUCUUGUCCUAAAUAUAUGGUUUGGACGGUGAAAAUUAUUUCUGGAAUUUUUAGAUUUUUCUUUAUAAUUUAUUAGGAUUUUUCUUUCGGGCGAAAUUUAUUUUUUUAAAAAAGUUAUUUCCGCCCGAAUGGGCCGAAGGCCCAGCCGAGCCGGCCCAGAAGCUGCGCCGCCACCAUCCCCGCGCGGUAGUCUGCCCCGCUGCCGCCAGCGUGCCGCCGGCCAAGUCCGAGGUGGGCACACCUCCCGAGGCCAGCCCCUUCCCCAAGACGAGGUCGAGCCCCAUCCUUAAAUAGCGCGUCGUCCCACCACCUCUCCUUCACACCGCCACCGCCUCCCACCACCAGCAGCAGCAAUAGCCCCGCGCCGCCGCCGCCGCACCGCUUUCUGCCGCCUGUGACGCUCCCGAUUCAAUCGUACACUAAUCAUACAUGCAAAUAUGUACGAUCAAGAUUAGGGACUCACGGGAAGAUAUCACAACACAACUCUAAAAAUAAAAUAAGUCAUACAAGCAUCAUAAUACAAGCCAGGGGCCUCGAGUGCUCGAAUACAACUGCUCGAUCAUAGACGAGUCAGCGGAAGCAACAAUAUCUGAGUACAGACAUAAGUUAAACAAGCUUGCCUUAAGAAGGCUAGCACAAACUGGGAUACAGAUCGAAAGAGGCGCAGGCCUCCUACCUGGGAUCCUCCUAAACUACUCCUAGUCGUCGUCAGCGGCCUGCACGCAGUAGUAGGCAUCUCCAGUGUCGUAGGAGUUGUCGUCGGUGGCGUAUGGCUCCUGGGAUCCAACGUCUUCUUGCAGCAUCCGAGAAGAAGAGGAAAACGGGGGAAAAGAGGGAGCAAAGCAACCGUGAGUACUCAUCCAAAGUACUCGCAAGCAAGGAGCUACACUACAUAUGCAUGGGUAUAUGUGUAAGGAGGCAAUAUCAGUGGAAUGAACUGCAGAAUGCCAGAAUAAGAGGGGUAUAGCUAGUCCUAUCGAAGACUACGCUUCUGGCAGCCUCCGCCUUGCAGCAUGUAGAAGAGAGUAGAUUGAAGUCCUCCAAGUAGCAUCGCAUAGCAUACUCCUACCCGGCGAUCCUCCCCUCGUCGCCCUAUGGGAAAGCGAUCACCGGGAUGUCUCUGGAACUUGUAUGGAUGUGUUUUAUUAAGUAUCCAGUUCUAGUUGUCAUAAGGUCAAGGUACAACUCCAAGUCGUCUUGUUACCGAAGAUCACGGCUAUUCGAAUAGAUUAACUUCCCUGCAGGGGUGCACCACAUUUCCCAACACGCUCGAUACCCUUUGGCCGGACACACUUUCCUAGGUCACGCCCGGCCUAGGAAGAUCAACACAUCGUAGACCCACCUAGGCACAACAGAGAGGUCAGCAGACCGGUCUAACUCCUAUGGCACAGGGGUUUGGGCCCAUCGCCCAUUGCACACUUGCACGUUGCGAGGGCGGCCGGAAGUAGACUAGCCCCCUUAAUACAAGUGCAUGCUUACGGUCCAAUCCGGCGCGCGCCGAUCAGUCGCUGAUGUCAAGAAGGCUUCGGCUGAUACCACGACGUUCGAGUGCCCAUAACUGUUCCCGCGUAGUUGGUUAGUGCGUAUAGGCUAGUGGCCAGACUCAGAUAAAAUACCAAGAUCUCGUUAAGCAUGUUAUUAUGAAGUAACCCUGAACGCCGACCAGGGCCAGGCCCACCUCUCUCCUAGGUGGCGUCAAACUGCCCUGUCGCUCCACCACAAAGAUCCACACACAGGGCCGUCGGGAAAGUAUGUCCUUUCAGCCCCCAAUUCAAACAACUGCGGGUACUCAACGAGCCGACACGACUUUAGUCACCAUUUGUAUAGCAUGUAUAUAUGUAUAGUAUGAACCCGUGAUCACCUCCCGAGUGACCACGACCUGAUAGUAUAGCAAGGCAGACUGACAAGAAUGUAGGGCCACAGAUGAUAAACUCGCAUCCUAUACUAAGUAUUUAGGAUUGCAAGUAAGGUAUCAACAGAUGUAGCAACAAUGACAGGCUAUGCAUCAGAAUAGGAUUAACGGAAAGUAGAAACAUGCUACACUACUCUAAUGCAAGCAGUAUAGAGGAGAGUAUGCGAUAUCUGGUGAUCAAGGGGGGGGCUUGCCUGGUUGCUCUGGCAAGAAGGAGGGGUCGUCAACUCCGUAGUCGUACUGGGUGCUAGUGUAAGAAACAAUUAAUAUAGUGAAAACAUAAGCAUGACAAUGUAAGAUAUGAAAAUGAGCAGUGCUAGGUGUGCCCUAACGAGGUAGUAGGCGAUACCGGCGAAAGGGGGAAACAUCCGGGAAAGUAUCGUCGGUGUUUCGCAUUACUGCAUCAGCAUGACGUCAGCAUGACAUCAUCAGUCAACAAAGGUAUUGACUAGGUCAAGCUGACGUGUGGGUCCCAUCUGCCAUUGACACAUUGCCCUAACUAACAAACUAGUUAGUUUAAUUAAAUAUUUAGGUUAAUUAAGUUUAGUUAUUUUAACUAAACAUGAUAAAUUAAGUUAAUUAAUUAGUUAAUUAAUUAAUUACCAAUUUUAUUAUUAUUAUUAUUUUAUCUUAUUAUUAUUAUUAUUUAAACGUUCUGGGGUGGGGCCCCCUUGUCAUAGGCCCCUGGGGACCUAGUGGAGUGUGUUAACGGGCGCCGGGGCGCGGCGGGCGUGCGCCCGAGUCCACCAUGGAAGGGGACUCCGACCAGGGGAGGGGGCGCCGCCGUGGCGGCUAGCGCCGGCUGUGGCGGAGCGGCGUGGGACCGAUGGGGCGUAGGCGAUGCACGUGACAGCGCGCGCGAGCUGCAGUGGUGGAGGUGGUGGCGGGGUCGCACGGGUGGAGCAAAGGCGCGACAGCCGGAGCGGAGUAGUGCAGCGAGCAGCACUGCUCGUGGCGUCGCGCGGGCACAGUAAGCACGGGAGGCGGGCCGACGCGGGACCAGGCAUAGCAGCAGCGGCGCAGGGCGCGGCGAGCGCCCGUUGCGCGCGUGCUUCAGUGCGGGUAGGCGUAGCCACGGCGGCGUGAGCCACGGCGGGAAGAAGGAACACGGGAGGGGGCGCAGUAGCAGCAGGCGAGCCGGGCGUGCACGGGGCGACGAUGGGCAGCGACAGCGAGCGCGGUGGGGCGGUGCGCUUGCGUGCGUGCACGAUGGACGAGCGGCCGGAGCGAACAACGAGUGCUGGGAGAGGAGGAGAGGCCGGGGGCCUCACCGCGGUUGUAGGGUCUUAGGCAGCGAGGCGUGGGGAGGACGACGGGGACGACGUGCGGUGGGGCGACGAGGUCCGGCGGUAGGGUGGACGUAGGCGAUGGCGUCCGACGAGGUGGCGGCGCGGUGGCUCCGGCGACUGCGUCGGGGUGCCGUGGGCGCCCAGAUCUAGAACGGGGAGGAGGAGGUCGAGGACGGGGCGUCAGGGCGUCGAGCGACACCGGCAAGGGGCGACGGAGUCCGGGACGAUGGGGUUGGGGCGGUUGCCCCGAUCCAGAAACCGGGAGGGGAGUGGGGGAGCGAGCGAGUGUGGGGUGAGUGGAAUCCUGGUACCUAGGGUUUCAGGCGAUAGGAGGAUAUGGAGAGUGGGGUGGGCCGGUCGGGCCAGGGUGGGAGUUGGGUCGGGUGACCCAGUUGGCCUGGGGCUUUCCCCCUCUUUUUACUUUAUUAAUUUUUUGUUAUUCUCCUUUUUUUAUUCUUUUCCAUUUUCUAUUUUAUUUAUUUUAGAGCAUCAUAGCAUUUUCUAAAUAUGGGUUUUCUUCACUAUAAUUACCUAUGUAAUAUUUGGCACAAUCUGGACAUUUUAGUUUCAUUGUUUGAAAACCUUUUUGUUUGCCUGAUUUUUAAUUUGAAUUUGAAUCGGUUUCGAACUAACGCGAGAUUAGUAACAGUAAUCAAGGUGACGUGGCAUCAUUAGCAGAGGUUCAAUGUAGCUUAAGUAUCCAGGUGUCACAAUUCUCCAACACUACAAGAAAUCUCGUCCUGAGAUUUAAGCGGUGUAUUAAGGGGGGAGGUGCUGGUAGCGAAAAAGCUAAAGAGUCUUCUCGGUCUUGGCUGCCCUUUCGAAGAGGUUGAUCCCUUUCGUUGAUGUCUUCAUGUCUCUGCUUCAAGUCACCAUGACCAAGUCAUCAUCCUUUCAUCGGUAUCUCCAUCGUCCUACAAACGCAACCAAGGGGAAAACUCCGGAAGAACGCAUCUCCGCAAAGUUGGGCAUCUGGCGGUGAACUCAAUGGGAAAUACACAAGGUACCCCACGAGUUGUAUUUCAAUGAAUUCGUUGAGUGCAAUACACGAUGGUACCAAAGUUUCAAACGGGUAGGCAAUCAUUCAAUGACUAGACAUAAGUUGGAAUGGGGGUUUGAACAAUGAGAAUAACAUGGCAUUUGAUUCCAGGAGGAAUAAUGGUAUAGCAUUUAGCUCGUGAAUCACAUACGAAGCCAGGUGCAAAGGAUACAUUAGAAUCGGGUUGUAAAGAAGAGUCAGGUUUCGAUCCAGUGGACCUGUGGGUUAUGGGCCCACCAUGUGGGUUGACAGUAGGAAGGGUGGUGACAUCUUGCACAGCCGCAACAGGGAGGCAUGUCAGGGCAACAAUUGUCAGUAACAAGGACGGGGAACGAAGAGAGCAAUUUUCCUGCUUGUAGAACAGGUGAACCAAUUGGCAAAGUUAUCACCCAUCGGUGGUUACCGGAAUGUCAUCAACAAUAGUAACAUGGUCUUACAAACAGAGUGGUACAACAAGUUGCCUACCUAAGCAGGGAAUUAUCUCUGCUCAGUUAAGUCAGAUUUAGGAAAGGUUAAACAAAAGAAUGGAAAGGAAAACGCGAUUAUCAGAUUAAACGGAACAAUGGAAAGGAAAAUUGUGAUUACACACAAUUAUUAGGAGUAUAUCCUUCCCAUGUACAAGCAGAACAUGGAUUACAGGAUAGGAGAGCAAGUACCCAACCAUUCAGAUAACGGGCAAGGAUUAAUCAAGAUGUUACCCAUACAACAUCGUUUGGAUAACUGACCAACAAACAUUUAGCAUCGCGCCUACAAUGUUCUUGUUGAUGAGCGGGGUAUCAUAGUCAUGCUUCGAGGUAGCAAUGAUAUGGGGUUCCAAUCAAGGCCAGACUUUGGAUACACAAAUGAUCCAUCAGGAGCAACUUAUAAAAUAAGUCCUACAAUUUCCUCCAGGAAGAAUGGUUAUCCUUGCAAAAGAAAUUAUAAUGAUAGGUCCUCCAGCCAGGGGUGCUAGGCAUGACAUCAUACUACCUGGUCAUCUAAGGACCAACAUCAUAACUCCUGGAAAGUUGUCCUAACCAUAAUAUCUGACCGAGAUUCCGAUCCGAUUGGUGUCAUGAUACCUUAGACUCAGGAUGUCCGAGAAGAAAAGGUGCGACACAAAUUGAUGAAAUGACAUUGCAAGAUUCUCAGGAAAUGAACUAUGGGAGUGGGUUCCUGAAACAAUAGUUCAUCAUUAAACCAAGGAGGGGAUGAGGAGGUUGCUGAUGGGCUCAGCGACAAUUCAACGAGAAUUCCAAACGGAUGGAUUUCCACACUUAUGUGAACAAGAAGAUGACACUUGCUAAUUCAAAUGAUAUAAUGUUGUAUGCUCGAGGAAAACAUACACCAUCAAGCAUUAGUUGUAAGGUGUGCCCGAAAUAUGACCUUAGGCAGCAGGAUCAAUGUUAGAGUGAUGAUUCAAUGACCAACAGUCUAAGAAUGAACUGUUGAUCAUUAACUUCAAAGCAAUAGGGUUGCUAGAAAUACGGAACUCAAGCAGCAUCGUUGGCAUAUCGGUAUCCCGGUUAAAAACAACACGGGGACCAAGGAAGAAUGGUGAUGGUGGGAAGUAUUAUCAUACCGAGAAUUUCUAAGAGGUGGAGCAAUCCACACAACAUCCUCGACAGAAAAGACAGUAAUACUUCAAGGCAGAACACAACACUAGUUGGACAUCAAGUUGUAUUCAUAAUAUGGACAAGUUCGCGAUGAAAGGAAGUCAAGGGUUUUGUCGAUGAUAAUAAAAAUCAUCGAGGGCAAGGAGGGAAUUUCUCAUCAUGAACACAGUUGGCAUCUCAGAAGACGUCAAAGUGUUGAAGGUGAUCCGACACAUUUGCCGGGAGAUUUCUAGAGGAUGAAAUCAAACAACAAUGGCAACAAGCGAGGGAAUGACGAAGUGGCAAGUUAUAGGAUCAAUAUAUAAGAUGCAAGCUCGGGACCAAAUUGCCUUUCAAGACAAGCAACAUGAUGUUGAAAGCUCGACAUAAGUCGUGCUCACACACUGCAGAUUCGUGCACCAGAGUAGGACGAGUUAGCAUCGUCAAAGGUAGCAAGACCUGGAUGCAACCGAUAGUCUAGGAAUGACCAGAUUUAGUUCAGAAUUUCCUAGUAAAAAUACUAGGGGUAUUUGAUUUGUAGUGCGGAAUAAUUUCAGUAGUCGGUGUCCUCGGUUGACAACAACCCAGAACCCGUAGAGUGAUUACGACAAGGAAAGACAUUACUUCAACAAAGUUAGUAAGAUGUGGUGCAAUGGCAAGACAUCUCCGAGAUACCAGGGGGUAAUACUCGAAGGUAGAACAAGAUAGAAGUAGAACCGGGUCAUUGACCUAUGACAUUAGAUACUUCAACCUUGACAAAAAUAGACGAGGCACUGGAAUGAAUUCCCAUCAGAUAUAUCAGAUCAGCACAACAUGGUCAGAACCAUAACUGUAAGGAAUCAAUUUCAAGAAUACCGAAAGAAUCAUACAGCUAGAUAAUAAUUUUGCAAGAAGCUUCUCAGACGGUCUACAUCAUUUUCAUGGGCAUGAACACAAAGUUCAGGGUCGACUCCCACUUCUUUAAUGCAUAUCAUCUCAUUCACCUUUUGCUUUGAUAUAACUGUAGUGUUGAAAGUUUAUCUGGUAGAAAACCGGAAGUGUAUGACUUGUGAAAACUUUCGAGUUCUCACGAAUUAGGGGAAGGCAUAGGUUCAACCCAUCGGGCAACUUAGUAACCUAUACCACAAGUUUCAAAACUAAAUACACAAGCUCGAAAGCAGAGCAUGGUUGGCCAAGUAGAGGAUACAAUUUACCAAAGGCACUAUGUAUCAGGGAAAGAACUCACAUGGUGAUUGAAUAUGAAGGACACUGUCGGAUAAAAAUCCAACAAUGGAUAGGGCGAUCCACAACGGAUCUGAUGUGAGUAUCGGUACUCACUCGGAGGAAGAAAGAAUGCAGAGGCAUCAGAUUCAAGAAUCACCUGAUUAGUCUGAUGCUUAAAUAGAAAGAAAUUAUGGUUUCCAAAAUGAAGGAUCAGAAGCAGAUGCUCUGAUCAAGAAUGGAUAAGUUGAAAACACCUAGUUGGACAAUCAAUGAAGGUUUGAAUUGCCGAGAACCAACUCAUGUCCGGAAUGACGUCUGAGCCGGAAAGAGAAUCUUAAAAAGGAUAACAUGAUGAUUGCGUGUGUACGCACACAUUGAAUCAAUAGGCUCAAAAUGACUAAGACAAGGGAUGUUAACGAGGACUACUAUUUAUAUGGAAUUACCCAUAAUGCAAGCAGGCAAGCGUUUCAAGAGUAACAGGCUGCAGAGGAUUUUUGAAAGAUCGAAAAGUAUUCCGAAGAAUCAUGUGAGACACAUGAAAAAUUGAGAAGAAUGGAUCCUUGAUAAAUGUGAGGAAAAACCCGUAAUAGUUUUCACGCGAAAUAAAACUGCAAGACAGUAAACUCAAAGGAUUUUCGGGACAACGACGAAUAUUUCGAGGCAUCAUGUAACAACAAGAGCGGCGAGGAAUGAUCAAGAGAAAGACAAGUGCAUACAGAUAUCCAUAGGGAUAUAUCGGUGACAGUGGAUUGCAAAGGUGAUGAGCACAAGGGUCUCGAGAAAAUAUCAAGGGAUAUCUUCAGAAUCUUCUGAUGCAAUAAGCAAUCAUCUGGAGUGAGGGAUCUCCGGGAGGAAGUAGUUACGAGAACCUAGAGUCGGCGUUAGUAAAAUCACUUAACCCGAAUAGAGGAGAGAUCAGUGUCCCAGAGUAAAGGUCGAGGAGUAAAAGAUCCUAAUACCACCCAAUGGCGAUGUGGGCCCGUAAGCCACACACCCAAGUUAGUAAAAUACUUUUCGGCUUCUAGACUCAACUUCGGCCAAGGAGUUGGAAAGGGGAUUCCUACAGGCAGUCGGCUCUGAUACCAACUUGUGACGCUGCCGAUUCAAUCGUACACUAAUCAUACAUGCAAAUGUGUACGAUCAAGAUCAGGGACUCACGGGAAGAUAUCACAACACAACUCUAAAAAUAAAAUAAGUCAUACAAGCAUCAUAAUACAAGCCAGGGGCCUCGAGGGCUCGAAUACAAGUGCUCGAUCAUACAAGAGUCAGCGGAAGCAAAAAUAUCUGAGUACAGACAUAAGUUAAACAAGCUUGCCUUAAGAAGGCUAGCACAAACUGGGAUACGAAUCGGAAGUGGCGCAUGCCUCCUGCCUGGGAUCCUCCUAAACUACUCCUGGUCGUCGUCAGCGGCCUGCACGCAAUAGUAGGCACCUCCAGUGUUGUAGGAUUCAUCGUCGCCGAUGUUGCCUGGCUCCUGGGAUCGAACAUCUGGUUGCGGCAUCCGAGAAGAAGAGGAAAAUGGGGGAAAAGAGGAGCAAAGCAACCGUGAGUACUCAUCCAAAGUACUCGCAAGAAAGGAGCUACACUACAUAUGCAUGGGUAUAUGUGUAAGGAGGCAAUAUCAGUGAACUGAACUGCAGAAUGCCAGAAUAAGAUGGGGAUAGCUAGUCCUAUCAAAGACUACGCUUCUGGCAGCCUCCGUCUUGCAUCAUUUAGAAGAGAGUAGAUUGAAGUAUCAUCGCAUAGCCUAAUCCUACCCGGCGAUCCUCCCCUCGUCGCCCGGUGGGAAAGCAAUCUCCAGGAUGUCUGUGGAACUUGUCUGGCUGUGUUUUAUUGAGUAUCCGGUUCUAGUUGUCAUAAGGUCAAGGUACAACUCCCAGUCGUCCUGUUGAAAAUCACGUCUAUUCAAAUAGAUUAACUUCCCUGCAGGGGUGCACCACAUUUCCCAACACGCUCGAUCCCCUUUGGCCGGACACACUUUCCUGGGUCAUUCCCGGCCUCGGAAGAUCAACACGUCGCAGCCCCACCUAGGCACAACAAAGAGGUCAGCACGCCGGUCUAACUCCUAUGGUGCAGGGGUAUGUGCCCAUCACCCGUUGCACACCUGCAUGUUGCGAGGGUGGCCGGAAGCAGACCUAGCCCCCUUAAUACAAGUGUAGGCUUACGGUCCAAUCCGGCGCGUGCCGCUUAGUCGCGGAUGUCAAGAAGGCUUCGGCUGAUACCACGACGUCGAGUGCCCAUAACUGUUCCUGCGUAGUUGGUUAGUGUGUAUAGGCCAGUGGCCAGACUCAGAUCAAAUACCAAGAUCUCGUUAAGCAUGUUACUAUGAAGUAACCGCGAACGCCGACCAGGGCCAGGCCCACCUCUCUCCUAGGUAGCCUCAAACUGCACUCUCACUCUGCCACAAAGAUCCACACAGAGGGUCGUCAGGAAAGUAUGUCCUUUCAGCCCCAAUUCGUGAAUCAGCCGCGGGUACUCAACAAGCCGACCCGACUUUAGUCACCAUCUGUAUAGCAUGUAUAUAUGUAUAGUAUAAACCCGUGAUCACCUCCCGAGUGACCACGACCCGAUAGUAUAGCAAGGCAGACUGACAAGAAUGUAGGGCCACAGAUGAUAAACUAGCAUCCUAUAUACUAAGUAUUUAGGAUUGCAGGUAAGGUAUCAACAAAUGUAGCAACAAUGACAGGCUAUGCAUCAGAAUAGUAUUAAUGGAAAGUGGCAACAUGCUACACUACUCUAAUGCAAGCAGUAUAGAGGAGAAUAGGCGAUAUCUGGUGAUCAAGGGGGGGGGCUAGCCUGGUUGCUCUGGCAAGGAGGAGGGGUCGUCAACUCCGUAGUCGUAAUGGGUAGCAGCGGCGUCGGUCUCGUAGUCUACCGGAGAGAAGAGAGGGGAGAAACAAUGAAUACAGUGCAAACAUAAGCAUGACGAUGUAAGACAUGACAAUGAGCAGUGCUAGGUGUGCCCUAAUGAGGUAGUAGGUGAUACCGGCGAAAGGGGGAACAUCCGGGAAAGUAUCCCCGGUGUUUCGCGUUUUCGGACAAAUGAACCGGAGGUGAAAUGUUGCAAAUUUGCUAUGCUAGGGAUGCAUGGCGGACUAACGGGCUAUGUAUUCGGAUUCAUCUCGUUGUUCUGAGCAACUUUCAUGUACAGAGUUUUUCCAUCUGAGUUACGAACUAUUUAAUAUUAAUUUUUAAAGAUUUAAAUCAAUUUAAAAUUAUUAGUAUUAAUUAAAUUCAAAAAUGACAUUAUUGCAUCAGCAUGAUGUCAACAUGACGUCAUCAGUUAACAGAGGUGUUGACUAGGUCAAGCUGACGUGUGGGUCUUAUCUGCCAUUGACUCAUUGCCCUAACUAACAAACUAGUUAGUUUAAUUAAAUAUUUAGGUUAAUUAAGUUUAGUUAGUUUAACUAAACAGGAUAAAUUAAGUUAAUUAAUUAAUUAGUUAGUUAGUUAUUUAAUUAAAUAAUUUUAUUAUAAUUUUUUAUAUUAUUAUUAUUAUUUUAAACAUUCUGGGGUGGGGCCCCCUUGUCAUAAGCCCCUCGGGACCUAGUCGAGUGCGUUAACGAGCGCUGGGGCGCUGCGGGCGUGCACCCGAGUCCACCAUGGAAGGGGACUCCGGCCAGGGGAGGGGGUGCGGCCGCGGCGGCUGGCGCCGGCUGUGGCGAAGCGGCGUGGGAGCGAUGGGGAGUAAACGAUGCACGCGACGGCGCGCACGAGCUCUAGCGGUGGAGGUGGUGGCGGGGUCUCGCGGGCGGAGCAAGGGCGCGGCAGUCGGAGCGUAGUAGUGCUGCGAGCAGCACUGCUCGUGGCGUCCCGCUGGCACAGUAAGCACGGAGGCGGGCCGACGCGGGGCCAGGCAGAGCAUCGGCGGCGCGGGGCGUGACUAGCGCCCGUUAUGCGCGUGCUUCGGUGUGGGUAGGCGUAGCCACGGCGGCGUGAGCCAUGUCUGGGAGAAGGGACAGGGGAGGGGGUGCAGUAGCAGCUAUCGAGUGGGGCGAUGAUUGGCAGUAACAGUGAGCGCGGUAGGGCGGUGUGCGUGCGUGCGUGCACGAUGGACGUGUGGCCGGAGCGAACGAUGAGUGUGGGGAGAAGAGGAGAGGCCGAGGGCCUCACCGGGGUUGUAGGGUCUUAGGCAGCGGGCAUGGGGAGGACGACGGGGACGACGUCCGGCGGGGCGACGAGGUCCGGCGGCGGGGUGGACGUAGGCGAUGGCGUCCGGCGAGGUGGCGGCGCGGUGGCUCCGGCGACAACGUCGUGGCACCGUGGGCGCCCAGAUCCAGAACGGGGAGGAGGAUGUCGAGGACGGGGUGUCAGGGCAUCGAGCGACACCGGCAAGGGGCGAUGGAGUCAGGGACGAUGGGGUCGGGGCGGUUUGCCCCGAUCUAGAAACCGGGGGGAGUGGGGGAGUGAGCGAGUGGGGGGGGAGUGGAAUCGUGGUAGCUACGGUUUCGGCCUAUAGGGGGAUAUGGAGAGUGGGGUGGGUCGGUCGGGCCAGGGUGGGAGUUGGGUCGGGUGGCCUAGUUGGCAUGGGGCUUUCCCCCUCUUUUACUUUAUUAUUAUUUUUGUUUAGUCUCCUUUUUUUAUUCUUUUCCAUUUUCUUUUUUAUUUAUUUUAGAGCAUCAUAACAUUUUCUAAAUAUGGGUUUUCUUCACUAUAAUUACCUAUGUAAUAUUUGGCACAAUCCGGACAUUUUAGUUUCAUUGUUUGAAAACCUUUUGUUUGCCUGAUUUUUAAUUUGAAUUUGAAUCGGUUUCGAACUAUCGCGAGAUUAGAAACAGUAAUCAAGGUGACGUGGCAUCAUUAGCAGAGGUUCAUUGUAGCUUAAGUAUCCGGGUGUCACACCACCGCCACCGCACGCCCGGGCCGCUGCCCCCUAGUCCCGCGCCGCUGCCGCCUCGUCGCCGACGCCGUUGACCGAUCUCGCCGUCGCCGCCGAUUUUCUCGUGAACCGGUAAGACCGGCCGGAACCAGUUUUAUUUUUCGGGUUUUUUUCGCUUUGGCGAGAUAGAUCGGUUUUCUUAGGGUUUUUCUUAAGUAACGAACAUCCGUUCGUUCGUUCGUUUUAAUGAACGGUUUUCACCGUAUAAGUUUUGUUAGCAAAGGGUCGCGCCGUAGGAUUUUUCCUUUUAGUUUAUUUUCGGCCAGGGACCUAUCCGUGAACAGUUUUAUCACGAUUUAGCCCCUGAUCUUUAAAGUAGCAUAACUUUUUACUCGUUUAUCCAAAUUAGAUGAAACCAACGUCUAAAUCUUCGUUCUGUUCUAUUAUUUUCAGUUUAACCAACUUAAACAUGAUUUUGAUACUGUAAAAUUUUGAGCUUAGUCCAGACUAGUAAAUGAUCUUGUCUUGUUCGUAUUUUGAGUUUUGUUUCUCGGUUUGAGAUGAAUCUUUUUCCAAACCGUAGCUAAUCACAUGUACCUAUUGUUAAGAUCUAAUCCUCAUGAUAAUAAUGUCGUGAGGUGUGACUUUUGUUACUUUAAGCCGUUUGUUUGUUUCGUGUUUGAUUUGGAAUUUUUUUCUCGGUUUUCUCGUUGCUUCGUUUGAGUGAUUGCUUAUGUAUGUUAUUGUUUGUCUAUGCAAGAUUACCCGGAGUGCGAAGCUUGUUACUACGAAUCUUUAGAGUUUGCAGAUCGUCAGCAAGGCAAGUUACACUUUGAUUAUACUCUUUCAUACCUAGUUUUUACUACGCAUUAGUUCUGCCCCUCAAAUAUUUGCAUGAGUAGGAUUGGGAACAUGUGGUUUGGUUGUAGUACUUGAGGUAGGAACCUAAUACCUUUUGAUCACCCCAGGAAUAUACGUUAUGCUUAUUUUUGCUUAGCCAUGCUUGUAGACAGGAAUUGGAUCGUGAAUCACACAUGGAAGUUUGAGAGUUAUUUAAUCCUGGUUAACAUUAAGGUGGCUACUUUAAUAUACAUUUGGGUGGAUUGGUUGCAGGCACCUGGGGAACCCAGUGUUGCCUAUUUUGGAAAAUCCUGGAGUACCCGUGUGAUUCUUCCUACGGUUAGCCACCUAGACUCAAAGGGAUCAUAAGAUCAUUCAUGCUAAAAACUUCCAUGUAUAGCCGCAUGCCAUUAUGGGCUCUGGCAUAGUUUGAGUAAGUUGCAUGAGCUCUUGAAGAGGUGGACUAGCAGAUGUAGGGGAUAGUAGGUGUACCGAUCCGCCCGGAGUAGAGAUUUACUGCUUCAGAAAGACUAUGUCUCGGUCAUCUGUUCCUCAAACAUCAUGUAGUGCGAGAAAUUCAACGGAAGAGAUCAAGUCUUGUGGGGAAAAGUGCGCAACCUCUGCAGAGUGUAUAAACUAAUCAUGGUUAGCCAUGUCCCCGGUUAUGGACAUCUUGAGUAUCUAGUACUUGAAUCUAUUGAUGUGAUCUCAUCAUGUUACUUUAAUUAAUUUGAAUUGGGUUAAUGAUGAUACUUUUAAUUGGGAUUUGAGUUGGGGUUACCUUCUCAAAUAAUGGCCAACUUGGGAGUAGUUAAAUAAAUUUAUUCCUUUGUUGUAGGGAAAUACUAGCUUUAUGCAAACUCAUAAACUUACAGCCUCCACCAUCCAAAUAUUGCAUGUAGAUAUAGUUCUUGCAUCACUUUAAAGUGUAACUCUGCCAGCAUAUUCAAUGUGUUGACCUGCACGGCUGCAGCGUCUCAUGUUGCAGACUACUCAGACGAUGAAUAAAGUGCGAUAGGUUGUUGUUUUGAACUCAGCUAUGUCGUUGGAGUUGAUGGACUCAUUUACCUUUGAAGCUUCCACUGUUAUCUAGUUUAAAUGGCUUUCAGCCAUUAUAUUUUUGUGUAAUCAUACUCUUUAUGAGGACUCUAUGUAAUAAGUGUGUGAGGACUCUGUUAUAAUUCCUCGAGUACUGUGCGUGUCAGCAUUACCAAUCCAGGGAUGGCACUGAUGCACAGAGACUUGACAGUUUGAGGUUUGGUCGAUACAAGAUGGUAUCAGAGCACACGUUGACUGUAGGACACGACCACUAGAUUAUACCACAGGAUUUCUCUUCUCUACUAAUUUCUAAUUCUCCUCUUUUCUACUCUAUAGAUGGUGGAUCCUAGUAACAAGUUCACUCAGCCGGAUGACGAUACCCCUUUCGGAAAACAUUUGAAGGAAGUCACUAAGUAUUUGAACAUUGGACUACCAAGCUGCACGGGGACUUUCUCUACAUCCGUACCAGAAGAGGAGCGCUGGAAGAUUAAAGUCUGGGUACCUGGAAGGACAUUUGCGCCAACAACGGAGCCUAUUGAUUUCUACCUGGAUGCACCAAACUGGAGUAAAGGAAAGAGCAUGGCAGCCCAUAUAACCGUUCGACGCAUAUGCGAGGUGUAUCACAAGGAGCUGGAGAAUGUCGUUUAUCAGAUAUGUGGCCACUGAGAUGACAAAUGGGAGAUGAUUCGUACCAGGAGGGAUGGAUCAAUUGCAGCCUACAUUCAAGAGAUGGGAGAUCAUAUUCGUCGAAAAGAGAAUCAACAAAUUAUCCACAUGAAGAAGAUCAAGAAACUGGUGAAGAGAAACAACGAGCUAGAAGAGGAACUCAAGUCUACAUGCGAUGGAUACGAGGAAGAGAUCACCAUACUACUGGAGAAGCAUGAAGACCUGAAGAGGAAGAUGGGAAUAUUAGUUGUGAAUAUCAAGCGAUCAACAGAGAUCCGUUCGGAGGACUAGAUCAUCCUGGACGACACCGACAUGGAUAGGGAUACAAAUGAUGACAUCGAUGAUGACUAUGUCGAUGAAGCUGGAGCAGAUAUCAUGGAGUCUUUUUCUGAUGAAAAUUUCUUGAUGACCACCAUUGUAACUAGUAGUUUUCCCUCCAAGUUGUUAGCAACGAUCGAGUUUGUAAUCAUAGGUUAGACUGAACGUGUGACUUGUGUGCUUUUGAUUGAAGUGAGUGUUUGUCUCAUGAGCAUAUGGGUAGUGAAUCUCUCUGAGACCUCAAUUCUAUUCUAUUUUCUCACCCCUUCUAACCCAUCAGAUGCCUCCGAGACAUGACAAUGGAUUAGCCUUCCCACCGGAGCUCACUCAGUUGAUCCAGCAGCAGAAUGCCUUGAUGCAGAUACUAGUUUAGAACCAGAACCAAGGUAAUAACAACAACAACCCACCACCACCACCCCCUGUUGAUCACCUAGCACGCUUUCUAAGGUUGAAUUCACCGGUGUUCUCAAGUAGCACCGAGCCAAUUGUUGCAGAUGAUUGGCUCCGCAAGAUUGGAAGAGAGCUGACCACUGUAGGAUGCACAGAUGCGGAGAGAGUGCGCGUUGCCGCACAUCAGCUUGAUGGACCCGCAUCAACUUGGUGGGAGAAUUUCACAGCCACAUACCCCAUUGACACUGUUACAUAGGAUCAGUUUCAGCAGGCUUUCCGCACUGCCCAUGUUUCAGCAGGAGCAAUGAGCAUGAAGAAGCGCGAGUUUCACAACUUGCGCCAAGGAGGGCGUACAGUGGGCCAGUAUUUGGAUGAGUUUAGCAAGUUAGCACGCUAUGCCCCUGAUGACGUAGCUACAGAUGCUGCUAUGCAGGAGAAGUUUCUGGAAGGACUGAAUGAUGAGCUGAGCAUGCAGUUGAUGGUGGCAACAUUCAAUAACUACCAGGAGUUGGUAGAUAGGGUGCUCAUGAUUGAAGGCAAGCAGUAACAGAUUGAUAAUCGCAAAAGGAAGUAUGGAUAGGGGAGGAACACUUCAGGAGCUCAGCAGAAGCCCCGCUAUUCCCCGUACUCAGGAGGACAUAACCAUAACCAUGGAGGACAUACACACAAUGGAGCUAGUUCGCGCAACCAUAGUGGCCCCAAGAAUGGCAAUGGGAAUGGAGGAAGCAACAGCAGAACCGUUCCAACCCUUCAAUGCCAGCCAAGAGGGAUCUGAGCCACAUUACCUGUUGCAAGUGCUAGAAGACCGGACAUUAUGCUACUGAAUGUCCUGAAACCAAGAAUGGAAAUGGAAACGGAGGUUCUGCCAAGAAUCCCAACCCCUUCACCAAAGGUCAGGUGAACCACGUCAGCAUGGAGGAGAUUGAGGAUCAACCCGACGUAGUUGUCGGUAAGUUUUUGAUUAAUGCAUUUACCGCACUUGUUCUUUUCGAUACUGGUGCAUCGCAUUCAUACAUAUCAUGGGGAUUUGUGGAUAAGUAUAACCUACCAACCAUAGACCUUAAGUAACCUAUGUUAGUAAGUUCCCUAGGAGCAGAGUAUAUGGAUAGUAGGGGAUGCUAUCAGUUGCCACUAACCAUAGGUAGACAUGUUUUCCCUAUCGACCUGAUUGUUCUGGAGUCACAAGGAUUGGAUGUGAUACUAGGAAUGGAUUGGCUAUCCAAGUUUGAAGGAAAUAUCAUCUGCGCCAGUAAAUCAAUUCUUCUCACCACCCCAUAAGGAAAGAGGAUCAAGUAUGUAUCCUGGCAUGUGCCGACGUGGACUCAAGUGAAUUCCUUAUCAAGAGUUGUACAGGAGGAAGUACCAGUGGUGAAGGAUUACCCCGACGUAUUUCCGGAGGAGUUACCAGACAUGCCAUCAGAUCGAGACAUUGAGUUUUUGAUUGAGCUAUUUCCAGGCACCGGACCAAUAUCAAAGAGACCAUAUCGGAUGUCCACAAAGGAUUUGGAGGAAAUUAAGAUGCAGAUAAAGGAGUUACUGGAAAAAGGUUACAUCCGACCAAGUUCAUCACCUUGGGGAGCCCUAGUACUUCUAGUGGAGAAGAAGGAUGGAUCUUUGAGGAUGGUUGUUGAUUAUCGUGCACUGAAUGAGGUGACGAUUAAGAACAUAUACCCUCUGCCAAUGAUCAAUGAUUUUUUUGACCAGUUGCAAGGAGCUAAAGUUUUCUCCAAGAUCGAUUUUCAAUCAGGUUAUCACCAGUUGAAGAUUCGAGAGGAGGAUAUACCUAAGACAACUUUUACCAUAAGGUACGGGCUAUAUGAGUAUACCAUUAUGUCAUUUGGCUUGACUAACGCGCCUGCCUAUUUCAUGAAUAUGAUGAACAAAGUGUUUAUGGAGCUUAUGGAUAAGUUCGUCGUGGUGUUCAUAGAUGAUAUAUUGGUCUACUCAAAUAAUGAAGAGGAGCAUAAGGAGCAUUCGCGUUUGGUUCUUGAGAACCUUAGAGAACAUAAGUUGUAUGCCAAAUUCAGCAAAUGCGAGUUUUCGUUAAAGGAAGUUGGAUUAACUCGGACAUGUUAUAUCCGGAGAAGGAAUAGCAGUAGAUCCUACCAAGGUUACCUCUAUAACUAAAUGGGUGGCACCCACAUGAGUUGGAGAGAUCAGGAUUUUUUUGGGACUCGCAGGUUAUUAUCGGAGGUUUAUUGAUAAUUUCUCCAGAAUUGCAAAGCCCAUGACAGAGUUAUUGAAGAAGGACACCAAGUUUAAAUGGACUGAGGAGUGUGAAGCCAGUUUUCAGGAGUUGAAGAAACAUUUGGUUACAGCCCCAGUGCUAAUUCUCCCAGACCAACGUAAGGAUUACCAAGUGUAUUGCGACGCUUCACAUCGAGGACUUGGAGUUGUGCUUAUGCAGGUAGGAGAAGUUGUUUCAUAUGCCUCACGUCAGCUUAAACCUCAUGAGCAGAAUUAUGCUACACAUGGCUUGGAGUUAGGAGUCGUAGUGCAUGCGCUAAAGACAUGGAGAUAUUUUCUCAUCGGAAACCAUUGUGAGGUAUACACGGAUCAUAAGAGUUUGAAGUACAUCUUCACGCAGAAGGAGUUGAACCUCAUGCAAAGGAUAUGGUUGGAGCUCAUAAAGGAUUAUGAUAUGAAAUUGCACUAUCAUCCCAGAAAGGCCAAUGUAGUAGUUGAUGUGUUGAGCCGCAGGAGUUAUGUCAACACGCACAUAACUGGAGGAUUCCCUAAUGAUUUAGCUGAUGAUAUUCGAGAGCUUUGCCUGGAUAUAGUUCCGAGGGGUUAUGUUGCAACAUUGGAAAUUAAGUCCACUCUUUUGGGCAAGAUCAGGGAAGCCCAGAAUACUGACAAGGAGAUUGCCGAAAUAAAGGAAAGGAUGUAAAGGAAAGGAUUUCGUGAGGAUGAGCACGACACCUUAUGGUUUGAGGAUCGCAUAUAUGUGCCUAAUGACCCCGAGAUCAGGAAGUUGAUUCUGAAGGAGGCCCAUGAUUCACCAUACUCGAUUCACCCAGGAAAUACCAAGAUGUAUUUGGAUUUGAAGGAAAGUUUCUGGUGGAUAGGAAAGAAGAAGGAUAUAGCCGAGUAUGUAGCAGUAUGUGAUGUAUGUCAGAGAGUCAAGGCAGAGCAUCAGAAGCCACAUGGAUUGCUACAGCCAUUGCCGAUACCCGAAUGGAAGUGGGAUAAGCUUGGCAUGGAUUUUAUCACUAGAUUACCCAGGACUCGUUCAGGCUAUGACUCUAUCUGGGUUGUAGUCGACCGUUUUGGAGUGUGCCCACUUCGAGGAGUGAAACGUUUUGGAGUUAAGGGAAAGCUAGUACCACAUUUUGUGAUGAAUUUUUUGAUAUAUUAUACGGUUUUUUUCGACAUCGUAUGCAAAAGAUAUGACAGUUUUACUUUUUCAUAACACUUUUUUGCAAAACAUGUCCAAAUUUAAGUUUUUAAAUUUUCCUAACUAGUAGAUGUAGUAACAUAACUACAUCUCGAAGGAUUUUAAUUUUUGAAGUUUUUAUCAUUUUCUUUUGUUUUUUACAAAACUGAAAUGCGGAUACACGGGGGGAGGGGGGUGGUAGAGUUUGAAAAUUUUCCUUUAGUCCCGGUUUGUGUCUCCAACCGGGACUAAAGGUUAGACCCAUUUUGUCCCGGUUUGUGAGACAAACUGGCACUAUAGCUUAGACCUUUAGUCCCGGUUUGUGUCACAAACCGGGACUAAAGGGGCUCGUGGGGCCCCGGCCUGAUGCCAGCCUGCCACCACCCCUUUAGUACCGGUUCAUGCCCCGAACCGGCACUAAAGGUUCAACACGAACCGGGACUAAUGCAUAGCCGUUCGAACCGGCACUAAUGGUCACAUUAGUGCCGGUUAAUUUACAAACCGGGACUAAAGGGCUGAACAUUAGACCCUUUUUCUACUAGUGUGUUAAGCAUCACAACUCCUCGCCAAACUGAAUCUACUAAGUUCCAUACAAAUUUAGCUCGAUUUAUGUACAUAUAUACAAUGUGAAGACUAUAGUGAAGUUGCUUGUUCACUAAAUUCAACACACAAUGGACAGGAUACUGUAUGCCGCCUGGUUUAUAGAUAGCUAUUAAAGUUUUAUCAUUUGAGCAUCCUCAUUCAAAUUAAUAUGUGCUAACGAUACUAUUGAGGCUUCUAAGAUUUAAGUGCCCAAACUCGACUUUUGUAGAUAAACAUAGCAGUACAAUUUUUUGCAUAGGUACACAAAAUCUUUCAACAUAUGAUUUGAUUCCAUUGUGUAAUUUGGCUGAAAAAUUUGAAUAGCAAGUGGCAUAAGAGCUAAUGCAAGGAAGAAAAUCAUGUCCCGGGCAUUUGCAUAGGCCGGCUCAAACUUGCCAAAUGUAGCAAGUUUUUUAUGCAAAUUCCAAAUGAUAUUUAAUUUAUCAAAAAUAAUGAAAUCUAGUUCAACGUUUCAGGCCUGAAGCAAACCUGAAACAUGUAUAAUUCUUAUCCUCCUAAUCUUUGCAGAACCAGCAAACAUGGGCAAUAAGAACCGAAAAAAUGAAGCCCUCUAUUUAGUCUGCAACACAUAAAUCCUUUAUGCCCAAUGUACAAAAAACAAAAUUGCAUCGAGUAAAUGUAACAGAAGAGAAAAAUAAGAGAUAUGUGCAGAAACAGAAAUCGAACAUAUCCUGGCAAACACAACAUCUCGCCGCUUAGACAAAUUCUAGACGUACUUCUGAGGUGAAGAGAGAACGUGGAUUUAGAAGGAGGAGAGCAAAGACCCAGGGAUGGGGGCAAGAAACAGAGUUCUAAUGCCUAUGGAUCUACAUCCCCUCUAGAUAUGUGUCUUGGUGUCUGAUCUCGUGGCUGUGGGGCUCGUGGUGGCCAGAGAUGCCCUGCAGCCUGCUAUGGUGCUAUAACUAAAUCAAAUGCCAUUGACAGCAUGGAGCUAUGUCAGGAGUGUGGCGGCCCUCUUGGACAUCAGCGCGCGCCGUAGGAUGCUGGUGCAUAGCGGUGGGCGCCGCUGUCGAGAUGAAGGUUGGGGGAGGUGGGAUGGGUGCCCCUGGGCAUGCUAAAUAAAGGAGGCUGGGAGCUGGCCGGGCGCCUCCAUUGGUGUUAGGCUGCUGCCAAUGCAUGGGUGCUUAGAUGAGGUGCUAUGCACAUUAAAUAGCUUAGCAACUAUACUCCCCAAUGCACAGGUGCUUAGCUUAUGGUUGCUAAGCUUGCUUCAUUUAAUGAUUUAGCAACUAAAGCUCUUCAUGUAUUGGUGGGCUUCCUUCCUUUAAAUGUUUUGCCUAGGUUCACACGCUUAGCAUUGUUUCUUCCUGGGUCACCACACUCAUCUCUCCUCUUAAAUAACUUGCCACAUCAGAUUUUUUGCCUAUGUGGAAGGCUUAGCACCUGUACAAGGUGGAGCAUUAGGAGGGGCCUUAAUGGAUUUUUAGCAAUGAAAACAUUACUCCUCGCUUGAAUACCGGUGAACGAACUCCAAUCACCCACUAUGCCGCAUCGCUGCCCAUUAAUGUGUCGCUAUCUCUUCACAUCUCCUGCACACCGCCCUUCCCAAAGCAGACGCUCUUUCUUGCGAUUUCGUUGUGCUGAGCAGGCCGAUGUUAAAUCACAGAUGAUGGCAAGCAAAUAUGUUAUGGUGAUCUUAAAUGGACUUCUUGCGGGAGAAGGGUACGAUUAAGCAUAAACCACCGAUUUUGUUACAGAGUAACAGCCCAUGAGGCAUCUUGUCCACUUAGUGCUAUUUAAAAGUAUCUUACGGCCAAAACGACCACCACGAAAUGAUCCAAUGGUUAGGAACGGUGGUGGCCUGAGAGGGCAGGAAAUUUGCUCAGGUAUAAUGUAUCUCUAUGUCCUUCCCACGGUAUUGAGCACGGACAUUUGUUGUGCUUGGACUAGCGCCCUUAACGUGCACACUAUUCGGAUAGACUUUGCUGGUUGCCACCCCCAUAUCUCUGGGACAUAGAGUAGUUGUGACUUUCACGGUGCUCGGUGAUGUACCAGCUAUUUUCAUACCCAUGUAGCAACCGCACCAAAACAGGGCACUCACACCUACAUGAACUGUUGUUUACUGACUCUGGCUUCCCCUGCACACCAGAUAGCACAUGCCAUGGUCAGUGCAACUAAAUUAGUGAUGGGAGCCCCACAAAUAAAAGGACAAAACAGAAGAGAGUGGCGUUUUGGCACAUGGGAGCACGCGUUCCUGAUUUUUAAAAUUUAUUUUAAACAUACUUUCACUACAAGAAAUAUGUCAACUUAUGACCACCACUAUUGGUCACUGAAAGGUCACAAAUUUCCAUUUAUGACCUUUUUGUGACCAAAAACAGAAGGUCAAAAGCUGGCCGUCGUAAACUGACUAUAGCGACCUUUCUUCUGGAAUGGUCAAAGACGUUUACGACCAAAAUAUUCCUACUGUGGCGUUUUGGUCACUAGCAACCUCCCCAGGCCACGUAGGCAUCCAGCGUGGCAAGCUGAUGUGGCACAAGAUUCAGCUCGGUCCGAUUUGGUGUUCUACAUGGGCCGAGCCCAUUAAUUCGGCCUUUUUAAUAUUUAUUUUUUCUGUUAAUUUUUGCUAGCUACAUGGGCCUGGCCCAACAAUUCGAUUCUCUAGACUGAUGUCUUUUGUUGUACAUUUCUUUUUUGGGCCUUGACCAUAUUUUCUAGGCCCUGGCCUUUCAACGGUCCAUUUCUUUUCAAAUUUCAGCCUUUGUUCCAACCAAUAUAUUUUAGGCCUUUUUUCAAAGCCCGAAUAGAUUUGGUGCAAUAGGCAUUUCGGCCAAUUUUCUUUUGGGCUAUAUAUUUCUUUUUCUAGCCACUUUUAGUCAAGAAAUGAAUUUCAAGUGAAUAAAAAGUAAUAUUCUGAGUUCAGCGAGCAAGUAUACAUCAAGUUCAGCGAGCAAAUAUACAUCAAAUUCCCAGCAUGUUUAGCAGUACAUCAAAUUUCUCAAGAAUAUUAGCAUUACAAAUUCAGUAAUAUAUAAAGCAAGUUGUUGACUGGGCUUCGGGCUUCUUCAAAUGUCUUCAGCCCAGAACUCCUGUAAAUGAGAGGAAUAGUCACAUGUUUAUAGUCUUAAUAUAAGCAAUAUUUGCUAACAACAAAACAGAACAAUUAAUCUAAGAACCAUGCAAGAACCUAGGUGUCCAAAUCAGAUUAUGCAACAUCGAUUGACACUAAAGACAUAAAUAGUCACCAGAUGGGCAUCAAAUCAUCACAAUAGUUUCUCGACAGAUGAUAAAAAAAGAACAGAAUGUAGAUGGCAGUGAGUUAAGGAAGCACCACAAUAACAGAAACAUGUUGUCAGUGGAAUGGAUGGUAACACAAACAUCUACUCUGCCCUGCUGUAACAAACAUGUACUUGACUCCUUACAUACACCAGUGCAAGUGUUUUUCACAUGUUACUACUUGAUUCGACUUUAUACAUAUAAAUAUACAUGACAAUAAACUUGCAUAAAGAGGCAUCUAGUCUAGCAUUAGACUAACUUACUGGUAUAAAGAGACAUGGAUAUUCAUGGUAGUUGUACUAGAAAAAACUAACUGAACCAAUGUCUCCAUAGAUAUCAUAGAAUCAGAACAGAUGAAGCUGACAACAUAAUAUAACCAGAAGUCAAUUGUAGCUACUCAUAUUUUGUGUGUCCAAGUAGGUACCGAUGAAAGUCACAAUAUCCUGUAAUUGUUGAAUGACUCGUGGUACAGCUUGCAUUGUUAAAAUGCAAUGAACCAUGAUUUUAGUUACACAUAUGGUUAAAGAAACAAACUUAAGGAUUUAGUUAGAAUCUCAUAUCACCCAUGAUCCACUGAUUUCAACUGGUAUUGUAUCUUACAAAUCGAACUGAAGAAGUUCAUUUCUAGCCCAACUAUAAUCUCAGGCCAACUAUUGUAAGAUGCAGGGAGCAGAGAGCUCACCAUGGCUGUCAUGUAGCCGACGUGGAAGAGGCAGCAUGUCCGUCCAAGCAGGAUCAGCAGCACCAGCGGACGGGUCUGGGGUUGUCGCCGCUCCUCCUUGUGGAUGCCGAGGUCGGAGACGCCGGAUCCGUACGGGCAUCCACCUCCCAUCCUUGCAAUUAAAACUUUAUAUGUGAGAAUUCAAUUUUAUCAAUCUCUGAACUCUAGUCUAGUCUGAUUCCUGAUUGGGGAUAUGAAUCAGCAGAAGAAAAUCAAGGGGCCCUGCCCUCCCACUUUCCUAGAACAAAAUGAGUACAUGAGCAACAACUAUAUAGAACUGAUGAUGCAUGUACUACCUAGGAAAGAGCCACCAGCAGUAUGAUCACUUGAAGACCGAUCUUGAUGCAUUUCGCAACCUACAUAGCACAUUCAUACUGUUAUGUUAUUGUUAUCCCCACUGGUGUCAACUACAGCCAGACAAAAUUCAGAAGUGCAGAGAUUUUUCAUUUGUGUAUGCACAAGUAGAAGGCUUACACUUGGGAAUCCAAGAUCGUAGAGCCCGAAUCCGAGGGCGAGGAGGUUCAGGGUGUGUUGGUGCUAAUGCCGGAGCUUCCGCUGGGAACUCCAGCGGCACCACCAUUGGUGGCUGGUCUCCGGCGCUUCCUUUCUUCCCGGGCAAGAAGACAGACGAGACGAGGAGGAGCAGCGGUAGUUCGAUGUGUGUUGGGUGGCCUGGCUGUAGCAUGGCGGCGGACCUGGACAUGGACCAAUUAAGAAUGAACACUGGUAAUGAGAUACAGCAAAUACAAAUGGUUCAGAAUAACACCAAGACAUUCAGUACUGCAAGAAAUUUCUGAAACUUCAGUUGCAGUAGUUGUCAAACAAAAUAUCAGUCCAGUAACCUCCAAAUUAAAUUAAAUUAUGAUGGUUUACUGCAAGUAAGACUAGCAUAUAGUAGUUUGUCUUGUACAUAAUGCUUCUAAUCAAAGUAAGCAUUGUCAUGCAUGCAAAUAUUUUAUGGAGUAUGUGACCAUUAGAAUGCAUACGUGUGUAGGGGAGCUCCCUCGGCAUCGUAGCUAUCAUGUUUUACCAAUGAAACAAAAGGUUACAGGGAGCUUUUAAGUAAAAUCUGUUUGUGCACACAGCAAAUCUGAGAAUGUGAGAUCGGUAUGCUCUCUACUAGUCUCCAGUGAGCUGAUCCUGCUAAUCUAUCUACGCAACGGUGGUGAGAGAUGGAGAUGCCAGUAGAAGGAACUAGCAACCAUACCACAUGCAAGGCCAAGACGGAUAGCACUGACAACAGGUAUGCAUCAAUGGGCAUGCAGCACAAGAUGGAUAUCUGCAAGUCUUUCUUCAGAAGAGGCAUUGUAACUAGACUACUGCUUACUACUUAACCCAAAACUGAAUCAUGAAACAAAUCUUACCAUCAAUGCACUGUAGGCAGGAUCUUUCUCAGGCAGGUACGGUGGUCAUCUCUCUUUCAGCUGGAUUUUCUUAGCCCACAGUCUGGUCGCUGAACAACCACUUCUUUAGCGUUUUCUUGUCACUGCAGGUGUGGAGGAAGUUCAUCAACAGAAGAGUACCUAAGAAGAAGAAUCAUGCAUCGGGAAUCAAUCAAAUCAACACCAAAUCGAAUCAGGAAGAAGAAUCGAGUGCUCACAUAGGUAGUUGCAGUGCUCCUGCACCUCCUCAAUGUCGUACUGCGUCAGCAUCGCCCAGGUUCAUCUUGUUGGCGUGGAACUGGUCUGCUCACGCCCAGGUGAUGCUUGUACGCGGUUUGCACAGGAGGCAGGCCUAGAUGCCCUCGUUCCACCGUGGUGAGGACGUCGCCUUCCACCAUGGUGCCCAGGCCGUCGGUGCAGAUCUGGCACACGCCCCCGGCCCCAUGCCUCGGAGACGGCGGGGACCUUUACGAAGAACUCGGAGACGGCGGGGACCUUGACGACGAACCCCGCGGCAGGAUCCCAGACCUGGUGGGAGAGGACGGCCUUGGCGCUGGUGCCGGGCGGGAGCGGCGGGUGGAGCUGCGCCGGAGUUGGUGCGGGCGCGGGGUAGCAGGUCGCGGGUGCGGCCCCGCGGAGCGAGACCCUCCUGGCCGCGGCGGCGCGGCCCUCGACGCCGCGAAAGCGGACGCCAAGAAGGGCAACCCGCCGCUGGAUCCGGGCGGGUGAGGCAGAGGCCUUGAGCGCGAACAUCGACGGCGGAGGAAGGGGACGGUGGAUGGGGGGGCUUGGAUAGGAUCUGGAGAGAAUNNNNNNNNNNNNNNNNNNNNNNNNNNNNNNNNNNNNNNNNNNNNNNNNNNNNNNNNNNNNNNNNNNNNNNNNNNNNNNNNNNNNNNNNNNNNNNNNNNNNNNNNNNNNNNNNNNNNNNNNNNNNNNNNNNNNNNNNNNNNNNNNNNNNNNNNNNNNNNNNNNNNNNNNNNNNNNNNNNNNNNNNNNNNNNNNNNNNNNNNNNNNNNNNNNNNNNNNNNNNNNNNNNNNNNNNNNNNNNNNNNNNNNNNNNNNNNNNNNNNNNNNNNNNNNNNNNNNNNNNNNNNNNNNGACCACGGGACAGAGCUAGGGUUUCGGGGACACAUCCAUGUUUGGUGCGGGCCGUUGGAUCCAGGGGAUCCGACGGUGAUUUACCCAUGAUCCGCGUGAGAGGCCCUUGGACCAAUCAGAAUGCAGUAUACAGGUAUGAUAUUUUGACCAUUUAAAUUGGUCAUAAUCGACUAAAAUUAUGUGCUAAAUCGUGUUAGCUAUUUUAUUAUGACCUGAAAAUUAAAAAAAACGUUUUAUUGCAUCAGCAAAUUUGACUAUUGUUUUCAGGAAUAAUCAUAAAUUGAAAUAAGAUAAUUAAUUUUUUAAAGAGUUAUGAGAAAUGAGUUCUUUUAAAUUAUUUUUUCAUUUUUUGAGUGUUUGAAAUGAGCUUUUUUGUGAAGGACCUACCAAAUAUUUAUUGCAAAAUUGUACCAACUCAAUUUUCUAAAAUACUAGGACAUAUUUAAUGCACAAUUGACCAAAUGGUUGGGUGUGAGAAGCUUUGAUCCACCUCUGGUGAAAAAGACAAAUUUCCAUCGAUUCAGCAGGAAGCGGGUCAAAUUUGAACUGUAGCUGCCUUCUAGUUGGCUCUUUUUUUUCCAAAAAUCAUUUCUAGAUACAUAAGUACCUAUUUAAUCAGAGAAACACUAAUAAAAUUCCAAGAUUCAACCACUAGCUAGAAACGGUCAUUCCCGCCGUUUUGACCGCAUUUUGAAAACAGGCAUAAAAAAUUCAAAAAAAAUCAAAAAAUUGGGAAACCUUCGCAUUGUGUCAUUAUAUGUGGCCAAGUUCCGAGUAAAAAUAACAAACUUGUAAUACGGCGAAUAUUUAAAAAAAGUGUUCUCAGAAACGAGCUAUCAAGUGUGAAGAUGAAUGGCUUUCAACCCAAAUGCUCAAUCUUAUGGCCACAUACAUGGCAUAGUUUGUUCAAAUGAUCUCAUAUUGUGCACAAGGGUGCAUAUUGGAAUGACAAACAAUGUUUCUUAAGGAAGUUUUCAUUUUCUUUGGACGAAAAAUUCAUUUUCCAUUUUUCGAGUGCCCGAAAAGAGAUUUUUUUGUGAACGGCCUACCAUAUAUUAGUUGCAAAAUGGUACCAAGUCAAUUUUGUAAAAUACUAGGACAUAUUUAAUGCACAAUUGACCAAAUGGUUGGGUGUCAGAAGUUUUGAUCCACCUCUUGUGAAAAAGACAAAUUUCCGACGAUUCAGCUGGAUGCGGGUCAAAUUUGAACUGCAGCUGCCUCAUAGUUUGCUAUUUAUUUUUUCCAAAAAUCAUUUCUAGGUACAUAAGUAUCUAUUUAAUCAGAGAAACACCAACAAAAUUCCAAGAUUCAACCACUAGCUAGGAACGGUCAUUCCCGCCGUUUUGACCGCACUUUGAAACGGGCAUAAAAAAUUCAAAAAAAUCAAAAAUUUGGGAAACCUUCGCAUUGUUUCAUCAUAUGUGGCCAAGUUCCUAGGAAAAAUAACAAACUUGUAAUAUGGAAAUUAUUUUAAAAAAGUGUUCUCAGAAACAAGCUAUCAUGUGUGGAGAUCAAUGGCUUUCAAGCCAAAUGAUCAAUCUUAUGGCCACAUUCAUGGCAUACUUUGUUCAAAUGAUCUCAUAUUGUGCACAAGGGUGCAUAUUGGAAUGGCAAACAAUGUUGCCUAAGGAAGUUUUCAUUUUCGUUGGACGAAAAAACCAUUUUCCAUUUUUCGAGUGCCCGAAAGGAGGUUUUUUUUUGUGAAGGAACUACCAAAUAAUUGUUGCAAAAUUGGACCAAAUCAUUUUUAUAAAAUACUAGGCCAUAUUUAAUGCACAAUUGACAAAAUGGUUGGGUGUAAAAAAAAUUGAUCCACCUCUCGUGAAAAAGACAAAUUUCCGCCGAUUCAGCUGGAAGCGGGUCAAAUUUGAACUGCAGCUGCCUCAUAGUUUGCUAUUUAUUUUUUCCAAAAAUCAUUUCUAGUUACAUAAGUAUCUAUUUAAUUAGAGAAACACCAAAAGUUUUCCAAGAUUCAACCACUAGCUAGGAACGGUCAAGCCCGCCGUUUUGACCGCAUUUUGAAACGGGCAUAAAAAAUUCAAAAAAAAUCAAAAAAUUGGAAAACCUUCUCAUUGUGUCAUUAUAUGUGACCAAGUUUCCAUUAAAAAUAAUAAACUUGUAAUACGGUAAUUAUUUUAAAAAAGUAUUCUCAGAAAUGAGCUAUCAAGUGUGAAGAUUCAUGGCUUUCAAGCCAAAUGGUCAAUCUUAUGGCCAGAUUCAUGGCAUAGUUUAUUCAAAUGAUCUCAUAUUGUGCACAAGGGUGCAUAUUGGAAUAGCAAACAAUGUUGCCUAAGGAAGUUUUCAUUUUCGUUGGACGAAAAAACCAUUUUCCAUUUUUCGACUGCCCGAAAGGAGGUUUUUUUGUGAAGGAACUACCAAAUAAUUGUUGCAAAAUUGGACCAAAUCAUUUUUAUAAAAUACUAGGCCAUAUUUAAUGCACAAUUAACAAAAUGGUCUGGUGUAAAAAAUUUUGAUCCACCUCUCGUGAAAAAGACAAAUUUCUGCCGAUUCAGCUGGAAGCGGGUCAAAUUUGAACUGCAGCUGCCUCAUAGUUUGCUAUUUAUUUUUUCCAAAAAUCAUUUCUAGUUACAUAAGGACCUAUUUAAUCAUAAAUACAUGGUUUGGUGGCGAUAUGUCGAGGUUUGGGCGGUGGCCGAGGGCCCCAACUCUAGAGCGUGUAAACUUGCAUGCCCGCCGCGUGGUCACCGCGUGACCGUGGCGUUGCCAUGUGUUCUGGGCGGCCUAGGCAUGUCUAGUGGGUUGGGCACUCCCCAGGUUGGUGCUAGGAAGAAAAUUACAACAUAAGAUUCUCACGAGGAGACCAAUCGAUGCUCAAACAUGAAUUAGCAGCCAAGUGUUUGAUUAGCGGUACGGGAAAUGUACAUGGCUAAUGGGCGUGAGUUUUGGCUGAGGAUGAUCAGUUACUAAGAAGACCGUUUUCACAAAUUUUUAGCUCAAAAGGAGGAGCCUAGGUGGUACUUGCUUUGCAAACCACCACACUGGACAUAAAAUACGAAUGUUGAAGCUCGGCUCAAAAUAAUGAAUGGAUUGAGCUGGCAUUUGGUGGAGGAUGGUUAUUUGGGCAUAGGAAAGCACUGUAGAAAAUGGAUACUAUUUGGACAUGCCAAAGUGGUAAUUCCUUCACAAACUGUUGUUCUGAACAGAAUAGGAAAAUGAAUAUUUUUGAAUUAGUUUUGAACUAGGCAAGGAAGAUUUUUACAUAUUUGAUGAAGAUAUGACCCAAGGAAUUUAUGAGAUUUUUCUGGGAAUUUUGGGAAUGACAGAAAUAUAGGUUGCUUCACAACCUAGGGCAAAAACUGCCACAUGGACAUGACACAUAGGCAAAACUGAUGAGGUGGCGCCUAGUCAUAGCAACCCACCACAAUUUACAAGGCUAUGACCAUCUAUAUUGGUCGUUAACAACUAGAAAUAAGGCAGCGGACUAGCGUUGUUUGCUUUAUGACCAUUUCGUGUAAGGAAAUUACGACCUUUCUGACCAAAAUGGUCGCAAUGGUUUAGGGUUUGGAGCCCCCCAAACAGCUUUUGACCAAUUGGUCUAAAAUGGUCAUAAAUUUAUGACCAAUUCUUCGAGGGUCACUGACAGAAGGUCAUAAGUUGACAUAUUUCUUGUAGUGUUUGAAAUGUCAAACAAAAUCAAACAAAAACUUGGCGCGUACAUCUCGAUAUUAUACAUGCUCACAAAGUUGUUUCGCGAAAAACCGAUAGCUCACGUGUCGCGUGUGAAAAAGACAAAAACCGGUGUUAAAAAAUGCUUUUCACAAGACAUCCUUUUGUCUUUUUUUACGCAAGCCACAAAAAAUGUCGGUUUUCUCCGAAACUUGACAUGCACACAUAUAAUGUCGAGAUGUAUGCGCCAAAUUUUUGUUUGGAAUUUUUUCACACGUUGAAAUACUUGUUCGUGUGCAGGAGCGCGCGCUCCCGGGAGCACCAACGGAUAUCUGCAGAAUAGAUAAGCAGAAGGCACUACACGCCAAGAAGCCACAAAUGAUUUCCUGCAUCGAUUUGGUCAUCUUAGCGUUCAAUCUAGUCUUACAAUACCUAAUCCCAAACCCAAUCUCCCACGAAUACAAGUUGUAGAUGUCGUGCGCCUCACCUAGCGAGUAGCGAGUCGAACCCAGUCCCAGUUCUGGCUUGAUUACACUCUCCCUAGACUCCUCUGCACAUUUCCAAAUCGACUGCUCGAAUACCCUGAUCCUACAUGGACAAGGCCUUCUGUCCCAUGGUGAAUUCCUGAGGCGUAACCUGCUUUUUUGGCAACAUAGUCGAUUGGAUAGAUGCAGGCUUACCUCUUUUGUCCAUCCUGGUCCUCCGGAUUGACCCUAUCAGUGGACGCGGACCGCGUCGAAGACGCCUUUUGUCACCGGCUUCCUUCGCCACCUUGCUGCCCGCACCCAGACCCAACAUUGGAGUUCCCCGGCUCAGUCGGGUGGUGAAAGUGCAACUAUCCCUAGGUGGUUUUGGUAAUUGAUAACAACAUAUAGCUCAUUGAGCUCAUGCUAUUCCAAGACUAUUAUUUCAGGAAAGCUCAAUGAAUGGCAUGGCAUGGAUGAUGAAAGUGGAUCCCUCAAAAUACUAAGGACAAAGGUUUGGCUCAAGCUCAAAAGCUCAAGACUCUUCAUUUUAUAUUUUAGUGAUCCAAGAUCACAUUGAGUCUAUAGGAAAAGCCAAUACUAUCAAGGAGGGAUGAGGUGUUGCUUAAUGAGCCUCUUGCUUCAUGUGCUUUGUGAUAUGCUCCAAAACCCUCAGCUACUUUCCCACAUCCACAAAUGACCUAAACCCAAAGCCAAAAUCGGUCACACCGAUUAUUCCAAUCCGACGCCACCGAUUCCAAAAAUCAUAGCCACUGCCACAAACCCUAAGCAAAUUGGUCUUACCGAUAGGGAUCUCGGUCUCACCGAGAUGGGAUUGUAAUCUCUCUGUUUCCCUUCGUAACAUUUCGGUCUAACCGAAGUGAGCGAUCGGUCCCACCGAGAUUGCUAUGUAAACUCUCUGUUUCCCUUUUGUAACAUUUUGGUCUCACCGAAAAGAGCAAAUCGGUUCCACCGAGUUUACCUGACCAACUCUCUGGUUAGCUUAUUACAAAAAUCGGUUUCAUCGAGUUUGUGUAAUCGUUCUUAUCAAGAUUACUUUAUGCCCUAACCCUAACCGAAUCGGUCUCACCGAUAUGCAUGUCAGUCCCACCGAAAAUCACUAACGGUCACUAGGUUUACUAAAUCGGUCCGACCGAUUGUGUUGAAUCGGUCCCACCGAGUUUGGUAAAUUGUGUGUAACGGUUAGAUUUUGUGUGGAGGCUAUAUAUACCCCUCCACCUCCUCUUCAUUCGUGGAGAGAGCCAUCAGACUAAACCUACACUUCCAACUUACCAUUUCUGAGAGAGAACCACCUACUCAUGUGUUGAGGCCAAGAUAUUCCUUUCCUACCAUAUGAAUCUCGAUCUCUAGCCUUCCCCAAGUUGCUUUCCACUCAAACCCUCUUUCCACUAGAUCCAAAUCCUAUGAGAGAGAGUUGAGUGUUGGGGAGACUAUCAUUUGAAGCACAAGAGCAAGGAGUUCAUCAUCAACGCACCAUUUGUUACUUCUUGGAGAGUGGUGUCUCCUAGAUUGGCUAGGUGUCACUUGGGAGCCUCCAACAAGAUUGUGGAGUUGAACCAAGGAGUUUGUAAGGGCAAGGAGAUCGCCUACUUCGUGAAGAUCUACCGCUAGUGAGGCAAGUCCUUCGUGCGCGACGACCAUGGUGGGAUAGACAAGGUUGCUUCUUUGUGGACCCUUCGUGGGUGGAUCCCUCCGUGGACUCGCGCAGCCGUUACCCUUUGUGGGUUGAAGUCUCCAUUAACGUGGAUGUACGAUAGCACCACCUAUCGGAACCACACCAAAAACAUUCGUGUCUCCAAUUGCGUUUGAAUCCUCCAGACCCUUCCCUUUACUUUCUUGCAAGUUGCAUGCUUUAAUUUCUGCUGCCUAUAUACUCUUUGCAUACUUGCUUGAUUUGUGUGAUGAUUGCUUGACUUGUCCUAAGAUAGCUAAAAUCUGCCAAACUCUAAAAUUGGGAAAAAGUUAAGUUUUAAUUGGUCAAAUAGUCUAAUCACCCCCCCUCUAGACAUACUUCAAGGUCCUACAAGUGGUAUUAGAUCUUUGGUCUCCAUUUGCUUUGAUUUCCAUAGCUUUUGGUGGUCAUAGCCUUGGUUUCACAACCUAGGAGAGUAUGGCGUCUAGCGAGGGAAAUUAUCACCGUAGAGGUCCUUACUUUGAUGGUACUAAUUUUGCUAGUUGGAAGCAUAAGAUGAAAAUGCAUAUUCUCGGACAUAACCCCGCCGUUUGGGCAAUUAUUUGUAUUAGCUUGCAAGGUGAAUUCUUUGAUGGGAGAGAACCGAACUGUGAAGCGAAUGCAGAAGAAUUGAAGAUGCUGCAAUACAACGCUCAAGCUUGUGAUAUCAUCUUCAACGGAUUGUGCCCCGAAGAAUUCAACAAAAUCAGCCGUCUUGAGAAUGCAAAGGAAAUUUGGGAUACUUUGAUUGAUAUGCACGAAGGUACCGAAUCCGUCAUGGAAUCCAAGUUGGAUGUGCUCCAAAGUCAGCUUGACAAGUUCAAAAUGAAGGAUGGCGAAGGUGUCGCUGAAAUGUACUCUAGGCUUGCACUUAUCACAAAUGAGAUUGCCGGCUUAGGGAGUGAAGAGAUGACCGAUAAAUUCAUCAUCAAAAAGAUCCUAAGAGCAUUGGAUGGAAAGUAUGAUACCAUGUGCACUUUGAUUCAAAUGAUGCCAAACUACAAAGAUCUCAAGCCAACUGAAGUCAUUGGAAGAAUUGUUGCUCAUGAGAUGUCACUCAAGGAUAAGGAGGAACUUCACAACAAGUCAAGUGGUGCUUACAAAGCCUCAAGUGAAGCCCCCACAUAAUCAAGUGAGAAACAAACCUUCAAUGAAGAAUUGAGCUUAAUGGUGAAGAACUUCAACAAAUUCUACAAGAGUAGAAACAAAGAAAGAAGCUCCAAGUCAAGGUCUUAUCAUGAGAAAAGAUCUUCUAGUCAAGAGCGCAAUUGCUACAAUUGUGGGAGGCCUGGACACUACUCCAAUGAGUGUACGUCACCCUACAAUAGAAGAGAAGAUUCUCCAAAAAGAAGAAGCAAAAGAGAAGAAUCACCACCAAGGGAGAGGAGGAGUAGAGAUGAUCGUUAUGAACGAAGACCCUCACGGAGAAGCAAGGAUUCGUAAAGGAAGGACAAGUCAUCAAGGAGCUACACAAAACGAAGACAUCAAGCUCAUGUUGGUGAAUGGGUAUCCGACUCCGACUCCGACAAUCACUCCGAGAGAAGCUAUCACUCUGACUCCAAACAUACUCAAGAUGAAGGUGUUGCCGGUCUAGCACUUGUGUCAACCAACUCCUACGACAUAUUUGAUUCACCAAAUGAAGGAAUUGGAAGAUGCUUCAUGGCCAAAGGUCCAAAGGUAACACAUCCUGAGUAUGUUGAUUUCAAUAGUGAUGAAGAUGACUUGCUUGUGGAUGAUGAUUUACUUGUUGACAACUCUAGUGAUGAAUACUAUGAUGAAACGUCAAUUAAUCGCUAAUCAAGAUAAAACAAAUGACAAUGAUAAGGAGAAGAUUGAGCUUCUAACUAAAGAACUAAACACUCUUAAGUUGGCUCAUGAAACUAUCUUCGAAGAUCAUCGAGAACUUUUAAGGGCUCAUGAGAAGUUACGCUUUGAAAAUCUCAAUCUUGAGAAAGAGCAUGAGUUCUUAAAAGCAAUCAAUGAUGAUCUCCGUAAGAAAAGUUCUUCUUACAUUGCCAAGCGUUUACUCUUAUCUACUUACAUGCCUCAAGUCAAGUCUAGUAACAAGUACAAGAAAGAUACUUCCUCUAGUAGUAACAAUAAUAAUGUUAAAUCCAAUAUUUUUGUUUCUAGUAGUUCUCUUGAUUCCACUAAUGAUUCUCUUAGCCAAGUUACACUUGAGCAAGAAAAUAGUUUAUUGAAGGGAAUUAUAGAGAAAGGUGUUUACAAGAGCCUUGCCGGGAGCAAGCAAUUCAAGGAAAUUGUACGCAAGCAAGGAAGACACCGGAAGAAUCAAGGUGUUGGUUUUGAACAAAAGUUCAAUGCCAAUGGAGUUGAGUGGGAAGAAGAUCAAUACCCCAAGACGAAGUUUGUUCCUCAACAAGAGAAGUAUGAUCCUACUUCCUUCAAGGGAACACAAGCUCAAGAUGAUCUUCCACCACAAGACCACAAGAACAAAGGCAAGGACAAGCUUCAAGAAGAGAUUGAUGCAUUUGAAGAAGCACCUAAAGCCUCGGUCAAGUGGAUUCCCAAGACUACGUCAAGUUCUACUUCAUCAAGCACAACUACAACUCCAAGGAUUCCCAUCAAGAUGAUGUGGAUCCCGAAGAAGAAGAACUAGAGAGUUCUUGAGGGUGACUCCGCCAACAUUCUUCACUCAUAUCUUUAUGGCAAGGACAGGUGCAAUCAACUUCCACAUCUUGCACUAGUUCAAGGAGUCACAAACCCUCAUGUUGGUAAGGCAAGGGACAAGGUAACCUAAUGUUUUCAUGGACAUCAUCUUGUGUGUGCAUCACUCUAUGUCUAUGGAUAUUCUUGUUUGUUCCUUGUGGGACUAACCCAUGUAGGUAAGUUGAAAGUGCAACUCACUCCAAAGGAUUGCUCCAAAUGAUCUACAUCAACAUUGAGCAUCCACAUCUUCAACACGUACAUGAAGUCAUGAUCGGCAAAACCCAAGGUUAGUUCAUCCCUCUAAGGGGGGAUAUCACAUCUAGGGGGAGCUUAACUCUAAGAAUUGAGUCAAAGCAACUCUAAUGGUGUGAACACAUCAAUGCAUUAUGUAAAAGUGGUAACCCCACUUGAGCUUAAACGACGAGUAUGACCUAUGAUCAAAUGUUCUCAUUUGACUCCUAAGUCAAUAUACUCAUAUAUAGAUGACCUAGUCAUCGCCAAUUGUUUGGUAGAUGCUAGAAUUGUUUGUGCAUGCUUUGCCACAUAUUUCAUUUGCCAUUUUAUUGUGUGAGCAUGUUGGUGCAUAUUUUACUCAUUCAAGGACAUCCACUUGUUGUUUUGAUUGUUUGGUUCUUUCUUCUUUUGGCCAAGUGGAUGGACAAGAAUGCAUAAGAACCUUCUCUAGCUAUCUAUGCUUUUCUUGUCUCAAACUCUAUUCAUGCUACAUCACAAAAAUUGAUCAAGUCAGAUUCGAACCACUCUAUGUGAGGAGCACUCGGAGUCCCCGAUUCGUCAUAGACUUAAACUUCCAAAACCUCUUUGUGACUCUCGGUCUGACCGAUUCCUCCAUUUCGGUCCUACCGAGAUCAUUUAGUUGAUCUGAGUUUUCAAUCUCGGUGCAACCGAUUUGAACUUUUCGGUCACACCGAGUUGCUAUAACUGAACACAGUUAUGCAUCUCGGUGCCACCGAGUUGUUCUACUCGGUCACACUGACAGGGUCGGGCUAUAUAUAGUCACGGGCAAAAUUUUGGAAAUUUCUCCGAAUCCCUUCGCUCGUGCAAUAGCUCGCUCUGCCAUCGAAGGUCUCCUUGUUGCCAGCCGCCUCCUGUCGCUGGUCUCCGCCGCCGUCAACGGAAUUCAACCCCACCGUCGCCGCCGUAGCGAGUUCAUCGCCGCACUAGGGUAUGGACUCGAUCUUUGUGAUAUCCACAUCUGAUUCCUAGCAUAGUGUACUCUUAUUGAAUCUUGCCACGAUUGAAACAAUCCUAUCCAGCCAAAGUAGUCCGUAGAGUAGAUUAGAUUCAAAUUUUUAGGGUUAGGUUUCCGCCAAAACCAUCUCGUACCCACCGAGUUGAAAAACUCAGUCUCACCGAUUUGGCUUAUGCCAUUGCACUAGUGACUCUCGGUCUGAUCGAGAAUUACUAAUCGUGCGACCGAUUUUAGGAUUCUGUGAAACCCUAGCAGUCUCGGUGCCGCCGAACUGUGACUCGGUCCAACCGAGUUCAUCAGUUUAGGUUCCAAAAACUACUUCGGUAUCACUGAGUUUGAAAAUCGGUUGAUCCGAGAUGCUUUCUGUGGAAAACUAAAACUGAAUUUUUGAAUCAUUCUUUUGCAAAAAUCUAUGCAUUUGGUGAUACUCAUCCACUCUAUCUCAUCUAUAACUCUUCACAGGGUCAACAGUCAGUUUUUGCAACAUGUCAGACCAGAGUGACAGCCAGAACAGGUCAGCAGAGCAGAUUCAGAUGAGUGAGGGCACUAGUCCCUCCAGCACUUUAGAUGAAGGGAGCAGAAGCACUCCUAGCAACCUGCCUAAGGCUGCUACCAGGCAAAGGAGAAAGAGAACCUCAGACUCAGAAGAUGAGGACUACAAAGCUGAAGAAGAUGAGGCUACUUCCAAGAAAGUGGUGCUCAAGAAGGAAUAUGGCUCAACAAAGGAUACAAAGCCAGGCAUGAAGAUCAAAAGGCCUGCAGGAAGACAACCAAUGUCCAAGGCCAGAGCAUCAACUCAACUUCCUGAAAAGCCUGAUCCCAAAGAACCAGCUGCUGAAGGAAAGAAGAGGAAGGAAAAGGUCAAGAAGACCAUGGCCAGAGUUGUUGGUCAACCUUCCAUGAUGGAAGAGGAAGAGCUUGCUGCACCAGCACCAAAGGCACCAAAGCUUAUGGGUGAUGCUAUUAGAUGAGGGGCUGCAACAACUAAGCCCAAGGAAGCACCCAAAGUUGCCCCCAAGGCCAAGUCUGCACCAAAGAGGAAUACCAGGAGUAUUCCAGCUACUGAGAAGAACAAGGCCCUAGUGCCCGAGGUUGCUGAGGAGGAAGAUGAAGGACAGGUCCUAAGGAAGCUCAAGCCUAAGAUACCAGACCACAAUGAGGCCCAUCCUGUGGCUAAGGACAACAUCAGAAAAGACUCACGAUUGAGGCUAUGGAGGAUGGUAGAUCCAUAUGCCACAAGGAGAAGAACUGCUGUUGAUUACAGGUUCCAUUCAAAGGAACAGCAGGACUUCUAUGAGACAAUCUUAUUGGACAAGAAGCCCAUUGUGUGUGAUAUGAGGUGGGUCGACUGGACCUACAUGAAGGAGAAUGAAGAGCACUAUCCUGGAGUGCAAGACAACUUUGUUGCUUAUGGAGUUGCAGAUUUUGUUGGGCAAAAGCUCACAAACUAGAAUGAUGAACUUAUCAUGCAAUUCUACUCCACAGCACAUUUUUACCUAGAUGGAAGAAUUGUUUGGAUGUCUGAAGGUACAAGGUACCAAUCCACUGUUGAAGAAUGGGAAAAACUAAUAAAUGCCCCAAAGGAAAAUGAUGAUGAUCUGGAUAUAUAUGCCAUGAAGAAAAUGGGAAACAAUACCAUGGCACACAUGUACAAGGAGAUCCCAGACAAAGCCCUAGAGACUUUCUCUUUUGGAUCAGUCCAUUUUCUGUUGUCGGGGCUGCCUACUAUCAAUUGGAUUCUGAGGCACACUCUGUUGCCCAAGUCUGGUGACCACAACAUGAUCAGAGGGCAUGCAAUCAAUAUGUUGCAUUUAUUUGUGCCAUAGAAAUUCAAAGUCAUGAGCCUUAUAGUUGAAACCAUUAAGAGGACUGCAGCAGAUCAGAAGAGGAGCUGUGCAUAUGCGCCUCAGAUUCAGGAAUUGAUCAACUCAAAGAUGGGAACUGGCAAAUAUCUAUUGGAUAGGGAACAUUUUCCACUCUAUCCAGACUUUGAAGACAAUGAGGUUGUCAUGAAUGAGGAUGAUCCAUCAUCAGUUCAAGCUCAAGAGAAAAAGGAGAAGGAAAGGAAGGAGAAGGCUGCCAAGAUGCCAACUCAAGAGGAGGCAUCUGAGUAUUUCUUGAAGAACAAGCAGGAGCAGCUUGGUUACUUGAUAGCAUCAUCUCUGAGGAUUGAGAAGGGAUUGGCCACCCUCACUCAGAAUCAGGAGAGCUUGGAGAGAAUCAUGGAACUCAAAUUUCAUGAUCUUGAUGUCAAGGUAACUGAGAUUCAAACAGUUGUGGAGAAACUGCAGGAUGACAUGCAGGAGAGGAAUGGCAAGACUACCACUAAUGUCUUUGCCAGAGUGCCUAGAGCUCAGAGGCCAGCUGUUGUGCCAGUGCCAGAUACUAGAGCAACAUCUUCAGCACCAGCUACUGCCCCUUUAUCUCCAGUGCAACCAGCUUCAGCAUCAACUCCAGCACCCUCUACAUUAACUGAAGCCUUCGUCCAAGGAGCCAUCUCUACACCACCAACUGAAGAUCAAGCCUGAGAGUCGAUCUAGCACUAUGCAUUUUCUAUGAACUUUUUGGUAACUUGUUGCCAAAGGGGGAGAAAAAUGUAUAGAUCAUAGGCUUCGAGAGAGAGAGUGUGUUGCUUUUAUUCUCUCUUGCUUUGUUGGUUUAAACUUGUUUGUUUUUGAUUGUUUGAGAUACUAUGCUUGUGAGACAUUGAUGAUCAUGUGUUUGAUCAUAAGCUACACUUAUGCAUGUUGGAUGAUAUUAUCCUAUCUAUCUUAUGUGAUCAUUCACUUUGCUUGGUGAUGAGUGCAUGUAUUCAUUACUUAUCAUUUUGAGCGCUCCACCAAGAUGUAUGUGACAUGGAAGAGUAACCCAUGAGCCUAAUUCCUUGUGCAUUUGCAGUCCAAAGCAAAUUUUAAAUUAUGCACAAAUUUAGGGGGAGCUAUUUCUUAUCACAUACUUCUCAAAGCGACGAAGUUAUUCAAUCUUAUUAUCAUUUGUCGAAGCUUUGAUCUACAUGUUGUCAUCAAUUACCAAAAAUGGGGAGAUUGAAAGUGCAACUAUCCCUAGGUGGUUUUGGUAAUUCAUAACAACAUAUAGCUCAUUGAGCUAAUACUAUUCCAAGACUAUUAUUUCAGGAAAGCUCAAUGAAUGCCAUGGCAUGGAUGAUGAAAGUGGAUCCCUCAAAAUACUAAGGACAAAGGAUUGGCUCAAGCUCAAAAGCUCAAGACUCUCCAUUUUAUAUUUUAGUGAUCCAAGAUCACAUUGAAUCUAUAGGAAAAGCCAAUACUAUCAAGGAGGGAUGAGGUGUUGCUUAAUGAGCCUCUUGCGUCAUGUGCUUUGUGAUAUGCUCCAAAACCCUCAGCUACUUUCCCACAUCCACAAAUGACCUAAACCCAAAGCCGAAAUCGGUCACACCGAUUCUUCCAAUCCAGCGCCACCGAUUCCAAAAAUCAUAGCCACUGCCACAAACCCUAAGCAAAUCGGUCUUACCGAUAGGGAUCUCGGUCUCACCGAGAUGGGAUUGUAAUCUCUCUGUUUCCCUUUGUAACGUUUCGGUCUAACCGAAGUGAGUGAUCGGUCCCACCGAGAUUGCAAUGUAAACUCUCUGUUUCCCUUUUGUAACAUUUCGGUCUCACCGAAAAGAGCAAAUCGGUCCCACCAAGUUUACCUGACCGACUGUCUGGUUAGCUUAUUACCAAAAUCGGUUUGACCGAGUUUGUGUAAUCGGUCUUACCGAGAUUACGUUAUGCCCUAACCCUAACUGAAUUGGUCUCACCGAGAUGCAUGUCAGUCCCACCGAAAAUCACUAAUGGUCACUAGGUUUACUAAAUCGGUCCGGCCGAGUCUGUUGAAUCGGUCCCACCGAGUUUGGUAAAUUGUGUGUAACAGUUAGAUUUUGUGUGGAGGCUAUAUAUACCCCUCCACCUUCUCUUCAUUCGUGGAGAGAGCCAUCAGACUAAACCUACACUUCCAACUUACCAUUUCUGAGAGAGAACCACCUACUCAUGUGUUGAGGCCAAGAUAUUCCAUUCCUACCAUAUGAAUCUUGAUCUCUAGCCUUCCCCAAGUUUCUUUCCACUCAAACCCUCUUUCCACUAGAUCCAAAUCCUAUGAGAGAGAGUUGAGUUUGGGGAGACUAUCAUUUGAAGCACAAGAGCAAGGAGUUCAUCAUCAACGCACCAUUUGUUACUUCUUGGAGACUGGUGUCUCCUAGAUUGGCUAGGUGUCACUUGGGAGCCUCUGACAAGAUUGUGGAGUUGAACCAAGGAGUUUGUAAGGGCAAGGAGAUCGCCUACUUCGUGAAGAUCUACCGCUAGUGAGGCAAGUCCUUCGUGGGCGACGGCCAUGGUGGUAGACACGGUUGCUUCUUCGUGGACCCUUCGUGGGUGGAGCCCUCCGUGGACUCGCGCAGCCGUUCCCUUCGUGGGUUGAAGUCUCCAUCAACGUGGAUGUACGAUAGCACCACCUAUCGGAACCACGCCAAAAACAUCUGUGUCUCCAAUUGCGUUUGAAUCCUCCAGACCCUUCCCUUUACUUUCUUGCAAGUUGCAUGCUUUAAUUUCCGCUGCCUAUAUACUCUUUGCAUGCUUGCUUGAUUUGUGUGAUGAUUGCUUGACUUGUCCUAAGAUAGCUAAAAUCUGCCAAACUCUAAAACUGGGAAAAGGUUAAGUUUUAAUUGGUCAAGUAGUCUAAUCACCCCCCUCUAGACAUACUUCAAGGUCCUACAGGUGGGAAUCACUGCAUAACUGGAUCGGGAUGCUCAAACCUGUUCGUAAACUUCUCCGGCAGAGGAAACCUGCAAGACACACCAUGGCUACUGGUGGUGGAAGUGGGAUGAGGGGACAAGGGUUGUACGAAGCACCAAAUCUCAAAAAUUGACAUGGAUGAGGGGGCGGGUUGAUCUGACCGGCUAACAGCAUCCAACAGGAACUCAAGCCCCGCAUCCUCCAUCGCCGACACCGUCGGAACCAGCAGAAGCCGCCGCAAUUAUGGAUGGAGUGGGCUGAUGGGAGGGCGGGUUUGGCGGACCUCCUAUGGGCGGUCUCAAUCCUCGAUUGAUCUACCAAGAAAAGUCCACAAAUUCGUCCGUGUGACGGCUCAGGUUUUUCACGUAACCCUGGGCCACGGCUCAAACAGAAAUUCUCUGUCCUGGCCCACGGAGCAUGAAAUCCUGCGCGAGUCGAGGCUCCCAUCCCUACUUAAUUGGCCCCACACACGGUCGCAUUGUUUCAUGCCGUAUACAAGACGUAUCUUCAUUAUUUGCCGGUGCAUAUUUUCUUGGGAAAAACAUCCAAUAUAUUCAACUUCAAUCAUGGCGGUAAACACUAGAUAUAAUUAAAAUUAUAUACAGAUCCGUAGACCACCUAGCGACGACUACAAGAACUAAAGCGAGCCGAAGGCGCGCCGCUGUCAUUGCCCCUCCCUUGCCGGAGCUAGGCAAAACUUGUUGUAGUAGACAGCCAGGAAGUCAUCGUGCUAAGGUCCUAUAGGACUAGCACAUCAGAACAGCAACCGCCGCCGAUGAAGAGUAGCGUAAAUCGGAAGGAUCCAACCUGAAAACACACGAACAUAGACGAACGACGAACAUAUCCAAGCAUAUCCACCAAGGACAAAUCUACCGGAGACACACAUCCACACGCCCAUCGACAAUGCUAAAUGCACCAUCAGAACUGGGGCUAGGCGAGGAGAGCCUUAUUCCAUCUUAGGGAGCAGCCACUGUAUCGUCUUCCUGAGUUGGACACAAACCCUAACAAAUCACGAAGACACAUCAAAAAACCGAGCCCUCCUCCACCGCGCUCCCAUGACCCUAAGGAAAACCGCAGAUGAGGUGGACUGGCGACAACACCGGUGGGAGGCACGGGAAUCCUAGUUGGGGAGGAGGAGGCGGCCUGAGGAGUCAUGUAAUGUCCUUUCUAGGUUCACCGGUUGGCCCCUUCUAUUCUGUCGAUGCAUACCUGACACGUCAGAACGAAUUGUUGCAAUCCCCAGGCAACAGCGAAUGCUAGAGAUUUCCGGAGCAGCUAAGCUCGAGCACUGAAUCGCUGCGUCCGGGGAGCUAGUAGCCAGACGAGAAACCGAGCGUGUGUAAAGCGCUAAACUACACUGUCCCAACAGAGCGUGCGUGUGAGUGUUGAUGUGCCAACCAACGCCAUAAGCAUGGUAGAGGAGCGCUCCUGCAACUUGUUGCCUCAAAUAGGUGGGAAAACACAUAAGGACACGCACUGGUCGGCCCAUUCAUUUCAUACUGUACCAACUCGAUGGCGAAGAUUUUUUCGGUGUUGUACACUUUCAAGCGCUUUUUUCAAUUAGGGGUUUUCUUUGUCAUAUUUUCAAAAACAUUAGAAAAACGUAUUUAUUGAAAAACUAAGUAUUGAGUUUUUAUAAUAAUUAUACAAAAUGUGAACAUUUUUAAAACAUGAAUGUUUUUCAUAAUGCUAACCAUUUUUUCAUGUUUUGAACAUUUUUUCAAAAACACCAAUAUUUUUUGAAAACACUAAAAAAUUGUGAAAACAUUCAAAUGAAAUUAUACAUUUUGAAAAAAAUAUUCAUAUAUUUAAUAAACAAGAACAUUUUUGAACAUUUUGUGAAAAACCCGAAAAAGAACAAAAGAAAACAAAAAUAAAACCAGCAAAAGAAGAAAACCUAAAAAACCGGAUUCCUUAAUGCAUCAUAAUAAUGCACGACUAUUUUUUAUGAAUAUGUCUUCGAAUCAAAAAUGUCUUUCAUACAUGUGUUUGCCUAUACCUCACUUUUAGUCAGGCAAAAGAACACAAGGCCUCAGGCCCCUGUAUUGUAACCUAGGGAUCCUUCAUUAUGCAGGAAGCCGACUUGUCCAGGGCCUCGUAGGUCGGCUUGUCCAGGGCCUCGUAGGCCUCGUAGGUCGGCUUAUCCAGGGCCAUCAAUCCGGCUCAUGGACCCAAUUAGAGAAAGGCCCGGGGGACUUGGAGUGGGUGACAGGGCGACUAGCGUCCAGGAGAACUCCUCCAACGACCAACUACGAUCGUGUAAUCCUACACCCCGACACCCAUAUAUGUGGCGGCUGGAUUAGUCAAUAGACAGAGAACCUUAGAGCUAUUUCUCAAUCCAUCGAUUAUUGUAAGCCCUAUACACGAGCAAUAUACAGAGCAGGGGUUAGGAUUUUACCUCAUACAUGAGGGUCUGAACCUGGAUAAACCCCUUCUUAUUUCCCAUUUGGUUUAAUCGCAUGGCCAGAGUACCUUAUCAAGUGAUCUGCCGGAAAUAACUCCACCACGUCAUAAAUGGGCUAGGGCCAGAUUUUUUUUCUCCUUUUCUCUUAUUUUGUUUCUACUUUUGGUUCAAUUUUAAAAAUACUGUAAAUAUAUAUAUUUGGAAAUAUUCUUCAUUAAUUAUUAAUAACAUUCACCAUGCCUGAAAUAUUGGUCAUGAAAUGUAAUUAUUUGUUUGCACAAUUUCAGAAAUUGUUCAUAUCCUUCAAAAGAAUAUUCCUAUCAUUUUUAAAAUGUUUGCAUGUUUAAAAAAUGAGUGGUUUUUUAACAAUGUUUAUUAAAAUAUAUAAAAAUUGACACUGUAAUUUGUAAAAAAGUUCAUACCAUUCAAAAAAUGUUUAACAAUUUAAAAAUGUUCAAACAUUUUAAUUUUAAGUAUUUUUUAGUAAACAAUAUUGAAAUAGAAAAAAAAAUUGACGAAAACUUAAAAGUUUAUAACAUAUAAAAAUGUUUGUAAAAUUUUCAAAUAUGUUCAUAAACACUUACGAAAUGUUUGGCACUUUUACGGAUAUGUUGAUGUCUUAAUUUUUUUGAAAACUAUCAAUGAAAUUUACAAAAAUGUUCCUAACAGCCAGAUCUGGACUCAACAAGCCCCCGCGUCCCCUCCUCUGGCGACUCGGGGGCCACCCUACCCGCGCUGCCAGCAGACCUCCCCCACCCCAUCCCCUGCUUUGCCGCCGCCGGAGGGGACGCGGGCUAAGCCGCACAUACUCCAAGGAUGGUGGCGGCGGGGCUCUCAUGGCUGGCGUUCUCGCGAAUCCGGGGCCUCUGCUCAAGAGGACGAUGGGCGUCGGUGGCCGCGUCACGCGACGGAUGCCGCUCGGUGGUCGGCGCUAAGCGCGGAUCUGGGUCGCUCUGCGCGAAGUGAGGGCGGCCGGAGCUCUGGUCGGCGUCGGGGGCACGGUGCCGGCCUCCGUGCUCCGGUGGCCCGCCCUAGAUCAAGAUGCGGCAUCCUGCCCAUGGCCUCGCCUCCUGAUGGUUCUGGGCCAGCCGCGGUUCGCGUCGGGGUGGAUCUGGAGGCUUGUUGGUGAUGCGUUUCGCUGGACUGGCUGAAUCCAAUUAGAUCGGCCCAUGGUCGUCUGGCGUGGGGCAGAGGAGGGUGGUGGUGAGUGGUGCUGGUGGAGGUGGUGGGGGGUGGUGGCAGUGCUGCUGCUGCCGAUCUUGACCUCACUGCCUUCUGUUGGCAUGCGAGCGCAUCGGUUCUGGUCUCCAACGGUUGCGCAGUGGCACACAUGGGGUGUGCCGGUGCUCCUGAUGUAUGCCUGCAGCCCGGACUAUGGUGGUUCCUAGCCUCGGGCAGUGCUCCUCUGCUCCUUGCCAGCAUGGUGCUUGGCAGGGCACGGUGGCACACACUACGUCCGGUGGCCUGCGCUCGGUUGGCUGUUGAUGGAUCUUGUGCCUAGUGCUCAUGUUUGGUCGUUGGUGGUCUCCACAGGGUGUUGUUGGCUCCGGCAGCUUCUCGUGCUUCUUUGUCUUUCGAAGGGUUCGAUGGUGGUGGUGGUCGGUUGUCGUCAUGUUGUAGGGAUGUGCUCAAACUCCGGGUGAGAACCUUACAUCGACUAUGUUGAUGUCGGCAGCAACAACGUCUAUGGCCGUCGUUUUCCUUGCAGGAGGUGCCGUUGUGGAGCUCCAGCACCUACAAUACUUUGUUUUGUGGUCUCCGGGUGAAAACCUAAGAUUGGGCUUGCCAGAUCGGAUGACGGUGUUGUGCCCUCAACAACACUACCUCCUUGGAGGCAUCAUCUUGGAGACCCAAACGACGGCUUCAGUUUGCGGCAUGUGGUUGAGGGUGGUCCGUUUGGUGGUGGUGGUGUGGCCUACUCAGGACCGAUGGUGGUGUGCUCUUCUUCAUGUGUUUCCCUCACUACAAAAAAAAGACACAUCCGUGACAUUUUGAGCCGAAUGAAUUUUUUUUCUGUCAUAUUUAUGACACUUCUAUGACGAUAAUUGUGACAAAACCCGGUAUCAUCAUAGAUGUGGUGGGCUCCUACUUCUAUGACAAAAAAUCAUGACAGAAAAUGGGCUUUUUGUCUUGGGCGGGCCGGAGACGCAGCUGCAUGACAUUCUUUGGGCCAUCCAUGACGGAAAAAACCAUGGUAGAAGUGAGGACGAGGAAAAAUUCGUCGAGUUCCCGGUUACGGUGGGAGGUCGGGGGCCGAGCGAUGCACGUUUAUCUCAUACACGUACGCGCGUGUGUGCGAGGCGUUGGCUCUAACUGAACCCGAGUGAGGCGUUGGGCUCUAACUGAAACCGAGUGAUUGCACUACAGGCUACACAUUACUGAACCCGAGCGAUCGAGCGAUGGCUUUAACUGAAGCCGAUUGAGCGAUUCCUUCGCUACUGCUGCUAACUGAAGCCAAUCGAUGCUGCCUCUGGAUGAACAGNNNNNNNNNNNNNNNNNNNNNNNNNNNNNNNNNNNNNNNNNNNNNNNNNNNNNNNNNNNNNNNNNNNNNNNNNNNNNNNNNNNNNNNNNNNNNNNNNNNNNNNNNNNNNNNNNNNNNNNNNNNNNNNNNNNNNNNNNNNNNNNNNNNNNNNNNNNNNNNNNNNNNNNNNNNNNNNNNNNNNNNNNNNNNNNNNNNNNNNNNNNNNNNNNNNNNNNNNNNNNNNNNNNNNNNNNNNNNNNNNNNNNNNNNNNNNNNNNNNNNNNNNNNNNNNNNNNNNNNNNNNNNNNNNNNNNNNNNNNNNNNNNNNNCCUCGUGGAGGCUGGAUGAACAGGACGACCCCGUGGAGGGCUGGAUGAACAGUAGAAGGUGGAGGGGUGGAUGAACAGGAGCUCGUGGAGAGGGGUGGUUGAACAAUAGCCUUUGGAGUAGCGCGCGGUGGAGGCUGGAUGAACAGGAGCUCGUGGAGGCUGGAGGAGGUCGAUGGUGGAUGAACAGUAGCCCCGUGAGGCUGGAGGAGGUCGACGGUGGAGAUGAACAGUAUCCCGUGGAGUCGUUUUGUGGUAUGCCACACCCCUCCCAAUGAACAAGACCCCCGUUUCGACCGUAGCGCUCCAACACAAGUUCGUUUCAUCCGUUUUGCGGUACGCCACACCCCUCCUGAUCAACAGGACCCCCGUUUCGACCGUAGGAGGUCCGUUUCCUCCGUUUUGCAGUACGCGAGACCCCUCCCUAUGAACAGGAUCCUGUUUCGAACGUGGCUGGUAGAACACAAGGCCGUUUCCUCCGUUCUGCGGUACACCAGGCCUCAUUUCCAUCGCCUGUUCCAUCCAAGCCGGUUGGCUCCCACACGUUCCGUUGCCUCCCGAUGAACACGACGAAUUCCGUUUCCUCCCCAUGAACACGACGCAUCCCGUUGCGUCCCCAUGAACACGACGACGACGCAGUUUCUCUGUUCCGACCCGCCAUGUGCACGAGCCCUGGCCGUACAUAUGCGUGAGUAGGCGUUCAAGACCCCACCCAUAUGUACAUAAGUGGCCAUAUUUACUUUCUUGCACCCUGGCCGUUGUACGUACGUGUACAUGCUACGUGUGCGCCUCUACUAAAACACGUGCGCGCCUCUACAUCGACCAAUAUGUACGUACACGUUCGCGACCAGAAUGACAAUGCUACGUACACUUCGACCAGGUGGGUCCCGACUGUCAGGCAAUUCCUUGCGUGCGAAGAUGUAGCUGGUGGGUCCCAGCAGUCAGGGGGUGAAUCGUUUUUUUGCCCGGACGCACUUCCUUGCGUGCGAAGAUGUAGCUAGUGGGUCCCAGAAGUCAGUGGGCGAAUCAUUUUUUUGCCUGUAAUAUGGAUGCACUUCCUUGCAUGCGAAGAUGUAGCUGGUAGGUCCCAGCAGUCCAGGGGGAAAUUUUUUUUUCACGAAAUACGGUGGCCCAUCCGGUGGGUCCCCGCUGUCAGGUGGAGGAAUAAUUAUUUUUCGCAUAAUAAAGAGGCACUUCCUUGCGGCUGCCGUGGACCCAGCUGUCAGCCUCACCACGUACAGUACUCUUCCAAUGGAAUUCGGUAGUUGACCACAUUGACCACGCCGCGCCGAGAGCACCACGGCGGUGGAUGACGGCGAGACCUAGGAAGGGAACGAAGCGGAGAUGCUACCUCUUGAGCACUGCGUUGGAUUUCCCCGAAGAGGAGAGGAUGAUGCAGCAAAGUAGCGUAAGUAUUUCCCUCAGUUUUUGAGAACCAAGGUAUCAAUCCAGUAGGAGACUACGCACAAGUCCCUCGUACCUACACAAAACGAUAGCUCCUCACAACCAAUGCGAUUAGGGGUUGUCAAUCCCUUCACGGUCACUUACGAGAGUGAGAUCUGAUAGAGAUGAUAAAUAAUAUUUUUGGUAUUUUUGGUAUAUAGAUGCAAAGUGAAAAGUAAAAGGAAAAGUAAGAACCAAGCAAGUAAUAAAGUAAUGGAGAUUGAUAUGAUGAGAAUAGACCCCAGGGCCAUAGGUUUCACUAGUGGCUUCUCUCAAGAGCAUAGAUAUUCUACGGUGGGUGAACAAAUUACUGUUGAGAAAUUGACAGAAUUGAGCAUAAUUAUGAGUAUAUCUAGGUAUGAUCAUGUAUAUAGGCAUCACGUCCAAGACAAGUAGAUCGAAACGAUUCUGCCUCUACUACUAUUACUCCACUCAUCGACCGCUAUCCAGCAUGCAUCUAGAGUAUUAAGUUAAAAACAGAGUAAUGCCUUAAGCAAGAUGACAUGAUGUAGAGGGUUAAAUUCAUGCAAUAUGAUAAAAACCCCAUCUUGUUAUCCUCGAUGGCAACAAUACAAUACGUGCCUUGCUGCCCCUUCUGUCACUGGGAAAGGACACCGCAAGAUUAAACCCAAAGCUAAGAACUUCUCCUAUUACAAGAACUACCAAUCUAGUUGGCCAAACCAAACGGAUAAUUCGAAGAGACUUGCAGAGCUAACUCAAUCAUACAUAAAAGAAUUCAGAGAAGAUUCAAAUAUUAUUCAUAGAUAAGAUGGAUCAUAAACCCACAAUUCAUCGGUCUCAACAAACACACCGCAAAAAGAAGAUUACAUCGAAUAGAUCUCCACGAGAGAGGGGGAGAACAUUGUAUUGAGAUCCAAUAAGAGAGAAGAAGCCAUCUAGCUACUAGCUAUGGACCCGAAGGUCUGAAGUAAACUACUCACACUUCAUCGGAGGGGCUAUGGUGUUGAUGUAGAAGCCCUCCGUGGUGCAUGCCCCCUCCGGCGGAGCUCCGGAACAGGCCCCAAGAUGGGAUCUUGUGGAUACAGAAGGUUGCAGCGGUGGAAUUAGGUUUUUGGCUCCUCCCCUGAUCGUUUGGGGUACGUAGGUAUAUAUAGGAGGAAGGAGUAUGUCGGUGGAGCAACAGGGGGGCCACGAGGCAGGGGGCGCGCCCUAGGGGGGGGGCACCCCCGACCCUCGUGACCGACUCUUUUGUUCCUUGGAGUAGGGUCCAAGUCUCCUGGAUCAUGUUCGGUGAGAAAAUCACGUUCCCGAAGGUUUCAUUCCGUUUGGACUCUGUUUGAUAUUCCGUUUCUUCGAAACACUGAAAUAGGCAAAAAACGGCAAUUCUGGGCUGGGCCUCCGGUUAAUAGGUUAGUCCAAAAAUAAUAUAAAAGUGGAAAAUAAAACCCAAUAUAGUCCAAAACAGUAGAUAAAGUAGCAUGGAGCAAUCAAAAAUUAUAGAUACGUUGGAGACGUAUCGGGCAUCCCCAAGCUUAAUUCCUGCUCGUCCUCGAGUAGGUAAAUGAUCAAAAGAGAAUUAUUGAUGUGGAAUGCUACCUAGCAUAAUUCUCAAUGUAAUUUUCUUUAUUGUGGCAUAAAUGUUCAGAUCCAAAUGAUUCAAAAUAAAAGUUCAUAUUGAUAAAAGAAAUAUUAACACUUCAAGCAUACUAAUCAAAGUAAUCAUGUCUUCUCAAAAUAACAUGGCAAAAGAAAGUUCAUCCCUACAAAAUCAUAUAGUUAGGCUAUGCUUCAUUUUCGUCACACAAAGAUGUUCCCAACUUCUAUACCCCCGAUGACAAGCCAAGCAAUUGUUUCAUACUCAAAUAAUCUCAAACUUCUUCAACCUUCACGCAAUACAUGAGCUUGAGCCAUGGAUAUAGCACUAUGGGUGAAAUAGAAUAUGAUGAUGGGGAUUGUGUGGAGAAGACAAACAAGGAGAAAGUCUCACAUUCACGAGGAUAAUCAACAGGCUAUGGAGAUGCCCAUCAAUUGAUGUCAACAUGAGGAGUAGGGAUUGCCAUGCAACGGAUGCACUAGAGCUAUGAAUGCUCAACAAAAGUAAAACUAGUGGGUGUGCAUCCAACUCGCUUGCUCAUGAAGACCUAGGGCAUUUGAGGAAGCCCAUGGUAGGAAUAUACAAGCCAAGUUCUAUAAUGAAAAAUUCCCACUAGUAUAAAAAGACAACUUAUGAGACUCACUACAUGAAGAACAAGGUGCUACUUUGAAGCACAAUAUAUGAGACUCACUACAUGAAGAACAAGGUGCUACUUUGAAGCACAAGUGUGGAAAAGAGAUAGUAGCAUUGCCCUUUUUAUUUACUUUCUUUUUUUAUUUUUUUUAUUUUUUGGGCCUUUCUUCCUUUUUUUUCUUUUUUUUCUUUUUUGGCAAUGCUCUAAUAAUGAUGAUCAUCACACUUCUAUUGAUUACAACAUAAGGAUUACAACUCGAAACUUAGAACAAGAUAUGACUCUAUAUGAAUGCCUCCGGCGGUGUACAGGGAUGGUGCAAUGAAUCAAGAGUUACAUGUAUGAAAAAUAAUGCAUGGUGGCUUUGCCACAAAUACGAUGUCAACUACAUGAUCAUGCAAUGGCAAUAUGACAAAAGUAAUGUAUGUCAUGAUGAUGAUGAUGGAAGUUGCAUGGAAAUAUAUCUCGAAAUGGCUAUGGAAAUGCCAUGAUAGGUAGGUAUGGUGGCUUUUUUGAGGAAGAUAUAAGGAGGUUUAUGUGUGAUAGAUCGUAUCGUAUCACAGGGUUUGGAUGCACCGACGAAGUUUGCACCAACUCUCAAGGUGAGAAAGGGCAAUGCACGGUACCGAUGAGGCUAGCAAAGGCGGAAAGGUAAAAGUGCGUAUAAUCCAUGGACUCAACAUUAGUCAAAAGAACUCAUAUACUUAUUGCAAAAAUUUAGAAGUCAUCAAAAAUCAAGUACUACGCGCAUGCUCCUAGGGGGAUAGAUUGGUAGGAAAAGACCAUCGCUCGUCCCCGACCGCCACUCAUAAGGAUGCACAAGCCAGGUACACUUCAUGUUUCAAAUUUUUUACACAACUUUAACCAUACGUGCAUGCUACGGGACUUGCAAACUUCAACACAAGCAUCUCAAAUUCACAAUUACUCAACUAGCACGACUUUUAUAUUAUCACCUCCAUAUCUCAAAACAAUUAUCAAGCAUCAAACUUAUCUUAGUAUUCAACGCACUCAAAAGAAAGUUUCACAUAUCUUGAAUACCAAGUAUAUUAAUAUUAAGCAAAUUACCAUGCUAUUAACGACUCUCAAGAUAAUCUAAGUGAAGCAUGAGAGAUCAAUAGUUUCUUUAAAACAAAUCCACCACCAUGCUCUAAAAGAUCUAAGUGAAGCACUAGAGCAAAAAUUAUCACGCUCAAAAGAUAUAAGUGAAGCACUAUGAGCAAAACUAUCAAGCUCAAAAGAUAUAAGUGAAGCACAUAGAGUAUUCUAGCAAAUUCCAAUUCAUGUAUGGCUCUCUCAAAAGGUGUGUACAGCAAGGAUGAUUGUAGUAAACUAACAAGUAAAGACAAAAAUAAUACAAGACGCUCCAAGCAAAACACAUAUCAUGUGGUGAAUAAAAAUAUAGCUCCAAGUAAAUUACCGAUGGAAGUAGACGAAAGAGGGGAUGCCUUCCGGGGCAUCCCCAAGCUUUGAAUUUUUGGUUUCCUUGGAUUAUCUUUGGGGUGCCAUGGGCAUCCCCAAGCUUAGGAUCUUGCCACUCCUUGUUCCAUAAUCCAUCAAAAGAAUUCACCCAAAACUUGAAAACUUCACAACACAAAACUCAAUAGAAAUCUCGUGAGCUCCGUUAGAGAAAGAAAACAAAAAACUACUUAAAGGUACUGUAAUGAACUCAUUCUUUAUUUAUAUUGGUGUUAAACCUAAUGUAUUCCAACUUCUCUAUGGAUUAUAAACUAUUUUACUAGCCAUAGAUUCAUCAAAAUAAGCAAACAACACACGCAAAACAGAAUCUGUCAAAAACAGAACAGUCUGUAGCAAUCUAUAACUAACGCAAACUUCUGGAACUCUAAAACUCCUACCAAAAUAGGAAGUCCUGUACAAUUUUUUUAUUGAACAGAAUAAAAAAGAAUCAACGCAAAAUCACGUUUCUGUGAUUUAAAAAAAUUAUAUUCGUGCGUGCAAAGUUUCUGUUUUUCAGCAGAAUCAAAUCAACUAUCAUCGUAGGUUAUCCUAUAGGUUCUACUUGGCACAAACACUAAUUAAAAUAUAAAACCACAUCCAAACAGAGGCUAGAUGGAUUAUUUAUUCCUAAACAGAAGCAAAAACAAAAAAACAAAAAUAAAAUUGGGUUGCCUCCCAACAAGCUCUAUUGUUUAACGCCCCUAGCUAGGCAUAAAAGCAAGGAUAGAUCUAGGUAUUGCCAUCUUUGGUAGGCAAUCCAUAAGUGGAUCUCAUGAUAAAUUCAUAUGGUCAUUUUAUUUUCUUUCUAGGGAAGUUUUCCAUGCCCUUCUUUAAGGGAAAUUGUAAUCUAAUAUUCCCUUCCUUCAUAUCAAUAAUUGCACCAAUCGUUCUAAGGAAAGGUCUACCAAGAAUAAUAGGACAUGAAGGAUUGCAAUCUAUAUCAAGAAUGAUAAAAUGUACGGGCACAUAAUUCCUAUUUGCAACAAUAAGAACAUCAUUAGUUCUUCCCAUAGCCUUUUUAAUAGUGGAAUCCGCAAGUGCAAGUUUAGAGAGCAAUCAUCAAAGUCGCGGAAAUCUAGCAAAUCACACAAAGUUUUGGGAAUAGUAGAGACACUAGCACCCAAAUCACACAAAGCAUGAAACUCAUAAUCUUUAAUUUUAAUUUUAGUAGUAGGUUCCCACUCAUCAUAGAGUUUUCUAGGGAUGGAAGCUUUCAACUCAAGUUUUUCUUCAUAAGAUUACAUCAAGGCAUCAACAAUGUGUUCGGUAAAGGCCUUAUUUUGACUAUAAGCAUGAGGAGAAUCUAGCACGGAUUGCAACAAGGAAAUACAAUCAAUUAAAGAGCAAUUUUCAUAAUUAAAUUCCUUGAGAUCCAAAAUAGUGGGUUUAGCAACAUCUAGGUUUUUAUUUCUUUCAAUCGCACUUUUAUCAAUUUCGUCAUCAAGAUCUAGAAACUCCGAAUUCUUAGAACGCUGUCUAGGUAAAGGAAGAUCAUAUUCAGUUUCAUGAAGAUUCAUAUUGCAAAACAAGGAUUUAAUGGGGGACACAUCAAUAACUUUUAGAUCUUCAUCUUGAUUUUCAUAGGAAUUGGAAGAACAGGCUUUAAUAAAGGCAUCUUUGGAAGCACGCAUCCUAGCGGUUCUUUCUUUGCAGUCAUCAAUGGAAAUUCUCAUGGCUUUGAGAGACUCAUUGAUAUCAUGCUUAAGAGGAAUAGACCUAAGCUUUAAAGAAUCAAUUUCAAGAGAAAUUCUAUCAACAUUCCUAGACAAAUCAUCAACUUUAAUCAAUUUCUCUUCAAGCAAAGCAUUAAAAUUCUUUUGUGAAUUCAUAAACUCUUUAACACUACUCUCAAAUUCAGAGGGCAUCUUAUUAAAAUUUCCAUAAGAGUUGUUGUAGGAAUUUCCAUAAUUAUUAGAAGGAUUACUAGGAUAAGGCCUAGGAUUAAAAUUCCCUCUAUACGUGUUGUUUCCAAAACUAUUCCUACCAACAAAAUUCACAUCCAUAGAUUCAUUACUAUUCUCAAUGAAAGUAGACAAGGGCAUAUCAUUGGGAUCAAGAGAAGUAGUUUUAGUAGCAAACAUCUUCAUAAGUUCAUCCAUCUUUUCACUCAAAACAUUGAUUUCUUCUAUAGCAUGCACUUUUUUACUAGAAGAUCUUUCGGUGUGCCAUUGAGAAUAAUUAGCCAUAAUAUUAUCAAGCAAUUUUGUAGCAUCUCCUAACGUAAUUUCCACAAAUGUGCCUCCCGCGGCUGAAUCUAAAAGAUUUCUAGAAGCAAAAUUCAAUGCAGCAUCAAAUUUUUGUAUGAUCAUCCAUAAAUUCAAACCAUGAGUAGGGCAAUUGUGAAGCAUAAAUUUCAUUCUUUCCCAUGAUUGGGCAACAUGCUCAUGAUCAAGUUGUUUAAAAUUCAUAAUAUCGUUCCUAAGAGUGAUGAUCUUAGCAGGAGGAAAAUACUUAGAGAUAAAAGCAUCUUUGCACUUGUUCCAAGAAUCAAUACUAUUUUUAGGCAAAGAAGAAAACCAAACUUUAGCAUGAUCUCUAAGUGAAAACGGAAAUAACUUCAAUUUGACAAUAUUGUUAUCCGUAUCUUUCUUCUUUUGCAUAUCACACAAAUCAGCAAAAUUGUUUAGAUGAGUAGCGGCACCUUCACUAGGAAGGCCGGUGAAUUGAUCUUUCAUAACAAGAUUUAGCAAAGCGGCAUUGAUUUCACAAGACUCAUCAUUAUUAAGAGGCAAUAGAAGUACUAAGCAAAUCAUUAUUAUUGGUAUUUGAGAAGUCACACAAUUUGGUAUUAUCUUGCGUCAUGGCAACAAGUAAUCCAACACACAAGCAAACAGAAAGGCAAAGGGAAAAGGCAAACGGGAAAAAGAGGAGGAGAUUGGGAAAGAGAGGGCGAAUAAAACGGCAAGGGUGAAGUGGGGGAGAGGAAAACGAGAGGCAAAUGGCAAAUAAUGUAAUGCGAGAGAUAGGGAUUGUGAUGGGUACUUGGUAUGGUUGACUUGCUCUUGGUGAGCCUCCCCGGCAACGGCGCCAGAAAUUCUUCUUGCUACCUCUUGAGCACUGCGUUUGAUUUCUCCGAAGAGUCGAGGAUGAUGCAGCAAAGUAGCGUAAGUUUUUCCCUCGGUUUUUGAGAACCAGGGUAUCAAUCCAGUAGGAGACCACGCACAAGUCCCUCGUACCGUGUCAAUCCCUUCACAGUCACUUACGAGAGUGAGAUCUGAUAGAGAUGAUAAAUAAUAUUUUGGUAUUUUUGGUAUAUAGAUGCAAAGUGAAAAGUAAAAGGCAAAGUAAGAACAAAGCAAGUAAUAAAGUAAUGGAGAUUGAUAUGAUGAGAAUAGACCUGAGGGCCAUAGGUUUCACUAGUGGCUUCUCUCAAGAGCAUAGAUAUUCUAUGGUGGGAGAACAAAUUACUGUUGAGCAAUUGACAGAAUUGAGCAUAAUUAUGAGUAUAUCUAGGUAUGAUCAUGUAUAUAGGCAUCACGUCCAAGACAAGUAGAUCGAAACGAUUCUGCAUCUACUACUAUUACUCCACUCAUCGACCGCAAUCCAGCAUGCAUCUAGAGUAUUAAGUUAAAAAUAGAGUAAUGCCUUAAGAAAGAUGACAUGAUGUAGAGGGAUAAAUUCAUGCAAUAUGAUAAAAACCCCAUCUUGUUAUCCUCGAUGGAAACAAUACAAUACGUGCCUUGCUGCCCCUUCUGUCACUAGGAAAGGACACCGCCAGAUUGAACCCAAAGCUAAGCACUUCUCCCAUUGCAAGAACUACCAAUCUAGUUGGCCAAACCAAACGGAUAAUUCGAAGAGACUUGCAAAGAUAACUCAAUCAUACAUAAAAGAAUUCAGAGAAUAUUCAAAUAUUAUUCAUAGAUAAGAUGGAUCAUAAACCCACAAUUCAUUGGUCUCAACAAACACACCACAAAAAGAAUAUUACAUCGAAUAGAUCUCCACGAGAGAGGGGGAGAACAUUGUAUUGAGAUCCAAAAAGAGAGAAGAAGCCAUCUAGCUACUAGCUAUGGACCCAAAGGUCUGAAGUAAACUACUCACACUUCAUCGGAGGGGCUAUGGUGUUAAUGUAGAAGCCCUCCAUGGUGGAUGCCCCCUCCGGCGGAGCUCCAGAACAGGCCCCAAGAUGGGAUCUCGUGGAUACAUUAGGUUGUGGCGGUGGAAUUAGGUUUUUGGCUCCUCCCCUGAUCAUUUGGGGGUACGUAGGUAUAUAUAGGAGGAAGGAGUACAUUGGUGGAGCAACAGGGGGGCCACGAGGCAGGGGGGCGUGCCCUAGGGGGGGAGGCGCCCCCCACCCUCGUGACCGACUCUUUUGUUCCUUGGAGCAGGGUCCAAGUCUCCUAGAUCACGUUCGGUGAGAAAAUCACGUUCCCGAAUGUUUCAUUCCGUUUGGACUCCGCUUGAUAUUUCAUUUCUUCGAAACACUGAAAUAGGCAAAAAAUAGCAAUUCUGGGCUGGGCCUCCGGUUAAUAGGUUAGUCCCAAAAAUAAUAUAAAAGUGGAAAAUAAAGCCCAAUAUAGUCCAAAACAGUAGAUAAAGUAGCAUGGAGCAAUCAAAAAUUAUAGAUACGUUGGAGACGUAUCAGGAGCCGGGGAAGACGCGGCAGUGGAUGCUCACGCAGAGAGGAGUACGAGGGUUCACUGGUUCGGCUGCACUGCCGUCACCGCAGAAUAAUAGGGGGUGUGGGUGAGUGCAGUGGAGGGAUGACCUGGCUAGCGGUGGGAGUAGUAUGGGGUCGACGAGGCCUCCGCAGCAGCACAGCCAACCACGGUAGGCAGGAGCAGGCGGCACGACCGGCGAUGCUUUAGGCGGCUGGAGCAAGAAGACCAGAGGUUGAAGAAGCACUACGGCCGUUGGAUGGACAUCGUACGGUCAAUCGAGCUAGAAUCGUGCAUAUUGACUAAGUUGACAAAGCCCUCCGUCCCUGUCAACUUAGUAUGCCCACUAUACUGGGUUCCAGCAAGCAGGGGGAGUAUUCAUUUUUUUAUGUGCGUAAUAAGGAGGCACUUCCUUGCGUGCGAAGAUAUAGCUGGUGGGUCCGAGCUGUUAGCGGCGGUAAUGUUUUUUUCAUGAAAUACAUAGGCCCUUUCGGUGGGUCCCAGAUGUCAGAUGGAGGAAUCAUUAUUUUGCGCGUAAUAAGGAGGCAUUUCCUUGCAUGCAGCAAUGGACCCAGCUGUCAGCCUCUCCACGUACAGUCCACUUCGGAUGCAUGUCGGUCGUUAACCAUGUUGACCACGCCACGCCGAGAGCACUAGGGCGGUGGACGGCGGUGAGGCCUAGGAAGUGAACGACACGGAGCCAGGGAAGACUCGGCAGUUGUUUCCCACGCGGACGGGAGUACGAUUGUACGAGGGUUUACUGGUUCGUCUGCCGUCGCCAGAGAAUAACAACGGGUGUGGGUGAGUAGAGGGAUGGCUAGGCCAGUGAUGGGAGUACGAUGGGGCGGUGAGGCCUACGCGGCAGCACAGCUAGCCGCGGGGAGGAGGGAGCAGGCAGUCCCGCCGGUGCUUGUUUGAGCGGCUGGAGUAGCAAGAGUAGAGAUUGAAGAAGCACGACGGCUGUUGGAUGGAUAUCCAACAGUCACUGCUUGUGCGUCAACCCUUUUUUAGGAAUGCCUCAAAUCUGUGGAAAACUGAUUACAGGCCAUCUGCCAUUAUAUCUAAUAAUUUACAACCCAUUUGCUAAUUCUUACAGUUGUUUUUGGAGCCCAUAUUCUUUUUGAUAGCAUUACAGCCCAUAUUGUGGCCACGGUUAAAAAAUUAUAUGAAAUUUUGCAUAUGUCGGUGUGGUCUGAACUGUUUUUAAUCCCGAAAUUUCGAGUCACAUUCAGACUGAUUUUAAAAAUAAAUGUAUAUCAAUAUAAAAUCCAAUAAAUUGUCCAUGCAUAAAAAUCAAUGCAAUUUAAAAUCUCGAAAUGAAAAAAAGAUAUUUGAAACUAAUUGCUGGUUUGAUGUGUUUUAAAAAUGUACAACCCAUUUCUCAUUACUGAUAGGCCAUUUUCUCGUCCAGCCGAAUGAAGCUCUCCUUGUCUUGAAAGAUUUGCAGCCCAACAGGCCUGAUAAAGCGACUUACUUGACAAAUCACAAAAAAACUAGGCUAGCCAUUUUUAGAAAGAAAAAAAAACUACUGGGCUGGUCUGUGGUAAACAGAAAAGAAAAGGCUGUCUAGGCAGGCCAGAGUGUCCCGCACAGCCCAGUUGACACCCUGCUUCCGUCUCAAAAACAAAUUAGAUAAAUGCCACUCCAAUUAUGGCAAUUCAUAAAAAUGCCACUGCAAUUUCCAAACUUUGAAAAAUGCCACUGCAAUUUUUGCAAACUUUGAAAAACGCCACUGCAGUUUGCAAACUUUGAAAAACGCCACUCCAGACUUCGAAAAAUGCCACUAGAAAUGACAUGAAAUGGCAUUUUUCAUAGUUUGGGAAUUGCAGUGGCAUUUCUCGGAAACACCAGAUUUGGAGUGGCAUUUAUAAAAUUAAACCAAAACAAAAAUAAUUGGGCGAUAUGCUGGGUCCCUGGUGUCAGCCGCUCGUUGUGCAAUUCUCUCGUUUAUUGACUACGUUGACAAUGGCAUCGGACCCACAUGUCAGAAAUCCACUGGGAGGAGCCAUUUUUUUAUUGGCUUGAAAUAAGGAGGCACUUGCUUGCGUACUGCCAUGACCUUGGCGGGUCCCUGCUGUCAUCCUUUCCAUGCACAAUCAUCUCCUGAUUGUGUACGCGUCAAGUUGGUAGGCCCACAAGUCAGCCUCUAAACCCGUGGAGGACAAAUACAACCCAUUUAAAAAAAUAACAUCCCAUUCCAUAUGUUCGAAUGGAAAGUUCAACAUUCAAAGCAAAGUAACAGGUCUGAUCCACAUAUAGAGUACUGAACUUCCACAUUGACAACCAUCAUAGCCAAGUUAACUAUCUACUCCCACUAAUACUCUAGUAGCAUACAAGUACUAACUUACUCUUAGCUAACUAGACGAUGCCGACCGCCAUCUGUGGUAGACGCUAAACGCCAGCACCGGCGUCCUGCGCCUCGCCUCGGACUUGCAAGAGGUGCGAUAGGGCGCGUUGCUCGCGCGCGUUGGCCCUUUCCAUGCCGGCGUGGUCCACCGAAGCUUCGGCUUCCAAGCGGGAAAUCCACUUGACGAGCUGGUAGUAAAAAUUGGCGUCGCAAACGCGUGCGUGCCCGACAGCCUCCGGGGCUAUUUGCCGGGCGCCGGCCUCCACGUAGUCGGCCCAGUUGCGGGCACUCUGCUCGUGACUCAGAGCGUCGGUGCGCUGCUGCUCUAUGUCCCGCUGGCAGCGCAAAUUGGCAAUACGCUGCUCCUCCGCCAUGCGGUCGCGCUCCAACAAGUCUUGCUCCUCCGCCAGGCGGUCGCGCUCCAACCAAUCCUCGAUCUCCGCAUUGCCAUCUAAAGACAGAUAGAAUGCCUCCUCCCUCCGUCUGCCUUCCGGUGAAAAACCGAACACUAGUUCCGGCGGUGACCGCCUCCGGCGUCGCCUACGGCGGACGGGCGGGGCAUGGCGGACGUGGCGAGCAACGUCGGGCCGGUGGGGGCUUAUGAGGACAUGGCGAGUUGGGUCACGGUGCCACCGGAGAAGGCCGGGAAAUAGUACUUAUAGGCGGAAGGUAGCGCAACGGUCAUCGGAAUUCAAUGCAUAAGCAGGCAUGGCUUAGCGCGCCAGCUUGCCAUGGAAAACUAGAGAAACUGAAAUUAUGACUGUGUCGUCCCGUCCCGUCUGGGUCACACACCGGCAUGGCGGUCAAACGAGUGCACUCGAAUCAUCUCCCUCCUUGUCAAUAAUGAUUCCACGGAUUUAAAAAGCCCGCAACAAUUAAAGCGCAUCUUCUUUUGCAUCAGUUAGCUUACUUAAUUAUGGCCGGCUGCAUGAAGGCACUUAGAAUUGCUCGCAGCUAGUACGUGGAGCAGCAUGCAACAUGUCGCAGCCGAGAGCACACAUGCAGCCACUUAAAUCGCUGGAAUUAAUUAGGCUUAAACUUCUGCAUGCCAUUAAUUAUUGCCAUGCCUUGGUCUUGCUGCUUUGCUCACGGGACUAAUAAACCUGGAGGAGGGAGUACCCUGGUUGGUGAGAGGUUUGAAUUAAGCCCUGCAAACCGGAAAGGAGGUACUAGUACGUGCAUGAUCCGCUAUUUAUUUGUGUAGGAUCGAGUAGGUCGUUUCUUGAAUUGAGCCCUGCAAAUCGGAAAGGAGGCAGUACGUGCGUGAUCUGCUAUUUAUCCAUGUAGGAUCGAGUAGGUAGGAUAGUGUAGCUUGUCAGUUUCUUCAGAGGUAGGCAUUUUUAUUCAAAAAGCUGCCACUUCGGAUCUUGCCUCGCAAAUAAAACUGCCAGGAGCGCAUUAGUAGGCUAGCUAGUGAUCGAUCAGUAACUUGUAAACACUGAGCGAACAGAAAUAAGUAACUGUUAAUGCAUCUCAAUGAUUCACAGAUCAUAUACAAAUAUGUAGCUCCAAAAGCAAAGAUCAGCCACUUCGGAUCUUGCGUCGCAACUAAAACUAACUAGUACGAUUCCCAUACAUAAGAUCAACAUGUUAAUGCAUCUCAAUGAUUCAUAGAUCAUAUACAAAUAUGUAGCUCCAAAAGCAAAGAUCUGGAAAAAACAUUUGUUCUUCCUACUAACAUGGAUGCCUCUCUUUGCCAACAUUCAGUACAGACUGAAAGACAAAUUUGUUUGUGAAGUCUACAAUUCCUCUUGCAAACGUAAGUGGUUUCACUAACAGCUGGAACCAGGAUAAUGAACCACACAUGAUGGAGGAACAUCCACUGCAAUAUGAUUUGGUCUUCUCUUGAUCACACUGCGAGAUUAUUUUCGGAAUACAAACUUUAACUUAGGCAAAAUGAUGCCCAUUGUAUAAUCAGACCAAAGCAAUGAAGCACCUAGUGUUGGCCAAUAAAUAGUACAGUACUACUUUUCUGCAGUCCAUGAAGUGACUAUCCAAUCUUUCUGUGUCUAUUUUCAAAUGGCACUGCAUGCGGUAACUAUACUAUUCUCUUGCGCAGUUCAACCAAAAUUACGGACACUUUGCUUGUUUGCCAAAUAGCAAUGGGCAGACAUCUCUGUCUACACAAAUAUCAAGCAGCUAGUAAACAUAUACCACACCUUGUAUUUUCGGUUUAAACAUGUCUCUUCCGCUUAGCAUCUAUCAUGUUCUGCACUGGACAAUCUGAUACAGUUAUGUUUUGCCCUGGACAAUUUCAUACUGAAUUGAUUUGCUGGUUCAGAGCAGAAAUAUAGUGCCUAUUCUUCAUCAGACCAAGGAUAUCCAUAUUCCCAGUGACGGAAGAGGUGAAAUUGAUACAACCGAAAUUGAGCAUCCAAUCAUUGAAUCCUGUCCUGCACCUCCAAUGUAGGUCCACCUUGCCAAUAAAUUCACUUGCAAACCACUAGUAUUACUAUCUAAUGACAGUACAAAAAGAGCAGCAAAAUAGUAGCAAACCAUGUACCUUCGUAAUGAACAGCUCAUAGUGCCACCAAUUGGAUAUAAAGGUUUGGAAGAAAACAUGCUCCUAAUGUUGAACCAGUUGGACUUUUUGUGCAGUUCCACUAAAAUCGAGCAUCCCUGUUUGCAUAGAUAUUGAAAGUGUGAUUACUAUAAAAAUGGCACUAGUUGAAGCAUAUUCUCACAAAUAUAAGCAUUCCUUCUUAAUGGAAAAGGUAGCAAGACUAUUUCUAACCACCUGUUUGAAGGAAUAAAUAAGGCAACAAUGGCUGAUGUCAGAAAGGCAUAUAUAGUUCUUUUUGAAAGAAUGAUCGACUCCUGACCUUUUCUCUUCUUUUAUGCAUAUUUUGUGCAGUUCAACUAAAAUAAAAUGCCAUCGCCACCUUGAAAAUUCAGUGACACUGUACAAAAGGAAAUGACUUAACAUUACAUCAUGAUGUCAGGUAUGUAGUCCACAGGCAUUAGAGACAAACAUACAGACCUUCUCCGAUAACAUAAUGAACAUUAAUUUUAACAAAGGUGUGACUAGCUUUACCGGGAUAAUUUGAGUGAACUCUACACCCUCUGUUCCUUAAUAUAAGACAUUUUCACGGUUCAAUUUAAAGUACCCAAACGUCUAGUAUUUAGAAAAACAGGUAGUAGUUUUCUUGAGCACAUAUCUGGGAAAGUUUGCCACACUUUAUUUAUGUCCAUACGCUAAUGCAACACCAUUCGAAUACUACAAAUAUACACUAAUCCAGUGGCUAGUGCAACAGUAGAGUAGUUAGUUUAUUACAGAGUACAGUACAAUGGUUUUACUGAACAGAUUUCAAUAAACUCUAGCACUGGAAGAUUUCUAUAAGAAUUAACAAUACAAAAUGUACAGGUAACAAGUUUCAACAUUGGUAUACUAGCUAUGCAUGAGCAUUAAACCAAAUACAAAAGUCUGAAGGUAACUAGCAUUAUUAACUAAUGACAGUAUAAAAAAUUGCAAACCAUGUACCUCCACGGUAAAUAUCAUUUCGAACUCGGGGGGACCUUAAAACUUGCUAUCCCAAUCUUGAUAAUCGAUCAAACAUAAAAACUUGAUCGAACGAAUCAAGAGAACAACCAGAGGAGGAGGUGCCUACUCUUGACCUUUCCUCUUGUCUUCAUAAUUUUUUGUGCAGUUUAACCAAAAUAAAAUGACAUCAGUGCCUUGGCAUUUUGGUGACACUGUACAAAAAAAUUAACUUAUCUCAUGAAAGUGAGGUAUGUAAUCUAUAAGCAUUAACAGUGCAAAAAUCUGAAGGUAGUAACAAGUUUCAUCGUUGGUAUACUAGUUGUGCAACAACAUUAGAAUGCCUUAGCUGAAAAAUCUUUAAUAGAUCCACAAUCAACAACUAACCCUGAAAUAAUCCAGUGACAUUAAAUGGCAUUGCUUAAAUUUAUCGGUGGCAUUAGACUGAGAGCGACAUUAGUUAAAUGUGGCAUCACUUUGGUAGUAGCAUUCCUUGACUUGACUGCUAGCAUCAUACUAACAACAAAAAAGUGGCAAUAAGAUCAUGGGAGGCCCAUUCGGACAGUGGGUGCACCAGUACGAUGUUCCUCCACGGACGCAGAGUGGUGAGGGAGGUAUGGUUGCCCAGAGCAACAAAUAUGUAGACAUCAUAUGUGAAUUACGUCCCUUUUUUGUUCUAUUUAGCCACCUCUUUCCUAUGUGAGGAAAACAAACCGAUCGACCUGGUCAUUCUCUAUUGCGUUGUCAUGCCUUUCUACCCUUCUUCAACCAAGAGACAUGAGACUCGUUCCUUAGCUACUGAUUUUCCCCUUUUCAACCUAGAUGCGGGUUCGAUGCCUACUCUCUUGGACAGUACAGUCUCCCUUCCUUUCCUUAUUCAACCCAGACAUGGAUUAGUCUGCAUGAAGUAGGGUUUCCUUUAAUAGUGCAAAUUAUGGUUUUUGUCGGUGUGGCCAGCAGAGCAGAGGAUAGCAAAUUGGGAAGAUGGUGGAGUGGAAAAAGAUCCACAUGCAACGACAUGGCAGAUGGGGCAAUAGAACAAGGGUAUGGUUCGAAAGGAGGUAGCAUACCUGAGGGUCAGCGGGAAGUGGCUUCGCUCGUGGUCGUCGUCCUCCGCACACACUAAGGCAGUGAGCUUGGGGACGGAGGCCAUCCCACGCGGGCGCUAGGUUUGAGAGGACGGCCUUGUCGUCAGUGCGUGACCUCGCUCGUCGACGAUGAGUGCGUCAACGCAGCACGUCCUUUUCUUCCCCGGCGGAUCUGUGACCACCGGUGAGGAGGGAGAGAGAGGUCGUCUUUUUUACAUCUAGAGAGAGGGUGAUAGUGUGAGAAGCAAGUAGGCAGCCCUUAUCAGGAAAGCGCUGAAGCUCCAGCCUAUAUAUCUUUUUAUACUACUAGUACUGGAGGUGGAGUAGUGGUAGAGUACUUUAUAUUUUCUCUGCAUACAGUACCAGUUAGUCAUGCUUCAAAACUGAAUGGCAUGCCAUUAAAAGAAUAAAGGUCGAUAACUAAUGCGGCACCUUGGGCCAACACGGCCAGAUUGCAUUUUGCACGAGAAAUUACACACCAUGUUUCGUUGACAUGUGGCCCCGUUCCAACAUAUUACUGAGACGACGGCGAGUCCUUUUCUACUAGUAUUUCCAAACGGACGUGUAGGACGGGGCGCCUCUUCGUGAACCGUGGAAAACUAGCAACCGUCCACCGACUCUUCGCCUUCCCCUCUCGAUUUGGAACUGCUGUCGCACACUCUUCCUCUCCCUCCUCUAUUUUCCUUCAAUCCUCCACCCUUCCUUCUGCCAUUGUUCGAUCGUCUUCUCCAUGGAGGGAACAGGCCGGAAAUGACCCCGUUAUUCUUGCCCUGAUCUGAAAGAUGACAUGGUGGAGGAACUCAUUGAUGGGUGCGACGUCAUCACCUCGGCUAGCAUGGCAUGUUCGUUCAAGACCAUUCUCUACUCAACUAAUAACAUCAUUACAAGGAACCCAAGAGUCAAGGAGCGGUUUGAUAUCCCCAAUCUUCUUCGCUAUGACCCUGAUGACUGGUGCGGGGACGACGGAGGCCUCGCCUUGUGCAAGUUGAUGCCGCUUGAUAAUGAUACGUAUGAUGUUAAGAUGCCAUUGCUUGAGGGUAAGGCUUGGGCAGGCGCAAAUGGAGAUUGGGUUGUUUACAUUGGGUCCAACUGCGAGUGGGAACUUGUGAACGUGUACACUCGUGACCGGGUUCCACUUCCAAAAAUCUCAGCAGACUGCCCAGAGGUUGAGCACAUCGGUAUUGUACGCACGUUCAAAUACGAUCAUGGUGACUGUCUUAUACGGAAGAUAGCAAAUUGUCAAGUUCCCAACCGCUCUUGGAAUUACAAGAACUAUGUUGUUGUUGCUAUCUUCGACAAGCUUGUUGCCGUCCUUCAUGGUUCGACUGGAUGGAUAUUGCUCAAAAAUCAGUUUCUGUACACAGAUGAGUACUGUGAUGCAAUUCAAUACGAGGGCCUUGUGUUUGCUUCCACCACUCAUGGCACUGUUUUUGCAUGGGAUCCUCGUAGUUUUGGUACGUUUGUCUUCCACCGUAAUUAUAAUUGUUUCUUCCACAUGCAUGUGGGUUAGCAAGUUUCCCUUUACUAAUUAACCUUCUUCUUGUGUUUCCAAGGUCCUGUGAACAUUCCACCACCUAUACUUGAAAAUUUUUAUACCAAGGGGGAGAUGACGAUGGUGAUGAUCACGAGCAUGAGGACGAGAAGAACAUAUAUACUCAGUGGCGCCUGGCAUCUAAUUCCGAUGGAUCACCUCCUCUUGUUUGUAUACAGUGCACUGAGUUUGUUACUACUGAGGGAGCAUGUGUUGUCUCCCAUGGUCGCACUCUCCGGACCUAUUCCAACACCCGUUAUAUGGUAUUCAGGAUGGAUACUAUUGUGCUAGCGCCAACACCUUAUCCCUGGUAUAGAAUUGAUAGUCUUGGAGAAAACUCGCUCUUCCUUGGACAAAACUAUCCGAUGAUGGUGAAAGGUGAUCCAACUGUUGUUGACACAAUGUUACUAGUACCAUUUAUGAGAAGCAACUGUGUCUAUACCUUGGACAUUUGGGUGGUUCCCUACCCUGGUAUUGAUAUAGUAGGCCGCUUCAGCCUGGAUGAUCAGUCCUGCGUUGGUUUUGAGAUCGACAAUAGAUGGCCCGUCCCAGAGAAUCACUUGUGGUUCAAAGCAAGCGUUUCCAACGCCGAGGAUUGGUUGAGUUGAAGUUCAUUUCAUUGCUUGUUAUUUGUUGUGUGAUGAAAACUUUAGUAUUUAUAAUGUAUCCUCAUUGUCGAUGUGGGUUGAUGACCUAUUGUAUGUAAUAAAAUGAUAUGCCUGUGAUAAACUUACUAAAUUUAUGAAUGGCUUUCGAGUUGCUUCUCUGAGUGAGUGGUGCGACGAGGAAAAAAAAUAUUUUCCGAAUACAUAAUUGUACGUGCAUUGCAACAGGUUAUCGGAUGAGGCCAAUCAACAAUAGUAGUACACUAUUUGUACUAGCUUCACAUGCUUCGCGCGUCGGGCGGGUGUUUUUACUCUAGCCAUAUGUUAAUGUGUUCACUGUACAUAACCACCAUAUCGAAUCCUCGAUACUCGUACUAUAUAAGUAGUUGGAGUAGUAGGGUGGCAUGGGCCAGAACAAGCAUUCACGUCCAGGAGUACGGCACACGCAACCACCACGACAUCCAUCUGACACCAUAUUUCUUGGAGUCCAUGUAGAGCAAUCUCUUCAACCUCGUCGUUUCUCUAACUUCAACCAUCGCACGACAAUCGAGGUGGGGGUUUGCCGAUAGUCGCUUUCCUCAGCUGCGGUCCCACUUGUAAGGCCAACUCCAACGCAUGACCCCAAACGGACCUCCGUUUUGCACGAACUCCAACGAUAAUUUAGACUAGAAAAGCAAGACCAAAGAAAACAAGAACCACAAGAAUACAUUUUACUAGAAGAUAUCCAACUUCCAUAACUGCUCCUAUAAGUUGCAUUAGUGCCUUCUCGAUGCAUUCAUUGUUGAUCUGCGGAGGCUCGAUCUUGCGUGCUUCUUUCUUCUUCGAGUGUAAGGAAGUAGACGUUGCUUCCUCGCAUCUAGUCUCAUGGCUAGCCUCUAUUCUAGUAGGAGUAUCAACAAGUGCACUAGUCUCAUCUCUAGCCUCUAUGCUAGCUAAAAGUGCUAGAACAUCUACUAAAUUGCACUCUAUCAAUAUAUCCGAUGUCCUCUUCCUCCCAAUACCAAAACUUGCAUCCAUUCUACUCCCUCCAUUCCACAAUGCAUGCCUUCUAUUUGUCAAAAUAUAGAUGUAUCUAGACAUGUUUUCGUAUAUAGGUACAUCCAUUUUUGGACAAAUGGAAGUCAAGUAUUUUGGAACGGAGGGAGUACACAAUAAAAUUUUAAACUAGUCUAAUCCGAGAGCACAACCGAAGAUUUGGUCGGGUUCUUCCUCCUUUUGCCGACACAUGGAACAUUGAUAACCCACAAGUGUAGGGGAUCGCAACAGCUUUCGAGGGUAAAGUAUUCAACCCAAAUUUAUCGACACAAGGGGAGCCAAAGAAUAUUCUUGAGUAUUAGCAGUUGAGUUGUCAAUUCAACCAUACCUAGAUAACUUAGUAUCUGCAGCAAAGUAUUUAGUAGCAAAGUAGUAUGAUAAUAAAGGUAACGGUAGCAAAAGUAAUAUUUUUGGGUUUUGUAGUGAUUGUAACAAUAGCAGCGGAAAAGUAAAUAAGCGAAACACAAGAUGUGAAAAGCUCGUAGGCAAUGGAUCAGUGAUGGAUAAUUAUGUACGAUGCGAUUCCUCAUGUAAUAGCUAUAACAUAGGGUGACACAGAACUAGCUCCAGUUCAUCAAUGUAAUGUAGGCAUGUAUUCCGUAAACAGUCAUACGUGCUUAUGGAAAAGAACUUGCAUGGCAUCUUUUGUCCUACCCUCCCGUGGCAGCGGGGUCUUAGUGGAAACUAAGGGAUAUUAAGGGCUCCUUUUAAUAGAGAACCGGAACAAAGCAUUAGAACAUAGUGAAUACAUGAACUCCUCAAACUACGGUCAUCACCGAGAAGUAUCCCGAUUAUUGUCACUUCAGGGUUGUCGGAUCAUAACACAUAAUAGGUGACUAUAGACUUGCAAGAUAGGAUCAAGAACACACAUAUAUUCAUGAAAACAUAAUAGGUUCAGAUAUGAAAUCAUGGCACUCGGGCCCUAGUGACAAGCAUUAAGCAUAGCAAAGUCAUAGCAACAUCAAUCUCAGAACAUAGUGGAUACUAGGGCUCAAACCCUAACAAAACUAACUUGAUUACAUGAUAAAUCUCAUCCAACCCAUCACCGUGCAGCAAGCCUACGAUGGAAUUACUCAUGCACAACAGUGAGCAUCAUGAAAUUGGUGAUGGAGGAUGGUUGAUGAUGACGACAGUGACGAAUCCCCCUCUCCGGAGCCCCGAACGGACUCCAGAUCAGCCCUCCCGAGAGAGAUUAGGGCUUGGCGGCGGCUCCGUAUCGUAAAACGCGAUGAAACUUUCUCCUUGAUUUUUUUCUCUGCGAGACGGAAUAUAUGGAGUUGGAGUUAAGGUCCGCGGAGCCUCAGGGGGCCCACGAGACAGGGGGGCGCGCCCAGGGGGAGGGUGCGCCCCCACCCUCGUGGACAGGGUGUGGGCCCCCUGGUCUUGAUUCUUUUGCCAGUAUUUUUUAUAUUUUCCAAAAAGUGCCUCCGUAGAUUUUCAGGACAUUUCGAGAACUUUUGUUUUCUACACAUAAAACAACAUCAUGACAGUUCUGCUGAAAACAGCGUCAGUCUGGGUUAGUUUCAUUCAAAUCAUGCAAGUUAGAGUCCAAAACAAGGGCAAAAGUGUUUGGAAAAGUAGAUACAUUGGAGACGUAUCAGACAUCCAGCAUCUAGGUCGUGUCAUGUAAGAAAAUAGAGUGGUAGUUGAAGCCACGUGAUGUGCAUCUUGGGUUAAACUGUAAAUAGAAUCUUACUACUCUUGAGUAACUCCAAAAGCGGCCACCAAAGAUCUUUAUUGGAUUUGUUUUCAUCACCAGCACGUCGAGGUGAAAGAUGUGCAUGUUCAGUGGGUCCUCUUGCGUUUUCAUUGACAUGUGGGACCGCAUGUGAGCAAACAGACGAUGGGCUCCGUGCAUCGACUGGCUAGCUGAGAAGAGAGAUAGAGGAGGGCUGAGCACGGACUCCAGGAAAUUUGUUCUACAUACCUUGAUAUAGGCUCGAUAUACUGGGGUGGCAUGGGCCAUAACUAGUAUUCACGUCUAGCAGUACGGCACACGCCACCCACACGAGUCCCAUCCGACACCAAUUUUCUUGGAGUCCGUGCUACAGCCAUCUCUUCUCCCUCCUAUUUUCUCAGCCAUCGCGCGGUGGGCGGGGUGGGGGUUUGCCGAUAGUUAGUUUGAUCAACUGCGGUCCCACUUGUAACUGAAAAUGCAACACCGCACACAUUCCCCCUUGAGCAGCGUGCCGGACCAACCGUGUGGGGGUGCUAUGCGAACACGGGAGGCUUUUCCUUUCGAACUCAUAACUGGUAAAAUUUGGUUCUGCUCCAUGGCGCGACCGAUAGAUAGAAAAUAACGAUUUUACCUAGAGUAAUGAGAAGUUUCACUACUAGGGAAAAUCCUAUACACAGAAUCUUACUAGUAGCGAGGGUUAAAAACCCUCGCUACUGCUACUUACUAGUAGCGCAGGUUUUUAAACCUCGCUACUACUAAGUUGAUAGCAGUAGCGCGGGCUUUUAACCCUCGCUACUACUAAGCGGUCUCUACCAUGCCCCCCGGGACAUGCCAUAGUAGUAGCGCGGAUUUUUACCCCUCGCUACUACUAAGUUGAUAGUAGUAGCGCGGGUUUUUAACCCUCGUUACUACUAAGCGGUCUCUACCGUGCCUCCCUCAGACAUGCCAUAGUAGUAGCGAGGGGUAAAGAUACCCACGCUACUACUGAGCGUAUCCCUCCCUUGCCGCACCACUGCCACCCCGAUCCUAAAGAAAAAAAAAUUCCACUCCCACCCCACCAAACUCUCUCUCUCCAACCUCACCCCCACCCCUCAGUUGACUCAUCUACCCCACGACCACCUCGCCGCUGCCAGCACCCACGCCGGCCGGUUCCGGCGAGCUCCGGCCACGCGAAAUACGCCCCCAAGCACCCCAAGCUCCGCCCCUCCCUCCCCUCCUCCCAGAUCCGUGCCUCAAGGCCUGCACCCUUGCCUUGAGGCGGCGAGGGGGAAGGCGGCGGCGGAGAGGCAAACAGCGAGGAGGAGGAGCAGGCGACUCUUCCACCCAACGACCGCGGAGUUGUCGGUGUGGGCCGUCAGCCUCACCGAGAAGAGGAGCAGCAUGGCGACAAGGACGACGAGGGAGAGGAGGUCGUGGCUGAGGACGAGGCGCACGUACAGGUCCCUCCCGCAGGCGCUGUCGGGGCGGAAGGCAUUUCUGAUGACGAAGAAAGUGGUGAGAUUAAUCCUGAGCUGCUCCCUAGUAGCGGUGAGAAUCCUGAGCUGUUUAAGAAAUUUAGAUCUCCAAUCAUCUCACUAUCCCUCAGUUUAAUAUAUUCUAUUUCAAUCGAGGAUAUGCAAUUUUUCUUGAGUUGUUGAACACAUUGGGCCAUUGGGGUAUGCCUCCGGUUAAUUAACCUGAGCAUAAGGGAAAAUGUUUAGCCUGCGAACUUAACAUACAUGCAGUAUGCAUGUGCCCUCCAUGGCAGAAACUUCCAUUUUUUGUUAAACAAGAGUCCAUGUUGGCUGAGUUGUGGAUCAUUUAGAACCGUCUAAUUCAGUCCCUGCCUGUUUAUGAGCUUCACAUAGCCUCCCAUGAUAGUUUCUGAAGGCAGGACAGACCAUGUGGAAAUGAGAACAGAUGUACGGGCAUGGUUCUGUACAGGUGUUAGGUAAGUGUUUUUGCUGAUUGUGUGAAAUUUUGCAGGUAGUGGUAGCAUGCUAUAUUAAUGCUUUGGACGAAAUUACAUUAUUCUUCACCCCUGCUCAGCUCAGAGAGGCACCUCACCCCGUCGUCCCCUGAUCUCUGAAUCUCAAUGCUUGGACGAAAUUACAUUAUGAAACUUAUAUGCAGUAAGGCCUAGAUUGGCAGUGUAAUUUUUAAAAUACCGCAGUAUUCGAAAAAUUCGGCAUCAUGUUUAACUAGUGUGGAGCAUGCUAUGCAGAGGCCUAGUUUGCCAUGUUGAUAAUUGUGAGUUACAAACCAAGCUUUCAGUUUGAGAAAAAAGAGGUCUGGACCUCUUUUUCUAGAAGUUAGAAAAAACAUGGUAUCAGGAAUACAAGUGAAUAUGAAACUAUUGUUGUUGGUUUAGCCAAACACCUCACAGUUUUCAAAACUACAGUUUUAUAGAAAUCAUAGUAUUCUGAUUGAGCUAAGCUAGCAAUGUAUCUUCACCUGUGGGAAUCAAGGUGCAUAUGCUCCUUGUCUUUUUUCACAUUCUAGACUAGAUUGAAUAAUAGGAAUUGCCAAUCAACUGUAAAAAAAUAAAUUUAAUUACCAAUCUGCACGCACCAGACAUAUAUCUUUCUCAUCAUUUUAAACAGUAAACAUUGAUACUCCACGUAUACAUUUUCUAAGAAUUACUUCAUAUAUGUAGGCUGGCAGCGGUGUUCACAAAUCACCACGAAGAAAGUAAAGAUCUCGAGAGGAUUCCGUUUGUUUGCUCUAUGUAUUGUCUUUCGAAGCGCGCGCAGGAAAAAACACACACAAAAAUGCUAGUUCAUUUUACUGCCUUUUGUAGCAAAAGAAAAUGAAAAACACAAAAAAUGUUUGUUCCUCUGCCUUUUGUAGUAAUGGAGAAUGAAAGUCACAAAUUUUUUUUGGAGGAGUGGUCUCUAUGAUUUGGGGGUAGUGGCCCGGGUUUGGUCGGGCUCGAAUUCUCUGCUAUGGGUUUGGAGGAGUAAUGUUUCUGGUUCUGCAGAUAUUCAAGCUCUGGCGGACGGAGUGUCUGUGCGUGAGCAGCGAGACGGCGGCUAAGGCUAGCGUGGAAGAGGUUAGUUUUAGCAUCUAGUUCUGCAUCAUGGCUGUAAACUGAACUUGGUUCAUUUAAAAACUGCACUGUCCAAUUUGGACAGCAAGCUUAGAUCUGAAAAAUGAGUUAGCUAGGCUUAGAAUUUUGAGUGGCCCCUUUACAUAAGUUUUAGAUAAAGUUCCAAGGUUUCUUUAGAGUAUUUAUUUGUGUCGUUUGGAUGUAUGGUUUGAGAGCAGCCAUCAAUUUAGUUUGUUGUCCCGAAAUAUAUGUUCCUGGGUACAGUAUUUUGAUAUGGGAGAUUAGGCCCUGUUAGAGGUGGUAUUAAAAUAAAGUUACAACAUGAAAAUUUUAGAGGCUGUUCUGUAGAUACUUAAACACAUAUCACUUGUCAGGUUUCGUUCGUUAUAUUAAAUACUAUGAAGUUAUCAAAGUGGGCUUUACUAUGUUGGACAUAAUUUUAUGUUUGGACUUGGGUGAAUGUAACCAGACUUAUACUCUCAGAUUUUGUCAUAGUUGAUGGUGUGAGGACUUAUAAUGUGAUAAAGUAUAUACGUUGUUGCAACACCAAAAUCGGUGAAAUAUAUUUCCUUUUUUUUCUGCCGAUGACAUCUCCAUAAAGUAAGGAUUUAGAUAACAUCAUAUGUUCAGAGUUCAGUUCUUUUCUUAUCUAAAACUAACAUACAAUGGGCAUGAUGGAUGUUGCAGGUUCAUUGAUGACAACCAAGGGUUCAUGCUCGGAAACGACUACAUCUUGCUCCAUGUUGUCGGCUCAGCUAGAGUCCUUAAUCAUGCGGAGAUGGGACACGUCGAUUGUUAGAGUACACUUGACAGGUGCAUUUUGUGAAAUUCUAGCCACAAGAUUGAUAGCAUGCUUGCCUGCUUGUUCUUUUCAGUUCAAAUAAAUGUUCCUUUUCUUGUUGAAUCCAAAGUAGCUAGCGGAGAUAAGUGGAAAGGUUGUUGAUUAUCCCAAAGUUCUUGGACCAUUUAGUUUGAAUAGCCAGUGAGGAAAUAAGCAUAUAUUUUUGGCAUGAGCCCCUUUAAAUUGCUAGAUGAGAAAGAAUCUUAACUUAAUUAAUGGGUCUUGUGAAUUGGAAUAUACCAUUUAGUUGAACUGAUGCAAUUUGCGUACUAACAAGUUUUCACUUUCUCGACAUGGGCGCAGGGGUGAUCGACGCUGACUAGCGCAGCCGGUGGGCGCUGUGCUCUUGAACCACUCAGAGGCGGACUUCUCCGUGAAGCUGGUGGCCAUUUCGCUUAGAUGAUUGUCGAGGUGAUUUCGACGCCGGAGAUCGCCGAGGUGGAGGACCUCGACGCCACCGUCCGGGGGAGGGAGGAUUCGGGUACACCGGCGUCUAAGCUCCGAGCCUUGGUAGAUACAUCUACGGAAGUUGUCUGUUUAGGUUGGUGAUGGAACACCAGGGAAGGUACCCACCUUUCGAUGAUCAUUAUGUGUGUGUCUGAAGUUAAAUGGAAUCUUGAGAAUGUUAUGUGACGUUGGUUUGAUUUGCACUGGACGUAUUGCCAUCCAUGAAUACUACAUCUAACUUUUAUUUUUUUAAUUCCUAAAUUAUUAGUAGUAGCGUGGGAAACAAAUGAGCGCUACUAGCUAGUAAUUAGGUUAGUAGUAGCGUGGGAAAUAAGAAAUGAGCGCUACUAGUAGUUAGGUUAGUAGUAGCGUGGGAUAUAAGUGAGCGCUACUGGUAGUUAGGUUAGUAGUAGGCUAGUAGCGCGGGUGCACCCGCGCUGCUACUAACUUUUAGCUGUAGCGCGAUACUAGUAGCGCGAGUACCCGCGCUACUAGUAGCAUUUUACCCGCGCUGCUAGUAGCCUUUUUCCUAGUAGUGUGGUUCUGGCGCCGUUCAUGCAUGGAGUACGUACAAAAAUUAUGAAGUUGAUGCGAACGGUAAGAUAAUUACUAGUAGUACCAUAUACUACUACAUGGAUUUGACAAAAAGAUAAAAAUACAUACGGAUCCAUCAACGACAUCCUCAUGCCCUAGUGCGCCAGGUCACCAACCGACGUGUGAGGAGUAGCGGCGUUGGCAGCGAGCUCAACGUGCUUCUGAACAAUGCCGUCCAUGGUUGCCCUGCGGUCCAAGAAGGCCAGCAUCCUAUCGUCCUCCUCUUGCAUGUAGUAGUCCUUGUGGACGAUUUGCGCGUAGAAAUGGGUGAUUAUGUCGAUGGUGUCUUGCUGCGCCAGGCGAUGCGCGGCGAGCGCGACCUUGAGGUGGACAUUCUCCGGCGUGACGGCGGGCAGUCGCAGGGCCACCAGUGCGUCGAAUAGGUUUUCACCAUAGUGGCCGUUGAGGGUGGCGGGCAUCGCAGAGCCUGGACGCAUUGGCUGGAGGCGUACGUCAAAGUCGUCCGCGAGCUUCUUGACGACGGUGAACUUGUCGAGGAAACCGACGAGGACCUCAUCGAACAAGGAUACGAAGCUGUCGUCCAAGCGGCCCCUCGCCCUAGCGGCCUCAAGCAAUACCUGGAGACAUUCCUCGGUGUCGGGCCAUAGGCCGGCGUCAUGGACCAUCUGGCACAGCCGGCUGAUGCUCGCGCUCAUCACCUCCAUGGGUCUAGCUUAGCUUCUAGUCAACUGACCUUGCGAUUCGAGUGAUCACUCUUGCCACUGGUUAGCGUGCGUAGGUGCGUAGGAUUUCGUACAACUCCUCGGCCCUCUACUGCACCUGCCUUUGGCUAUAUGAUAGGUGGGCCAGCCACCCCUUGGGCCCACGUGUCAUUCACCCGAAUGCAGUUGCAGUAAGUCAAUGAAGCUACGUCCCCCUCCGUGCCGGUGCAGUAUAGUCAUCUCACCGGACCUCUAGUUGGGGCCAACCGAGAGAAGUUUGAUGUUUACUGGUUUAUUGGUCCCCUUUGCAUUUUGCGCCAAGUUUUGACCUUUGAUUUAACUAAUAAAAUGUUAAUGCAUGUAAACAAAAAUGUUGUGUAAGUCACCUUACGAAAACCAAAUAAUCCCAAAACACUUAGGCACGGUGCACUAACUCCCUCCUUGUUUCUUAUUUCAUGACAUAUCAACAAAUGAGAGAUGUGGGCCAUGCAUGCUUUCAAUGACUUGAGACUACCAAACAUGACAUGCAUUGUUUAGUUCAUUGCAUGUAAUCUAUUAGUUAGCAAAAAGACAUUAAGUUCUCUCGCCGAUAGGAAUAAAACAAUACACCAUGUAUUUAUUUACAGAGGGAGUAGUACAUUUUUUGUGACAUGCAUUACUAGAUAUUGCUAGUCAAAUACUAAAAUCUAGAUGGACGUGGUAGUACUCCUAAAUCCAGACGGUGGUGCUACUAGUACUAGUAGUAGUACUACCAAUGUAGUAGGAGUACUAGCACUGUACUACCCGUUGGUCAAAUUAUUACGUGCCACUCCUCACAGUGAAGUGACAAGACCCUGCGCCGGAGAUGACACCUGAGUGUAGGCGUCGUGUUGGUCAUACCAUAGUCAGCCUCACCGUCUGUAGUCACUAUCAUCAUGGCUAUAGAGCUAGCCUGCUUACAACUAGCCCUGUUCGACAUAAUUUCCCAUGCAUUGCACGAAACACCAAUAUUGGGGGUGGACAGCGCCGGCAGCGGCCAUCGCGCCACAUUUUUCCACGGCCUUCUAGAUGUGGUGGGGAGGAGAUAAGGCUGAUUGUGAGAGACAAGGAGUUGUUUGUAAAUAGGGAACAAGUGCGGGCAUCUUUUUGCAAAAAUGGAGAUGUUUGGUUUGUAUGCGUCAGAUCUAGAUCCGACGGCUAUUGGUGAAAGAUGGGAUGCACAACAUCAUCACCAACUCAGGACCUGUUUGAUUCACAGGAUUUUGAAAAUGCAUGAAUAGGACAUGACAAUAUUACAAGUUUCAAACCGAUAUUACAAAUGUUAGGAGUAAUGCUGCACCUACGAAGAGGGAAUUACUAGGAAGUUUACGUAAGAACUUUCGUUACUUUAGGUGGAUGCAGCAUUAUCAUACAAACUAAAAUCCACCACCCUGACAAGUCACUAAUGGGCAAAUAAGUUUUUGAAUCUCUGGCCACUUGAUGUUUCAAAAACAAAUUCAGCUUCUGUGAAGACUUUGUCAUUUAGGCUUAGACGCCUGCGGUGAUCAGCACGCCAUUCAUUGUUCCGCCAGAGAACGCCAAACCUCAUUACCUUGAGCACACUUUCCUCCAGAACAAAGAACCUGGCCAAUUUAAUCUCAGAUGUGCUACCUCGGUAGUCGAUCAAAUAAAUAUCUGUAAGAUGGAGAUCAAGGCAUAUUUGGAUACAAAGGAAUGGGAAGAUCUUCAGGAAUGAAACACCUUCUUUCAGGGCAUGGAGGAGGAAUUUUUUGCAGGACAUCUCUCUUUUAGCUCAUAGAAUCAAAUGUAAAUAUAGGAAUAGUUUAACCUCUUGGAUAGCUUCCUUACCCUAAUCACUUAUUUUGUAAGUAUUACUCUCUCCUCCUCUCUCUUAACUUUGUAACUUUGUACUACUUUGCUUUGAGUUUUAAUAAAAGACUGUGAGGCUGUUGCCUUGCAGUACAUAGUCAAAAAAAAGAUGGAGAUCAAGGCAUUUGAUGAGAUUUUUAUAGUGCAACACAUUUUUCACUUUUGGGUCUUUUUUUAUCUGCAAAAGAAGAGAACAUAUUAGAGCAGCUGGCUGUAUAAGAUUGUCGUGUCAUCAAGAGGUACCAAUAUCAUUCGCUCAUACGAUAGGGUUGGCUGGCUAGUGAUAUUUUUUCACUCUCUCUCUUUAUAUUUCCUCUCAUUUAACUAGGAGCACGUGAAGAGCUUGGGCAUUUGUUGCCUUCCACUAUGUGGCUGAUGCCAUAUUUCGCAAAAGUAUGCCACAUAAUACGCAUCAAUGUCAAAUCAAAAGAUUUUGGCACCGCUCUCGCGAUGUGAGAGAGUUGGCACCGCUGUGCACACAGACCUACAUGUAUAAACAAAUCAAUCAAACAACCUACACCAGCCUCUCACUCUCCCAAACAAGUGUUUUUUAUUGCCUCAGUCCUCUCUCUCACCCACGCAGUGUUUUUUCAUUGCGUGAGUUAAUUUGGCACCGGAGCAAAGUAGGUGAUCCAGAUUGGGGCACUAGGUGAGCAAUGGAGGGGCAUCGAUGCCAAAUGCAUCACAAGUAAAUUUGGCACGUGUUUUGGCCUACAUAGCCCACUUUUGUACUCCCUCCGUCCCAAAAUUCAUGUCUGAAAUUUGUCUAAAUAUGGAUGUAUCUAGUUACAUUUUAGUGUUAGAUACAUCCGUAUCUAAACAAAUGUAAGACAAGAAUUUUGGGACGGAGGGAAUACUACCUCGUAUUUAGUAUAAAAUUUUGACCAUAGAUUUACCUAAGAAAAUGCCAAUGCAUGUCACUAAAAAUUACACCAUUUGAAAUUAUGUUCAAAUAUGAAUCCAACGAUAUAGUUCUUAGUGACAUGCAUUAACAUUUUGUUAGUUAAAUCUAUGCUCUUAGUACAGCAUAAAAAUGAUGCAGGUGAUCACGUGAGAAAAAAUACUAAAAAUAUUUCUUUCGAUGCAGUGCGUAGAUGCAGUUUUGAACACUUCACUUGUCAUCAUAAUUUGGGAAAAUUACGAAAAAAUUGAGCUACGUUGUGAUUACUGUUUACUAAUAGGAAAGAAGUUUCACCUCGAUGAGUAGCUUCUCCGUGCAAGGAAAGCAUGCAAGGAAUCCAACAACUUGAUCCAGAUUGGGGCCGAUAGAUUUUAGUGCCAAGAUCUUUACUAUGCGCAUGGACUGGGUCAAGCUUGUGGGAAUCAUUUUCUGGAAGACGGUCGUAAAUACAUCAAGAAGAAAUUUAAAAAGUGAAUUUCAAGAAGACGGAGAAGAAGAUGAGUGUUGUACCUAAACGAUUACGGAUCCAAUAAAGAGUUCGGAGAAUUUGGCAAAUGAGUACACCAACACUGUCAAUUUCGGCGCGUCAAUGACCCUGAUUUUUGUUGGACCUUCUAGAUCCGAUACAAGCAAUCUCUCAAGGAAAGGCGCAUUCUCAAUAACCAUAACGUGGAACAGCUAGAGUGAUCUCUUCCCAAAUGAUGUCUUGUUGCGGGGCCAGCAAGACACAUAAAUCCAUCGGAGAUUCGUCGAGGCGAUGUGGAGGCUAAUGAACCCGUGGAUCUGCUCAAGACGAAGGUACUCGAGCGCAGUACAGCUACGGAGCAGGUGCUCCAUAACCUUCUUCGAGAUGACAACAUUGAAGAGGUCGAGCUGCUUGAGUUGAGGGAGAAGAAGGGCGGGCGCGACAUUAAUCUGGGGAAGAUAGCAGGAGCUGAAGCUGGUGCGACGCAACAUUGUCGUGAGGCGGAGCGCAGACGGCCGCAGAGAGCGACAUCGUCCAGCUUCAAAGCUGAGCUCCUUGAGCUGAUCUAGGGUGGGGGAUAAGAACCACUCGUCAAACUUGAGUUGGACCUUGUAGUUGGUACUGAACAUGCGGAUGUCAAGGCAUCUGGCUGGCCCAGGGUGCGAUGAAAGGAUCUUGGAGACUGCGGCCAUGCGUUUGCAAUCCCCGUCGCAGAGGCAGCUGUCAACGGCGAGGUUGAGGGGGACGCGGUGCCAAAGGGCGCGCGACCGACGGGAGAGCAGGGUGGUUCGCACAGCAAAUUUGGUGGGGAGGAGGCCGAUGAUGACGAGGAACAUGUUUUCAGGGAGGCUGCUGAUGAAGUCCAGGCUCACCUGAUGCGGUUUUGGCUCGAGUCACCUCUGCUUGUUGGCUGCCUCGCCGUCCAUCUCAAUUGGUGGCGACGCCGGUGUACACCGGUGCUGGUGUGUGUUGUGUGCUAGGUGUGCGUGAGUGCGUCCUUCUGUUCAUGACGCUGUGCAGUGGCGAAUUGUGCGCGAGUGCGUCCUUCACGCGCAAGAAGUGUGUCCUCAAUGUGCCCUCAAUUUACUAGCAUGCGGGGUGCUACCUCGAGUGGUUUCAACUUUGUUUACUUCACCGCAUGUCAGAUGGGCCUCUAGUUUACUUAUUUUCACCCACUGCCACAUGGGCCAGCACACGAAGAUACAGAACACGAGCUGACAAGGCAGCAUGUGGACUGGUUGACCGGUCAACUAAACAAUAUACGGAGCUAUAUGCUAACACAAUGAGCAUAUAAUCCGUCGGUAUAGAGAGUUUGAGUGUGAGGGGAGGCCCGUGAGAGAUAGCAGAGAGAGAGAGAGAAAGAGCUACUCCCACCGUUCGAUAAUGUAGUUCCAACAUUUUUUUUAAAGCCAAACUUUUCAAACUUUGACCAAGUUUAUAAAGAAAUUACUUAUAUCUACAAUACCAAAGAUAAAUGAUAGUAUGAAGUAAAUACAUGUUGUGAUGAAUCUAAUGAUCGUUCCAGAUGUAAAUGAUUUUCUCCACAUAUACCUGGUCAAACUUUUCUGAGGUUUGACUUUUCAAAACAUCCAUAUGCUUAUGGACAUGACACAGUCCCUAACUAGAGAGAGAGAGAGAGAGAGCAAGAGAGAGAGACAGAGAGAGAGAGAGAGAGAGAGAGAGAAAUAGAAAGAGUGAGUGAAAAAAGUGUGUGUGCGUGUGUGAAAGAGACAUGGACAACACAUGACAAAAGUAGAGAAAAAGCAUGCGUGUCUUAUGCAAACAUAUCACACAUGCAUCUUUGACAACGGAGGCAAGGUGAGGACAUAGUGUGUGGUUGUUUGGAACCGAGAGAGCAAGACCCCUAGCACGUGGCCAAGAGGGGUCUGACAAACAAGGGAGAGAGGUCGAGAGAGACGUACAGAGAAAAUGCAGACAUGGGGAGGAGAGAGUAUAUGUUUGUCAUACAGAGAUCCCAUGGAGAUCGCGAUGGGACUACAUGGGUGGGAGAUCGAGUGACAAGGUGUGUGCGCGAUAGAAGAUGCCCCGAGAGAUAUCGAGAUAGACGUGUGGAUGGAAGGAGACAAUACGUGUGUUCCUGAUGGCUAGUAAGAGAUAAUCAUACUUAGGAGGAGGGGGGAGUGCUUGCGCCUAUGAUGGAGUGAGGGAUUAUGGUACUUAUGGGGGUGCGUGUCACAUGGAGAGAGAACAAGGGCGGAGAGUGUUGGAUGAGUCUAUAUGUAUAGCACGAGCGAGACAUGUGUAUGUGUGAACCUGGGAGAUAUAAGGUCAGUUUGGCUUGUGUCCUGAGCAUCUUUUGCCUGGCCUGGGGUUGUGGCUUGAUUUCAUGCGCGCUUGUUUGGUUGCUACCCUGUGAAAAAGAAAGCCCGCCUGGCCUGGAUUCCCUUGCACUUUAAUUAGCCUGGCUAGACUCCAGACACUACAAGUAGCUUGGCCCAGGCGACCGAUUUCGAAUGCCUAGCCAUGCCUGGUCGUGCAGCCACGAGGAUAAAAGCAACCUAGAUGGAUAUUAGCAUUAAAUAAUUGCUGCAUGGAUUGAUUGAUGCGACGUUGAUGCUUUGCCUGGCCCAGGCACGAACCAAACGCUUCUGCACCACACAAGCCUGGCCAGGCAGAAAUAUUUUACAUCUCACGUCCACGCCAGGCAGUACUGGCCAUCAAGGCAUGAGGGUGAGGUCAGGAACCAAACUGACCAAUAAAGUUUGAAAGAGAUUGAGGAGCCCCGAUAAGGCUGAGUGGUGCGUUAGAUAGCUGAGAGGGGGAAAGAGAUAUUCCAUCCGCUCGAUAAUGUAGUGCAUGUAAAUUUUUUAGAAGUCAAACUUUGGAAACUUUGAUCAGGUUUACGCAAAUGUUAUUUAUAUCUACAAUACCAAAGAUACAUCAUACACAACUACAUAUCAUGGUGAAUCUAAUGGUAUAUGUUUGCCGUUCUAGAUGUAAUUUUUUUCUCCACGUACAUGGUCAAACUUUGUGAUGUUUGACUUUUCAAUAAAUCUAUAUGCUAUGGACCAAGGAGAGUGCCUAAGUCGAAACAGAUCAAGUGUGUGUGAAGGAGAAUGAGUAAGUGUGCAAAAAGAGUAUGUGUGUGAAAGAGAAAGUACAACAAAUGAUAAACUAGAGAGUGUGUGUGUUUUUUCGUUUCUUAUGCGAACAUAUCACGCAUGCAUCUCCGAGAUAGAAAAGCGAGGCGAGGAGAUACACAAAGAUAGCUAGUGUGUGAUUGUUUGCAACAGAGAGAGACACCCCUGUAGCACAUGUCCAAUAGAGGUCUGGCCAACAAGGAACAAAUGUCGUGAGGGACACAUGGAGGACAUGGACACAUGGGGAGGGAGAGAGGGUGUGUUUGUGAUAGAGAGAUCCCAUCGAGAUCGUGAGGGGACUAUAUGGGUGGGAGAUCGAGGGAGGUGCGUGCGUGAUAGAAAGAUGCCCCGAGAGAAAUCGAGAUAGACCAUGCACAUGUUUGUGAUGGAGACUAAGAUUAGCUAGUCAUAUACAUAUAGGGGGACUACGCGUGCCUACAAUUGAGUGAGAGACCAUCAUACUUGGCUAGCUAGGCAUGAGAUUGUGUGUGUGUGUGCGUGUGAGAUGGAGAGAGAAUGAGGUAGAGAGAUAUAGUUUUAGAUGGGCCUAUCGAGUGCGAGUGAGAUAUGCAUGUGUAUGUGUGACCCAGGUGGAUCGAGAGUUUGAGAGGGGGGAGAGCUCCGAGACGACAGAGUGGUGCGUGAGAGAGUUACGGGCAACGAGCAAAGGAAUUUGUGUGCGUACCAUGAGUGCGCCCAAGAUAUCUAGCUUGGAUUAGCUAGAGUAUCAUACAUAGUGUGCGAGAGAGACCUAUAUAUGGUGUAUAUAUAUGCAUGCGAACUAGAAUGAUCCCCCCACACACACACAAAGAGAGAGAGAGAGAGNNNNNNNNNNNNNNNNNNNNNNNNNNNNNNNNNNNNNNNNNNNNNNNNNNNNNNNNNNNNNNNNNNNNNNNNNNNNNNNNNNNNNNNNNNNNNNNNNNNNNNNNNNNNNNNNNNNNNNNNNNNNNNNNNNNNNNNNNNNNNNNNNNNNNNNNNNNNNNNNNNNNNNNNNNNNNNNNNNNNNNNNNNNNNNNNNNNNNNNNNNNNNNNNNNNNNNNNNNNNNNNNNNNNNNNNNNNNNNNNNNNNNNNNNNNNNNNNNNNNNNNNNNNNNNNNNNNNNNNNNNNNNNNNNNNNNNNNNNNNNNNNNNNGUGUCGGAUGCGUGCGACAGGAUUGAAGAUUGUCGGAGAGAGAGAGAGAGCGAGAGAGAGAGAGAGAGAGAGAAAGAGAGAGAGAGAGAGAGAGAGAGAGAGAGAGAGAGAGAACAUGAGUCUGGGAGAGGGGGAGGUCGCGUUUUAUGCAUCAAAGACUGAUAUAAACCAUGUCUCGAUAUAAACUUGCAUUCAAAUAUUUAAAUUGGAAAACAUGUUGUUUGCAAUCCACACAUGAACGGAUAUAUGCGUAUAUCAAACAAGUUCAUCAAUUUGACUUUCAACAUGUUCAUGGAGUACUAUAAUACUAUACAACACGCUACUUGAUUGAGGUGUUCAAUUUUGGAUUUAGUUCACUAUUUUGACCUAGUGAACGAGCUAUUUCAUUGAAUCGAGAUAUUUCAUUUUGGGUUUAAUUCGUGUUUUUGAGUGCGUCAACUAUUUGUCAUAUAGUAAAUCGCUAGCAAUGAGCAUGUAAAAACACAUUACUCCCAAGCAUCAUCUCUCCAUCUAAAAAAGAAGUGGCAAGCUAAUAUUUCAAAAUUUGAUUCGAAUCGACUUGGUAAGGUAGACGUGGAUGCUCGAUCUCCUAAAAUUUGAAUGAACCGUUAAACAUCAUCUACUCGGUGGAAUUCGCCCGAGCAAAUAAAUGGGAGAUGCGAAAUUACCGUCCUAUGUGGGACACACAUCUAUUGGCCCGUUGUACAUCGCGGGUAGGUUCAUAACUUCAUCCAAGCGCGCCUUCUCUUCGGCCAAAAUGACAUGUGCCGAAUAAUUCAUAAACCAUGGUCGGCAAAACACGCUCUCCUCGCCUAAAAUAGCUCGCGCCCACUAUUUCAAAACAUGCUCUCCUCGCACGAAAUUGUUCGCGCCCACUAUAGUUCAAAACACGCCCUCCUCGCCCGAAAUCGCUCCCGUCCACUAUUUGGGGAGAAGCAAAGUUACUCUACUAUCCCCGACCCUCAGUACACAGACCCAAGCCGAGAAGCCUAAAGGCAGGGGUAGAACUGUAACUCCCCCUCACAUUUCAGACAAAUGCGUCUGUAAGACAUGGUUCCACUCCCCUCACAAUUCCCCUCCCCCCCUCGCCCCCCAUUCAUACCUCGUGGGCGCAAAAUCACCUUCUCCCCAGGAAGCUCCCUUCUCCCGAGCCGCGAAACCUCAGCCCCUCCUCCAUGGCGCCCGCACCGCACCAAUUUCACAGCUGCCCUCCUCCCUAAUGCCGGAGAUGUUGUCCAUUUGCCGUCGUGCACUAGGCCGUGUGCCUCUUACUCCGUGCUGCUAGAGCUGCCUCGACGACGGCCGCGUGAACCGUACCGGAGCCGAUUCACCCCCGCCAUUGUUCAUGACGCUGGAGCGGCUCCAACUUCGGAUCCGUCCAGAGUCCAAGUGCUGCUUCCCCAUAGCCGUCGACCGUCGCGACAUUGUUGUUUCCCUGUCGCAGGUCGCCACCGCAACUGCGCCGGCAUCACUGACUCGGCAGCUGGACCUCCCUACUUCACCAUGCCACCAGAUAGGUCGCACCCUCAUCUCAAAUCACUUUAUUUAGGCGUCAGUUGUCUGAAUUUUUAUUCUGGGCCAAUCGAUUCCUAAUGGGAAGCAGCAUCCCUCGAGGCGGCGGAGCUCCCGGUUAGCUGGUGUCUAACGUAAGGGUGCGGGGCCGCAAGUUCGCCGCGGAAGCAGCACUUAGAUGGCUAAGUUUUAGAGUUGUGUGGGUUGAAGGUACUAGCGCCAUCGGAUCUGGAUGACGGGGCGUCUUUGUGGAUUGGCCCGGGGGCGGCGCAACCACGGCAGUGCGGUGGGGUGGGGAGCGGGGUUUUGGCCAGGGCCACGGACAUCGGAGGUAGGCUGCUCUGCCGUUGGUCGCUAGCUCUUCGGGGAAGAUUCCGAAUAGUGUCAGCCGGGAGGCACAAGACGACCAUCAAGCCAUCCAGCGUAGAUCGGACAAUACCAAAAUAAAAUAAAAUCAUGUGACCCCAAUUUAGUCUUCAGUCAACAGAUGUGUGACCACUCUCGUACCUUGCUGUUGAUCUCUUAGUGUAUUUCUUCAGAUCAAAGAGAUAUGUCAUUCUUAACAUUAUGCAUUAUCUGCAUCUUCAGACACACCGUCUUCCGACUCACCACAGCUGCUCCAACAAGGGAAGCAUACACCAGAAGGGAGCUAUAGUCCCCACUCAACAGUUCCCUGCAUUGAAUGCGCUUGCCCGACAUGGACAGCCACAACAACUGCAGGGCCAUCGACAAGUCAACACAUGAUGCUCACUCCUAUGGAUGGCAGCCAGAUAGGUUGUACCCUCAUCUUACUUGUGUGCAACAUUUAUGGCUUUGUUAUUCAUCUAAGCAUGGAAAAUAGAUCAUCACAUCUCACUUUAUAUUCAUGCUGAUCUCUUACGGGUCUUGUUCAGGAGUUAACGUUGUUCCAUAGUUCAGCUAAGAUACUUGUUCUUUAGGUAACGUUGUUCCAUAGUUAUCAUCUAUCAGCCAAUUCUAUCCCACAGGCUGGUGAUUAUAGUAUUAUAGCACUUCUAGUAUUACCUAUGUUGUUCUUUAAUACUUUUGUGUGCCAUCUAGUUAAUCUCGAGUACAAAUGAUACAUAUUCCAUAGCUUUCAUCUAUGUUCUCCCUUUAGUUUAUGAGACUUGUUGCUGCUAGUUAACCCUAGUCCUACUAUUUAUGUCGUCUCCUACAGGCACUCAUUACAUAAAUCUAACUACUAGUUGUCUUCCAUGCAUGUCACAUAUAAUUGCACACACUGAUAUAUCCACAAUAACCUCACGGAGCAAUGUAAAGGCCAAUAAACUUGAUGUCAAUGAUACCCAAUAUGAUGGAACUUGUAAAGGCAGUUCUUCAGAAGACUUGCAGAAAGAUAAUGAAUCCUCUUCACCCCACAAGGUCCUUACUCUAACAUGGCCUGUGAUAUGGGUACGGCAUGCAUAUAAUGUCCUGGAGUGUAUCUACUCUGUUGCAAUGCCAUGUCCUUAGCAUGCUGAUCAUGCAUGUAAAUAUGUCAUGCCUUCCUGUUUUUCAGUACCUAUUCCAUUCAUGGUAACAUGUUUUCAAAUUCAAGUACUGUCAUUCUACUCUAUCGCAAUGCCAUCGGCUUAAUUUGGACAUCAUGCUUCUGAAUAUCUUAUACAUUGUUAUUCAUCAGUAUGUACUUCAUCUGUCUACCAUACCAUGUUUUUUACAUUGAAGUGUUGUUCUAGUGCUCUGUUGCAAUGCCACCUUAGUUUCCCAAUCAUACACGUGUAUGUUGCCUUAGUUAUUUUUGUACGUAUUCCGCUAGCAUACAGUUUUACAUUCAACUAGUGUUUUUUCUUGCUAUGUUGUCCUGUCGUAUCCCUAGCUCUUACACCAUACUCCCACCGUCCGGAUUACAUGUUGACGAAAUGGAUAAAAAAGGAUGUAUCUAGAACUGAAAUACGCCUAGACCCAUCCAUUUUGUUCCGGAUGGAGGGAAUACAUGUCAAUAUGUCAUGCCUUUCUAUUCUUCAGUACCUAUUCCAUCUCUCUGCUGUAGCAUGUUUUAUAAUUAAAGCACCAUUCUUGUAGGCAUGCAAGGGGAAGACGACUAUGUUAGAAUCAGAAGGGUUACAAACAAGGCCUUUGCAAAAGAUCCAAACGCCAGGAGAUAAUAAACCAACUCCAGUUUUUAUAGAUACUGCUCCAGCACAGAGAAACCCAACUCCUACUGAUAAUAAGCAUAUUCCAGUGGCCAAAGAACUAGUCCGCUCCAGUCCAAAAAAAUAUGUCAACUACAUUCUAAGAAGCGUGUGCAUAUCCUUGCAUCAUGAAAUUUUAUAGGAUGCUGAUCAUAUUAUCUACAUGUUUCUUACCCAUCUCUCUUUUAGAAAAUAAGCUUAACAGAUAGUAGAAUUUCUGCACUGGUAUCGUAUGUGAGGAAAGAUUCUUGCAGGAAUUCUCUUUGCUCCAAUGCAGAUGUAAGUACCUGUUGUAUAUCACUAUAUUUUUACAUCAGCAUGUAUUUUGUUAAUCGGCGUGAAUCCAACCUGUAUCUGAUCUAAAUUUAGUUGUAGCAAAAUGUAUGAUUAAAGGCCACAAUGUUGAUUUUUGUAAGGAAAACUGCCUGGUAGUUUUGCAUCCUGAGCUGCAUGAGUUUACUAUCUCAUAUCAGUGGGUUCGAAUACUUUGGUUCUGCAGUGGGUUUUCAGUGUUUUGUUGUCCCAUCGUAUCCCUAUCUCUUACAUCAUACUCCCUCCGUCUGGAUUACAUGUCGCAGAAAUGGAUAAAACUGGAUGUAUCUAGAACUGAAAUACACCUAGACCCAUCCAUUUAUUUUCGGAUGGAGGGAAUACAUGUCAAUAUGUCAUGCCUUUCUAUUCUUCAGUACCUAUUCCAUCUCUGUUGUAGCAUGUUUUAUAACUGAAUCACCAUUCUUCUAUAUAAAGCAUGCAAGGGGAAGACGGCUAUGUUAGAAUCUGAAGGGUUACAAACCAGGUCUUUGCAAAAGAUCCAAACGCCAGGGAUAAUAAACCAACUCCAUUGUUCAUAUAUACUUCUCCAGCACAGAGAAACCCAACUCCCACUGAUAAUAAGCAAAUUCCAGUGGCCAAAGAACUAGUCUGCUCCAGUCCAGCAAAAGAAUGUCAACUCCAUUCUAAGAAGCGUGUGCGUAUCCUCGCAUCAUGAAAUUUUAUAGCAUUCUGAUCAUAUUUUCUACAUGUUUCUUACCCAUCUCUCUUUUAGAAAAUAAGGUUAAAUGAUAGAAGACUUCCUCCAUUUGGAUCGUAUUUGAGGAAAAUAUCUUGCGGGAAUUCUCUGUGUUCCAAUGCUGAUGUAAGUACCUGUUGUAUAUCACUAUAUUUUUACAUCAGCAUGUAUUUUGUUAAUCGGUGUGAAUCUAACCUUUAUCUGAUCUAAAAUUAGUUGUUGCAAAAUGUUAAAGGUGCCAAUGUUGAUUUUUGUAAGGAAAACUGCCUGGUAGCUUUGCAUAUUGAGCUGCAUGAGUGUACUAUCUCAUAUCACGCACAUUACUAAAUUGUAGUGCUUCUCUGGUUGCCCAUUCAUUCAUUGUGUCAAUGUUGCUUUCGUAUUACGUUACCUGGCUGAUGAUAGUUGUGCAAUAUUGUGUUAAUUUGGUGUAGGCUAGUUUCCCAAACGUUCGUUGUGUCAAUUUUUCUUUCCAAUUAUCUGACUUGGCCAAUGAUAUCAGUGCUAGUGUGUUAAUUUUGUGUAGGCUGCUGAAGAUAAGAAGACAAACUCUGAAAACAGCAAGGCAACCCCAUUGUUUCUUUCCAAUAAAUCUAGGCCAGGUAAUAUGGCAAUAACUCAUGAUUAAUCUGUUUGGUUCCCUUCCUAAUUUAUGUUAUGAUGCAGUGGUCGAGACACUCUCCACUAUCAAUAAUACAAGCCUGCCAAAAUCGCCAUCUGAAUCUGUUCAGUGUCCUCCAUCUCGAAUGCAACGGAAUAAAUGUAUGUUUGUGAACCAAUUAAUGGCUGAAGCAAUGAUGGAAAUGGUGGAUGAAUCAGAGGUGCAGAGUUGUGCGACACAACAACUGAUCAAUGUUUUCAAAGACAGUGUAGCAAAGCAGCAAGAACUUGCCCACAUGCUUAUGGGCGUCAUCUGUGCUGAGAUUGCAGAUUGUGACGUUGUAGAUGGUUAGGUUCUGCUCAUUUAUUUGCACUGGCAUCAAUCUUUGAUUGCCUAGUGGAUGUAAUUUCCUAUAAUAUAUGCUGGAUGUGCAACGUUAUUCCCCGUAUGCCGUACCUUUGCUUGAUCGGUUUUGGUCCUGUGCAUAAUUGCUCGUCAUAAUGGGCCCAAAUUAUCUAAUUUGGCCUAAAGAUAUGUACGAACUUUAGUGGGCCCAUUAAGUUAAUGGGCCGUUACUAGGCCGAAAGUUAAUUCUCGGCCCUCUUACCUCCCGGGUCGUUAACAGGCCGACAUCGAAGUGGGCAAAUGGUGGGCCCAAUUUAUUUCACGGGCAGUUAACAGGCCGUUACUAAGUUUGGGCUACAUAUGGCCCAACUAUACUGUACGCCAUUAGCAGGCCGAAAGAGACAGCGGGCUUGUACUGGACCAUGAAGAGCAUGGGCCGCUAAGAGGCCGAAUGUCAGGUCGUAUUGUAAAUGGCCCAACUAUGUUGUGGGCCUUUAGCAGGCCGAAAGAGAAAUCGGGAUGGUAUUGGACCAUGAAGGGCAUGGGCCGUUAAAAGGCCAAAAGUAAGGUCCGACUACAAAUGGCCCAACUCAUUUAUGGCCCGUUAACAGGCCUGUCGGUGUCAAAACCAGCAGAUCUCGAGUAGGGGGUCCCGAACUGUGCGUCUAGGCGGAUGGUAAUAGGAGACAAGGGACACGAUGUUUUUACCCAGGUUCGGGCCCUCUCGGUGGAGGUAAAACCCUACUCCUGCUUGAUUAAUAUUGAUGGUAUGGGUAUUACAAGAGUUGAUCUACCACGAGAUCAGAGAGGCUAAACCCUAGAAGCUAGCCUAUGGUAUGAUUGUUUUCUGUCCUACGGACUAAAACUCUCCGGUUUAUAUAGACACCGGAGAGGGCUAGGGUUACACAGAGUCGGUUACAAUGGGAGGAGAUCUUCAUAUCGUAUCGCCAAGCUUGCCUUCCAGGCCAAGGAAAGUCCCUAUCCGAACACGGGACGGAGUCUUCAAUCUUGUAUCUUCAUAGUCCGGGAGUCCUGCCAAAGGUGAUAGUCCGGUCAUACGGACACCCCGUAAUCUAGGACUCUCUCAGUAGCUCCCGAACCAGGCUUCAAUGAUGACGAGUCUGGCGCGCAAAUUGUCUUCGGCAUUGCAAGGUGGGUUCUUCUCCAACUUCAUAUACUUGUAGAAUAGUGUCCAGCUUCUGAUAAAUGUUGCGCUCCUUGGCUUCCACGCCCAAUAAAGGCCAUUUUUCACGUGUCGAACGAAUGCGAAAAGCUAAGGUAUUUUUGCAUUUUCCCCCCUAGCGACUCAAAUAAGCUGUCUAUAAAAAGAGACGGGGAUCUAGAUCCGAACCACGCCAUCUCCCCUUCACAAGCUUUCAUCGGAGCACGUCUGACCAAAAAAUCCAUCAUGGACAGCCGACGCGGCUCCUCCUCUCGCGCUCCCAGCCCCAAGCCUGGGGAUUGGGAGAGAUGCUCCAUCCCGGAUAGUGAACUCAUAGUCCUUCAAUCCAAGGGGCUCCUUUCCCCAGCAUAUAUGGUCCCAGUUCGAGCUGGGAUCGCCACUUAUAGCGGCGGAGAGCAAGCAGAGAGCAUCCCCCAUCCCUCUCGAGGAGAGCGGGUAUGCCUAGUCCCUUAUUUAAUAAGAGGACUCGGAUUUCCAAUUCAUCCGUUUCUUCGAGGGUUGCUGGAGUUCUACGGCCUCCAACUUCACGACCUCACGCCUGCCUCCAUUCUGCACAUUGCGGGCUUCGUGGCCCUCUGCGAACUAUUUUUGGGUGUUGAGGCCCAUUUCGCGCUGUGGAAGAGGUUGUUCUACCUCGUGCCCCGUUCUCAGGAGGGGUCUAUUUAUCAAGUGGGCGGAGCCGAACUAUGGCGCAUCACUGGGACCGGAUAUCUAUCCGGUACCCCUAAGAGGACGUCGGAGGACUGGCCCUCGAAGUGGUUCUAUAUAGAUGAUGUCCCUCUGCCGGACCCUGUACGGAUCGACCUCCCUGAGUUCAAUAAAGCUUCGUUGAAGAAGCGCCUGAGCUGGCGCCCGCGGAACCCUCAGAGGGAAACUGACAGGGACGUCCUUUACCGGAUGAGCCGGAUAAGGUUGUUGGCUCAUUCCGGACUGACCAUGAUCAAGGUCAUGGCCAUAUGCAUUAUGCGAGGGGUGCAGCCGCUUCAAUACAGAGCACACCCCAUGUGGGAUUUCAACGGGGAGGACGAUGCCACCCGGUGCGGUCGUAAGGGGCCAGAUUCGGCCGCCACCUUAACGAGAAUUUUAUCCGCUUUGUAUAAGGGAGAAGAAGAGGAAUUCCUCCGUGCCAACCCGGAGGGCGGAUUCUCCAUGUACAAUCCUCCAAGUUGGGUAAGUGAACAAUUUCACUUAUCUACCCGCCUUUCGAAAUUCCCAUGGUUGAGUAUUCAGUCUGGUGAUAUUAACGCAGGAGUUACGCCAGACGGUGAAGGAGACCAACAACUCUCCCCCACAGCCCGAGGACCCGGAACGGUCCCUCGACCCGGAUUCCCAAGAGGAUCCGGACUUAUGUGUGGAGUUAAUUGAUGGGGUGUUUCAUCAAUUGAGUAAGGAUAACACAUUAGUGGCCAUUACGGCCGACUAUCCUGGAUUACUUCCAGCCUCAAAGGUAGCCGAGACCGAAGUCCUGGUACUUUGAAGGAGAUCCAUCCAUGUCUUAUUUUGAAUGCUGUAGACCAAUAGUGUUUCGUUUUGCAGGGGAAAUCCUUGAGGUGGAGUGCCGGGCCCGCGAUGGGCAGCCAACAAGGGCCGCUAAAGCCAAGCGGGCAAAAAAGAAGUGCAGACCAGAUCGAGACUCUGGUGCAACGGUACGGCGUGCGAAUUUCACGCCUAGGGUCUAUGCCCUCAAGUCAUUCUAAUGCCCAUGUUCUCCUUAGGAAGAAGAGAGCCCGUCGGACUAUAUCCACCGGCCAGACUUCAAGGACGGAUCCGGAAGCAGAGGCGGACACGGGACGUGCGUCAGGUGUUCCCCCGACAGAGGAUGCAGACAGGCUAUUUGCCACCAAUUCAGAGGUGGAGAGUGCCAUGAACCACAGGCAUCGCCGGACUAUUCUUCAGGACGCAUGUUUUUCCCCGGAGGCACUAAACGCCUUUAAUAUAGGAGAUGCGUACCUCCGUGCCACUCAAAAUGGUCUAGCCAGGGCCACGGAGCAGUAUGUAAAAGACAUAUAGUGAGUAAAUCUGAUAGUUAUAUAUGUUAGUAGCCCCCGAGACUUGAAAAGUUAAGAUAACUGUUUUAAGGAUCAUAUGUUAUGCAGGGUCUUACAGAGAAGAACACACAACUGUCUUAGGAGUUGGCGGAGUGCAAGGCCCAACUCGAGGCCGCACUGCCGCUUUAGCUAUUGGCAAGGAGACCCCCUCAGGUAAUGUAUUCUCCCAAAAAAUAAUUAAAUUGCGAAGUGUGCAAUGCUAACGAUAACAAUGCAGAUGAAGCCGGAGUAAAUCCGGACAAGCAACAACUCCUACGCCAACUAAAGGCUGGCGAGAGCGUGCUGACAAGGGUGAGGCAAGAGAAGAACAAGCUUCAAGACGCCAAUACCCAGCUGGGCGAGGAACUAAAGGAUGUUCGUAUCCAGCUGUCUGUUUCCGUAAAGGAGAAUCAGCGACUCCGACGCGGCAUUUUUAGUAAGUGCUUGAGCGAAAUCUUGAAAAAAAAAAUCGGCGAAGAAGUCGAUUGACAGAGCUAUGUCUGUAGGUCUACUGUCGGGUCGUCCUGCAGAGGAAAUGCCCGGUUCAACGGGGGACCUUCUUCCCGAGUUGUUGCAACUGCACGAACAAGUUCGGCAGGCAAUGCGGGGCGUUAUCCAAGCUAUGUGGCCAUCCCUUUCCGCACCCGAAGGCUUUGGGGAGCUUGCAAAGAAGCUGGAGGGAGUGCGGCAGCGCUUCCGGUUGUGGAAGAUAUCGGCCUACCGCCAAGGUGCCAAUGAGGCCUGGGCCAUGGUGAAGACCCGGUACUCGAAGGCUGACCCAAACCACAUGGCCGAGGUCAGCCCUAUGGGUCCUGACGGAAGGGAGAUCCCUGUCAGCUUAGUAUAUGGCCAGGUAGAGCUGGCUGCAAAGUAUUCCCAACAGGACUGUAAAUUAGAUCGCCUGUUGGAUGGUAUUGAAGAAGAGUAUACCAAGUCGGAUUGACUCUGUAAUUAAAAAUGACAUAAAAAUGCCUUCUAGCCGGAUUGUAGAUCGUUUGUCAUUGCGGACAUUUUCGCUUCGACCUCCGGACCCUAUAGUCCCGAGUGUGUCCGAAUACCCUCUCGAUUAUGUAAGAAUCGGGGCAUGCAUGGAUACAAGGCGUAGGGGUCAUAAUUGCUUUAGCAGACAAGUGCCCAACUAGUUAUGUUAUAUUACAUGGUUAGUAAGAAACGUCUUCCAGGGAGAAUAGUUCCGUUAGGGGUUCCUUUCCCUGGGAGGCAUGCCCUAAAGUGCAUGUCCGGACUGCUAGAAAGAGCAGAAAAGCAUCUGGGGGAAGAUAAAUAAACAAGAAAAAUCAUCUUUUAAUUCACCAACCAAAUAUUCCCUUAAGAAUGCUAGCUUUCGGCUUCACCCAGUCUGAGGUACACAUCCGACUGACCCGGCAGUAACAAUCGCAGAGGUGCUCCCUUUACGACCUAGUCGAACGAACGGGAAUGUAGGGGUAAGCACAGGAGCCAGGCAACCCAGCUUGGCCAAAACUUAAGUCAUAUCGAUGCAUAUAAUGGUGUAUAAAAAGGUUCAUGCCGAAGUGUCACACAUGUUUUGGGCAUGAGGCCCACUUAGAUAAACUUCUGAUAAAGAAGCCCCCAGGUAGGAUGAGCGCGGGUGGCGCGUCAAGUAUGUGCGAGCAAUGCGCAAGCAAGCCCCUAAGGGCUUGGGAGAAAAAAAACAAAAAAGGGGGGAGAAGGAGAGAAAUGCCAGACAGCUAUAUGUGAAAACAUAAAAAAUGGGACAGAGGAGGGAGACGAACACGGAGUCCGGCGCUUAGGCGUAGAAUCUUCGUAGGCGUGCUGCAUUCCAUGGGUUCGGCUCGAGUCGGUUGUCCGAUGCGUUUCGCAGACGGUACGCUCUGCCAAUCAGUACUUGGUCGAUUAUGAAGGGACCCUCCCAUUUGGGCUUUAGUUUGUCUUUUUUCUUGUCCGGCAGGCCUAGAACUAGUUCGCCAACAUUGUAAGUUUUGGCCCGUACUUCUCUGCUUUGAUAUCUUCGGGCCUGUUGUUGAUAGAAUGCGGAACGGGCUUUUGCCACGUCGCGCUCCUCCUCCAACGCGUCCAAGCUGUCCUGCCGAUCGAGCUCGGCUUCUCUUUCUUCGUACAUGCGCACUCGAGGUGAGUCAUGUAUUAUGUCGCAGGGCAGAACUGCCUCUGCGCCGUAUACUAUAAAAAAUGGUGUGAAUCCGGUAGUGCAAUUCGGCGUGGUCCGCAGCCCCCAGAGUACGGAGUCAAGCUCCUCUACCCAUUGCGUGUUUGAUUCUUUGAGGGAUCGCACUAGUCUGGGUUUGAUGCCGCUCAUAAUAAGACCGUUGGCUCGUUCGACUUGACCGUUAGUUUGUGGGUGAUAGACUGAAGCAUAGUCGAGCUUGAUGCCCAUGUUUUUGCACCAGAGUUUAACUUCGUCGGCCGUAAAGUUUGUGCCGUUGUCAGUUAUGAUGCUGUGGGGGACGCCGUAACGGUGUACAACCCCGGAUAUGAAGUCUAUCACCGGUCUGGAUUCGGUCGUCUUUAUAGGCUUGGCCUCUAUCCAUUUGGUGAAUUUGUCCACCAUAACCAGUAGAUAUUUUUUCUUGUUGGUUCCUCCUUUAAGGGGUCCAACCAUGUCAAGCCCCCAGACCGCAAAAGGCCAGGCAAUGGGGAUGGUUUGUAGGGCGGUAGGCGGCAUGUGGCUUUGAUUAGCGAAUAAUUGGCAACCGACGCAUCGCUUCACUAAAUCCUGAGCGUCUGCCCGGGCCGUUGGCCAAUAAAAUCAGGUACAGAAGGCAUUGCUUAUGAGGGCCCGGGCUGCGGCGUGGUGACCGCCGAGUCCGGCAUGGAUUUCAGCCAGAAGGUUUUUCCCUUCCUCUUCGGAGAUACAUCUUUGAAGGACUCCGGUUGUGCUUUUCUUAUAAAGCUCCCCCUCGUGGACUUUGUAGGCUUUAGAUCACCGCACUAUGCGACGGGCUUCGUUUUGGUCUUCAAGAAGUUCCUGCCUAGUUAGGUAGGCUAGGAAUGGUUCUGUCCACGAGGUAAUGACUGCCAUUAUUGUGUGGGCUGACGGUGUUGUUUCGGUGGCGGAGCCACCAACUGUGUCAAAGUGUUCGGUGAGAGGCAGUGUGGUUGUGUCCGGGCUAUUGUUUCCAGACUCUCCCUCCCAUGAAACUGACGGCUUGAACAGCCUCUCAAGGAAGAUGUUGGGGGGGACGGCAUCGCGCUUCGCGCUGAUGCGUGCCAACACGUCUGCUGCCUGGUUGUUCUCCCGGGCUAUGUGAUGAAAUUCGAGCCCCUCAAACCGAGAUGACAUUUUUAAGACAGCAUUGUGAUAAGCUGCCAUUUUCGGAUCCUUGGCGUCAAAGUCUCCAUUUAUUUGGGAUACCGCGAGGUUUGAAUCCCCGCGGACCUCUAGGCGCUGAAUGCCCAUGGAGACUGCCAUCCAGAGACCAUGUAGAAGGGCCUCGUAUUCGGCUACGUUGUUGGAAUCCGUGUACAUUAUCUGAAGUAUGUAUUGUACUGUAUCUCUAGUUGGGGACGUCAGAAUGACGCCAGCCCCAGUCCAGCCAACAUUUUGGAGCCGUCGAAGUGCAUGAUCCAAUUGGAGUAUGUGUCGUACUCUUUAAGGAGCUCGGCUUCAGUCCAUUCGGCGAUGAAGUCGGCCAAAACCUGCGACUUAAUGGCUCGCCUUGGCUUCUAAGUUAUGUCUAACGGGAGGAGCUCGAUGGCCCAUUUGGCAAUCUGGCCCAUUGCGUCAUGGUUGUUUAUAAUAUCAUUAAGGGGUACUUCGGAUGCCACUGUUAUUGAACACUCUUGAAAAUAGUGUUGCAGCUUCCGGGAUGCCAUGAACACCGCGUAUGCUAUCUUUUGAUAAUGCGGGUACCGUGACUUGCAUGGAGUUAGGACAGUGGACACGUAGUAAACUAGUUUUUGGAGAGGGAACUUGUGUCCGUCCGUUUCUCGUUCGACGACGAGCACCGCGCUUACAACUUGGUGGGUUGCCGCGAUGUAUAAUAGCAUUGGUUCGCCUGUGUUGGGCGCGACCAGGACCGGAUUUGUUGCCAGUAUGGCUUUGAUUUCUUCGAGUCUGGCCGUGGCGGUAUCCGUCCACUCGAAAUGUUCGGUGCGCCGUAGGAGGCGAUAAAGGGGUAAUGCCUUUUCUCCUAAGUGGGAGAUAAAGCGUCUUAGAGCCGCCACACAUCCGGUCAAUUUUUGUAUUUGCUUGAGGUCUUUUGGGGUAUCCAAUUGUGACAGAGCUCAGAUCUUGGCUGGGUUUGCUUCAAUUCCUCUACCGGAUACGAUGAAGCCCAAGAGUUUUCCAGCUGGUACGCCGAAAACGCAUUUUUCCGGGUUGAGCUUGAUGUCAUAUGUUCGGAGAUCGUCGAACGUGAGCCUUAAGUCGUCUACUAGAGUAUCGACAUGUUUGGUUUUGACGACCACGUCAUCUACGUAUGCUUCAACUGUUUUGCCGAUCUGGUUGGGCAGACAUGUCUGAAUCAUGCGCUGAUAUGUUGCGCCGGCGUUUUUGAGCCCGAAGGGCAUCGUGUUGAAGCAGAAUGGGCCGUAUGGGCUGAUGAAUGCCGUUGCGGCUUGGUCUGACUCUGCCAUCUUGAUUUGGUGGUAGCCAUAGUAUGCAUCAAGGAAACACAAUGAGUCGUGCCCUGCGGUUGCGUCGAUGAUUUGAUCAAUUCGGGGGAGCAGGAAAGGAUCCUUUGGGCAGGCCUUAUUCAGGUCUUUGAAGUCGACACAUAGGCGCCAGGAUUUGUCCUUCUUUGGUACCAUCACCAGGUUUGCUAGCCAGUCCGGAUGUUUUAUAUCUCUGAUGAAUCCGGCUUCCAGUAGUUUUGCUAGCUCUUCUCCCAUGGCUUGUCUCCUAGGUUCGGAGAAACGCCGUAGAGUCUGCUUAAUGGGUUUAAACCCCUUUAGGAUGUUCAGGCUGUGCUCGGCCAGCCUGCGUGGGAUUCCUGGCAUGUCUGAAGGGUGCCAGGCAAAAAUGUCCCAAUUUUCUCGCCGGAAUUCUCUGAGUGCGGCAUCUACAUCGGGUUUUAGUUGUGCCCCGAUGGAUGCCGUUUUUGUGGGGUCCGUUGGAUGGACUUGGAAUUUGACUAUUUCGUCCACUGGUUUGAAAGAGGUGGACCUGGAUCUCUUAUCUAGUAUCACAUCGUCCCUGUCCACCAUGGAGCGCAGCGUAGUUAGUUCCUCAGCCGCUAGGGCUUCGGAUAAUGCCUCCAGGGCCAGUGCGGCUGUCUUGUGGCGCGGAGCGCUGUGUCCGGAUCACUUGCAAGAGUGAUGAUUCCGUUGGGUCUGGGCAUUUUGAGCUUCAUGUACCCAUAAUGAGGUAUGGCUUGAAAAAUUGUAAAUGCUUCUCGCCCUAGCAGAGCGUGGUAUCCGCUGCUGAACGGGGCCACUUGAAAUGUGACCUCCUCGGAUCUGUAAUUAUCCGGCGUGCCGAACACCACAUCCAGUGUGAUUUUUCCUGAACAGCACGCUUCCCGGCUUGGUAUUAUUCCUCUGAAGGUUGUGUUGCUUCGCUCAAUGCGACUCCAGUCUAUUUCCAUUUUUCGCAGGGUUUCCUCGUAGAUGAGGUUAAGUCUGCUACCAUCGUCCAUGAGUACCUUUGUAAGUCGUAAGCCGUCCACUAUCGGACUGAGGACCAAUGCGGCUGGUGCUCGGGCUGUCCGGAAUUUAGGUUCGUCACUGGCAUUAAAAGUAAUAGCCAUGUGUCGGUGUACUAGAGUAGGGGUACCCUAGUAUCCCGAACUUGUGCACGGGCAGUUGCAGCACCCCGCAGCAAGGCUUGCCGGGUGACCGCCAAGGUCCUCCGUGGUUCCUUUGGAGCCAUUCAAGAACAAAGUAUUCAAGACAAGGAGACAAGGCCCCGGCAAGAGGAGCUUGCCAGGAAGGCCAGCCAAGGCAUCUCAAGGAACUUGCCGCGACGCGCCACGCGUCCCGGCAAGGCCCGGUGAGCGACAAGCUUCCGGACGCGACAAGACAACGAUCGCGGCAAGGCGCUUGCCGCGGCAAACUACCACUCUGUACCCGCGCUCCAGCACAUCCACCAACGUGUCGCCCUGGGACCUUUCCAGGCGCGCGUGGCAAGAGGCUGUGCGGCCAGCGGUGCACGGUGGCAAGCGACGCUAACAAGAUUGCCAUCGUGGCAAGCAGUGGCGUCCCCGACGGUCCCUUUUUGCACUAUUUGGGCGACGUAGAUGGGCAUUUAAUGCCUUUGUCCCCUGCCGUCAGGGUUAGGUAUGAUACACUGUACAGGUAGUUGUACCAACCGCAAUUCCUUUUCCAUUUUUACCCUUGUCUACGUUGCCACCUGUCGGUGACCCCUUAAGCAUAUAAAAGGAGGCCCAUGCGCAACGUAGAGGGGGGAUCAAAAGCAGAAAAACACUCACGCUCGGUCUCGUUAGCAGCUAGUGUAUACUGUAGGACUCAGCGCUCCCGAGCAAGAACUCAAUACACUCAGACAUGCAGCAGUAGGAGUGUUAUCUCUCCGGAGAGCUCCGAAGCUGGGUAAACUGCUCGUGUGCUUCGCCUUGAUCCGCUCUUCAUGCGAUCUCCGCCCCCGCCGAACCGAAAGGGGCUCGGUCCGCCGGUCCCAUAGGUGUUCGUGGAUCAGUUUCCCCGACACCGUGUCACUCCAUGGGUUUAUUGUUGCUACUUGGUAGACUUCGGCGAGGUUGCGGAGGGUUCGUUUCCUUGCAUUGUUUGAUGCGAAGGUCUCGAAGACUGUCGACACCGUACUGGCGUUUCUGGGGUGGUGUUCUUUGGAUUCUGGAGUUAGAAGCUCCUCGCCACUUCUGGCCACCUGCCGGAGUAUCCAACAUGCUCUAAGGCUGUGAGUUGGUGUGACUUCCCCUGAACUAUGAAUUUUACAGGGUCCAUUGAGCCACCCCUCCAGUACGGUCCCAUACCCUAUAGAGGGUUUUUGUUUUUUGAUGUUUGGCUCAGGUGCCUGGCGAUAAUGCGCCCUUUUGUUUCGGACUCGUGUUGGGUUCAGGGCCGGAUUGUCCCAGAAUUUAUUUUCGGUUUUCCGAACGCUUUCUGUCGCACAGUACUUUCGUACUAUGGAUGUCAAGUAGGCGAAGGGUGUAAUUUCGCGGCGACUUAUGGCAUUGAGGAUUCCGAUGUCCGUGCAGUUGUUACAGAAGAAUGAAAUUGCUUCUUCCUCACGGCAGUCCCUUAUCCUGUUCAUAACCAGGAGGAAUCUGGCCCAAUAAUGGUGUACUGUUUCCCCGGGCGCUUGCUGUAUUUGGGAUAAAUCCCUUAUAGUUGGGUGGGCGGGUGGAUUUAAAUCCAGAACCCUGCCCGUUAGAAGAUUCAGGGGCCAAGAAGUUUCCGAAUUAGGGAGCUUGUUUUCUUGGAGAUUAUUCAAUGAAUCAGGCCUGCUACCUGACUUUAGGUUCAGGACUUGGGCAACAUCCUCCCCUCCGCGGGUAUCCGGCUUGGAGGGGUCGGGAAUCCGGACACAUCUGGUCCUUAGAGCAGGCGAAGAUGCGCUGCAUUGUUCUUCCACCACUUCAACGUGGUGGGUGACCUAGGGAGAGUUGAUCCCUCUCUAGUCGGGUUUAAGUCCGAUCUGGCCGUAAUCUGUAGCGACUCCCAGGGCGGCAAUGCGAUCGAGGAGCUCAUUCAAGGAAGAGAGCUCCGUCGGAUCUAACUGCUCGGCGAGUUCCGAGCUGAUGUGAAGAUUGCUUUCGAUGGCCUAAGAGGUCAUCGUCGACGCGCGGCUGAACAGGCGGUCAUCAAGAACCUUCCUAGCCAGAGAGUUUGACCGACAGCCAAAGCUCCUUUAGUGACAGCGCCGUCUUUAAAGACGGGGUGCGGCAUCCUUCCUGACGGUGACAGCAUAGAGGAACUCCCAAUGAAAGCACCAAUGUCGGAGUCAAAACCGGCGGAUCUCGGGUAGGGGGUCCCGUGUAGGGGAACGCAGCAGAAAACAAAAAAUUUCCAACCUACGCACCAGCCCAGGACCACUAUGGAGACUGCAUACAUGGUUUGAUCCUUUUUGUUUCCACUCGUAGCACAGCGGGAAGUAGAGUCGAUGACGAACGGCGGUGCAGAUCCCCGCAGCUAGGAUUUACAACCUCCCAACCGCAAGGAUGUAUACCCUCAUCUUCUCCUUAGACAGCCCUCCGGGAGGCGGUCGAACAGCCCCUCGGACGGUGUCGCGGACAGCCCUUCGGGAGGACCUUCGAAACUCGAACGGUCACUCGGACAGCCCUUCGGGAGGACCUUCAAAACUUGGACGGUCACACGGACAGCCCUUCGGGAGGCACUCACGAACUAAGACCGAAACUACGAUCUCUCUACAGAGUUGCACACAUACGGUGUCAUCUAUUCGGCAGGGCUUCGCCGUCCAGAACUAGUUCCUGCCGGAACCCAGACAGCCUUGCGGCUCUACGAAACUCUUUUCAUGGGAGGGAGAGAAGAAGCCAGAUCAUGCAUGGCACUUGUAUGUGAGAAGGGAUGAUCCUUUAGGCAGCCCCCUCCACCCCUAUUUAUAGGACAAGCCCAAGGGAGGCUUCUCCAAGAAGCCAAGGGGAUAAUACCAAAAGGCCCUCAAGGUGGCUUCUCCAAGAAGCCAAGCAAAAAGCACUUUCACUAUUCAUGACGACAUUUUUAGCGUCCGUUCGAACUGUAAAUAUUUAUGUGGGAUCAGAACAUUUCCAUUACCCACUAAAAAUAAUUUUCAACACGUUCCAAAACAAUUUCGGUUUAGUGAUUUUCAUCUGCGCAAAGCAAACAAGAAUGCGUUUUUACUAUUCAUGAAGACAAUUUUUCGCGUCCAUUAAAUCCGAAAAUAUUUCUGUGGGUCUUAGAAUAAUUCCAGUACCCAGUAAAAUGAUUUUGGAUUUGUUCUGAAACAAUUUCAGAUUAGUGAAUUUCAUUUGCGAAAAACAUCUGAAGUGGUUCCGGCAGCCCCGGAGCAUAUCCGGUUAUUAUCCCGGAAAAUUCCAGAAAGCUUCCAGAAUGAUUCUGUCACCCUCCAAGAAUUAUUAGGCAUGUGCCAAAACCAAUUUGACUUAACGGUAUCCCCUGAAACAACUUUUCAGUUUCACCGAAACUCAUCCGAUGACCUCUCUCUGCGGUACGAUUCCGCUGUCCGAAACCAUUCCGGUGUCCGAAACUUUUUUCGGUGAUUUUCUCUCAGACUCCCUGUCUAGUAUUCAGAAGAUAGAUGACCCUUAAGCAUGUGACCCUAUAGGUUCGGUGAAGUAUAGACAUGACCCGGAACCCCUUCCGAUCAAUGAUCAACAUCGGAGCCGUGGACACCCAUAUUGACCCCUAUACCCACACGAAUGAAUAUUCGAGUGAACCUCCAGUUGCUGUGUGCUAUUCCUGUUGCUUCGUGAUAUGUUACAAAUACCCGAGGUGAGACAUGUUGGCAUUCCCAUGGAUCAACAACUUGUCCACUAUGCCAGUUACCUCGUUAUCAGUAUUGUUCUCUUUACUCGUUACCGUGUUCCGGCAUCCCCGUGAUCAAAUCACAAAGUGUCUAGCCAGACGAUGAUAGAUACCGUAACACCGAGAGGGCCCAGAGAUAUCUCUCCAUCAUUGGAGGAGCAAAUCCCAAUCUUGAGCUAUUAAGUUACUUGACAGACUUUUCCAUGAACCCGUAAGCCGCUGUAAUAGCCACCCAUUUACGGAUGACGUUUAACAAACCCCAAAGUUCAUGAAGCAAGCAUGAAGAAACUCGAUACUCUCAUGGUCUAAGGAAUCAUGCAAACGUUAACCAUAUCUGUGUUAUUUACCAUUAACUUCUGACGAAUGUAUCUCAUAGCAUAACAUCAAUUCGGGUCGAUUCAACACAAAUGUUCUCUUAACAUUGUGCCCUCAAAGUUGCUGGCAUAGACAUGCCCAUGAUCAGGAAAACGGAACCAUCAUGCAACCCUUGAGCUAGUCUUCGAGGCCAAACUAGGAAAACUUCUUACCGUUUAUUAUUCCACACGUGCAUAUGAGUCUUCCUCCGAGCCUCGUGGAUAUUGUAGACUCGAGAAUCAUUGCAGUUAUAGCAUGGAACAUAAACAUAAUUAUGAACUCGGAGAUAAAUAAUAUCAUUUAUUAUUGCCUCUAGGGCAUAUCUCCUACAGACUCCCACUUGCACUAGAGUCAAUAAUCUAGUUUAAUGCUAAUGCACUUCACACCUAUGGCACAUCGGUGUAAAUAUGCUUCGCUUGUGGUAUAGCCUGAUGUCCAUCAGAUCUGACAACUUCAGCUCCGUGUCUAUCUCUGCAUAUCCUCGCGUUUUCACACUUUCACAAAAUUCAUAUUUUGUGCGGACUUGGCUUUGUAUAAAUGUGAAUCACAGGUUGAACCUGGAUUCCUCAGACUGAGUUAUGGAGAAACUACCUGCAGUAGUGUCCCAUUGACAAAGGCCAUCUUAGAACCAUACUAAGUUCAUGAAUGAACUAUAUGAUUCAACAUCUUGUUUGUCGCUUCUAAAGUGUCAACAUACUUAGUCAUUUGUUAUAGAAUUCUCCACAGUAUCCUGUUGGGAACAAUUUCCAACUACCGUGCCACCAUAUUGUGUAUUACACAAAACCCUUAACUUAAAUCAAAAAUUGCAUGGAGAAAAGAUGAAGAUUGUAUCGAUGUAACAUUUUACAACGAACUCUUCAUGAUCUCCGCUUGCGAGAAAACAUAUCAUCAGUACUUACUCUAGUACUCAAUGACAUCUUUCAUUGUUGUCCCAUGAUUAGUACUUUGAUCACUUUAGUAUCCAUACUAGCAACACCUUGGGAGUAUCGGACAUAUCUGGUUGUUUUACAUACCAUGGAAUACAUGAUUAAUCCAAACACAAAAGUGUGUGGAAUCUGCAUCAUUUAUUUUGCUCAUCAGUGUUUUGGGACACCGAGUCUUGCAAAAAACACUUCCAUGUGACUCCGGCAAGAAUCACUCCUUGGCAGUUUUAAAUGGUAAAAGGUUUUAGCACCUUGUCAAUAUGUAUUCAUUGCCUAGCCCUAUUAGGUAAAUCUAUCUCCAUAGAUCAUUAUGCCUAAUAUUGAGGCUAUUUAGCCUAAGCACUUCAUCAAAAAACUAUUUUCAAAUGAAGUCCUAAUUUGUGUCAAGAAAUUUAUUUCCAAUUAACAAUGUGUCAAGCACACAAGGUUUUUAGAAAUAUUAUUAAGCUCCCACUUAAUUUCUUGAAUUACAAGCAUCUUCAUUACCCAUUGAUGAAGUCAAACCCCUUUGACCAUUUCAUCAAAGCACGAAGAUUCCAACUCCAUUUUGUUGUCUUCUGUCCAUCGCUGGAACUCUGAAGUUUGCACCCUUACUAGCAUCCUCUGGAUAGACAAAAUGCCUUGGACUGUAACACAUGCAUGUCCUUGGUUUCGUUUCCAUCAGAUAGAAAUCCUAUUGUCAUCCAUGUUUCAUAUCUCAUGAUUGAAAUAUGUAUUAAUUGCUAGUUCAACCCGAACUGACUUUAAGCAUCGCUACAAUGAAAACAACCUCAUCGUAGUCAACUCUUGAACUUGUUAUUUCAACAAGUCGAGCUUUAUGGAUAAAACAUUUUUAUCCGUAUCAGUUUUAAGUUCCAUAAAUAUUUGAUAGACUCUAAGUCUUCCGAAAGGUGUAUCAAGGUUUUAAUCUUGAAUUACUUAUAUGGAAACUAACUCAGGUUGUAUUGGCAUUUAGCCAAUUCCGGAGUCAGGGCCCAUCAACGCUUCCUUGUGUAUCGUAGGUAUAAUGUUGUCUAACAACAAUAUCUCGUUUGCGCACCUGAGAGGUUUGCACGAGCCUUGCCUAUGUGGUUCAGCUGCAAGUUCGACCGAAGUUCAUACAUUUUAUUGUAGAGACUUCCGUAUCAGUCGUAGUAGGAAACUAUGGAAUUACUUCCAAGGUCUCUUUCCUUUGAUCUGAUGAUGAAGAUACUGUUUAUCUCAUCAAGUUGCACUAUUCUCCCACUCACCUUUUUGAAAGAACCAUUCUCUUUAAAAGCACACUGUUUCACGCCAAAACUAUUUGCCUCGGUAUGGUGAGGGAGGAAUACCCAACAUUUUGGUAUAACCUACAAAGUAGCACUUGUCUGAUUUGGGAUAGGUUUGUAACUUUUUACACAAGCCCCAUAUUCCAAAUGUUAAGAAAAGAUAUAACAUGGUUGGGCGUACCAUACCAUGGCUUCAUUUCAACAGACCCGAUGUAGCUCUUUUCAGUGUAAAAGCUGCAGUCUCUAAAGCAUCACUUUAAAAAGGGACAAUGGCAAAUUUAUUUAUGUCAUCUUUGAUCUUACCAUGUCAUAAAUGGUUAGAUUACAUCUUCACAGACAUUCCACUCAUAGUGGUGUUCCGGGAGGUGUAAGUUAUGAAACUCUUUUCACAACUCAUCGGACAUUCGCUAAACUUGUAACUCAAAUAUUCCUUUCUGCAAUCAAAUUGUAGAAACGUAAUUUCCUUGUUACAAUAACUUCUACUUCAUUUUUGAAAACCUUUCGAAUGAUUUCAAAAGACCCAGACUUACGUCUCAUCAAGUAAAUAUCCAUAUAUCUACUUGAGUCAUUUCUGAAGAUAAAUAAAUCCACCACUAACAACACUUAUCGGACUACACACAUCAAAUGUAUGAUCACUAAUAAGUUUGUUGUUCGUUCCUUAUGGCCUGUGAACGGUAUUUUAGUCACUUCACUUCUCGGAGGAAAGUUGCAAGUGUCAGAUGAUUCAAAAUCAAAAAGACUUCAAAAUCCAUCAUAAUGGAAUUUUCCAUGCGGGUUUCUCCAAUAUGACCAAAUGUAGUGCCACACUUGUGUGGUAUUCUUUUAGUCUUGCGACAUUUACCGUCAGUGUUAUGGAUGUAUCAUAUUACCAUCAAUAUUCAUAACAUACAUCCCAUCUUGGAUGGAAGCAUGGCCCUUCAUGUUAUUCAUAAUACUUAACAACAAUUGUUGUUUUUAUGAACAACUCUUUUGCAUCAAACAUUGUGCAAUGGGCUAGUGUGUAUGAAACUCUAAAAUGAAUUAUGAAAGUAAACCCAGAGGUAUUGUAUUAUUAUCAAUACUCAUAACAUACAUCUCAUUCAUAAUGAAAGUAUGGCCCUUGUGUUAUUCAUAACAUCGAACAUAAAAAGUUCUCUUAUGAACAACCUUCUUGCAAGAUACCUUAUGCAAUGGGCUAGAAUUUGUAAAACUCUAAAUGAAUUAUGAAAAUAAAUACAGACGGCCAUACACUAAUGGAAGGUAUAGUAACAUUUACUAUGUUCCCUGUGUAUACCUUAACCUCAUUUCUGGCUAGCCUUUUUGGCCAUAGUAGCUCUUAGAUUGAUUCGUAACAGAAUGCAAUCGAGCGGGUAUCUUUGAGAUUAACUCACAAUACCCAAGAAUUAGUGAUUAACAUGUUUAACCAUAAUUCCCAAGAACUAUAUCUUUGACCAGCCUACUAUACAUCAAAAACUUGUAUGACAUUCAUACAUGAGCUGGAUAUUCCAGUCAUCUUUCUUUCUGCCUUUAUACUUCUAAUAGUUUAACUUUUAGUAUUUCUCCUACUCGCAAAAGAAGCACCCAACAUAAGAGUGGCGUUAGCCCCGGACUUCCUAGGCGUGUAAGUCAUACUAACACCCUUUGGACACUUCCUUUCUCUUUAAGUUGUUGUUUUAUUCACCUUUCAUUAUAUGACAGGCGUUCUUCUGGAUCCCUUUCCCAACAGUCAAAUGCAUAGUAAACACUUUUACUAAUACUUGCAAACAAACAUUACUUUGUUUGUAUCUGAAAAUAAUUUUCAGUUCCAUGAAUAUCAUAUAACUAUCCCAACUUUCGAAGUUUGCGUUUCAUGGAAGCAAACAUAUUCCACUUGACCGUAAUAGAAUUCUAGCUUUUGGAUCGAAGGACGGGAGUCUCAUCAUAGAUAGCAAUUAGCGGGAGUAUACGGAAAGCAUGCAAUAGGACAAAGUCCUUCUCGGCACUUUUGAGGACAAUCCUCAUAUUACGUUACCAAUCGUAAAGUUUUAACCAGAUAUUUAACAGCUAUUCAAUUUUAACAGGGAAAGAGGAAACGCGAGCCAUUAUUCUACAACUAUGUUGCAAGAAACACUUAGACAGUGUUCAUAAUUAAUUGCACUAAGAAAUAAACAAGUUAAUUCUACAGUGCGCUCCCACUCAAAUCAAUAUCUCUCAUAAUUGAUUGUGAGUGAUACAAGAUCCACAUUUCAAUUCAACGCCAUUGGUGUGGACAUCACUGAUGACGAGAAUUUCAAUUGGUGGGCAAACAUGCCGAUCACAUCUCUAUGUGACUCCUGUUCAUCUUUCGAUGGGUGUGUUCCGAGCUCAGGACGAUCAAGCCAGAACGUCAAGACAACCAAGUGAUCUUGCUGCGAGGUCUGACCUCACCCGCCUCACACUUCUCUAAUCGUUCGUACCCAUGUGGACAUGGCGCACCCCGAAAAGUUAGGUGCCGUGACGGUGCUACACUUGGGAGAACACUAACUACUUCAUAUUUUUGUGAGAGAUCACCCUAAUAAAAAGCGACUACCGCGCAAUCAAGAAGGGUGAAUCAAAGGGAUAAACAUUUCAUGCAAUUCAUAAUAACAUGAUAUGGUAUAGCCCUUUCUGACGGAGAAGUCUUGUAUUUCUUCGUCUUCGGCAUUCGCAUCGGUGUUCACCUUAGCAAAGAUUGCCACCACCUUGUCGGUGCAGCAGAUAAUAUCGCUAUCUCCAUAGCGGAUAAAAUAAAUGCAUUACUUAAGGUUGACACGCAGGUCAUUAAAGUGCAAUCAUAUGGCUCCAGCCAUCAUGCCGAAUCAUGACACGCAGGUCAUGUUAAUUACAUUAUAUAGUCAUCUCAUACAUAAUCAAAUUAUUAUGAGCACUGCUAUACCACAUCACAUGCAAACCAUCCUGCAAAACCAAGUUAGACGCCUCUAAUCGGUUCAUACAAAAAAAGUUUUACGUGGCUUCUAAGGUUUCGACUUAAACUGCAGCUACCAACGUUUUAUCAUCAAGUAUGAUUAUUCAAGUUCCUAGAUUAACAUCUCGGGAUGUAUGAUGCACGAGAACAUAAAAUCUCGAACCCCAUACUAAACUUCGUCAUACGCAUGACCCCCGUGCAGAUCAUAUCUGCAAUGCCCUUUCAUCUGCGAAUUUCAUCUUUCUUUUGACUAUGGCAGAACCCAAAGAACUGAUAGCACUUCCGUGAUCAAUCAGGAUCACGGAUUGCCAGAACUUUGUCAAAUUCCACCAUGCUGUCUCGAGAUUGAGCAAACGCAAAUUCUAGGGAAGCAACAAGAACGUCGGGUAACAUAUUUCAUCUGUUACCCGCAUAAAUAAGUUUCAGCAAUAGAUCUCAUCUACUCCAAAAUUAUAUUAUGCAAUACCCAUACAUCUCCAUGUAUUCUAGAUCACAACCUGCAUCUAAGCAUAGCACGGCUCAUGAUGCCACUGUAUGGGAACACAGCAGAAAACAAAAAAUUUCCAACCUACGCACCAGCCCAGGACCACUAUGGAGACUGCAUACAUGGUUUGAUCCUUUUCGUUUCCGACUCGUAGCGCAGCGAGAAGUAGAGUCGAUGACGAACGGCGGUGCAGAUCCCCGCAGCUAGGAUUUACAACCUCCCAACCGCGAGGAUGUAUACCCUCAGCUGCUCUUCAGACAGCCCUCCGGGAGGCGGUCGAACAGCCCCCCGGACGGUGUCGCGGACAGCCCUUCGAGAGGACCUUUGAAACUCGAACGGUCACUCGGACAGCCCUUCGCACGGACAACCCUUUGGGAGGCACUCACGAACUAAGACCGAAACUACGGUAUCUCUACAGAGUUGCAUACAUACGGUGUCAUCUAUCCGGCAGGGCUUCGCCGUCCAGAACUAGUUCCUGCCGGAACCCAGACAGCAUUGCGGCUCUACGAAACUCUUUUCGUGGGAGGGAGAGAAGAAGCCAGAUCAUGCAUGUCACUUGUAUGUGAGAAGGGAUGAUCCUUUAGGCAGCCCCCUCCACCCCUAUUUAUAGGCCAAGCCCAAGGGUGGCUUCUCUAAGAAGCCAAGGGGAUAAUACCAAAAGGCCCUCAAGGUGGCUUCUCCAAGAAGCCAACAAAAAGCACUUUCACUAUUCAUGACGACAUUUUUCAGCGUCCGUUCGAACUGAAAAUAUUUAUGUGGGCUCAGAACAUUUCUAUUACCCACUAAAUAUAAUUUUCAACACAUUCCGAAACAAUUUCGGUUUAGUGAUUUUCAUCUGCGCAAAGCAAACAAGAAUGCGUUUUUACUAUUCAUGAAGACAAUUUUUCGCGUCCAUUAAAUCCGAAAAUAUUUCUGUGGGUCUUAGAAUAAUUCUAGUACCCAGUAAAAUGAUUUUGGAUUUGUUCUGAAACAAUUUCAUAUUAGUGAAUUUCAUCUGCGAAAAACAUCUGAAGUGGUUCCGGCAGCCCCGGAGCAUAUCCGGUUAUUAUCCCGGAAAAUUCCAGAAAGCUUCCAGAAUGAUUCUGGCACCCUCCAAGAAUUAUCAGGCAUGUGCCGAAACCAAUUUGACUUAACGGUAUCCCCUGAAAGAACUUUUUAGUUUCACCGAAACUCAUCCGAUGACCUCUCUCUGCGGUACGAUUCCGCUGUCCGAAACCAUUCCGGUGUCCGAAACUUUUUACGGUGAUUUUCUCUCAGACUCCCUGUCUAGUAUUCAGCAGAUAGAUGACCCUUAAGCGUGUGACCCUAUAGGUUCGGUGAAGUAUAGACAUGACCCGGAACCCCUUCCGAUCAAUGAUCAACAUCGAAGCCGUGGACACCCAUAUUGACCCCUAUACCCACACGAAUGAAUAUUCGAGUGAACCUCCAGUUGCUGUGUGCUAUUCCUGUUGCUUCGCGAUAUGUUACAAAUACCCGAGGUGAGACAUGUUGGCAUUCCCAUGGAUCAACAACUUGUCCACUAUGCCAGUUACCUCGUUACCAAUAUUCUUCUCUUUACUCGUUACCGUGUUCCGGCAUCCCCGUGAUCAAAUCACAAAGUGUCUGGCCAGGCGAUGAUAGAUACCGUAACACCGAGAGGGCCCAGAGAUAUCUCUCCAUCGUUGGAGGAGCAAAUCCCAAUCUUGAGCUAUUAAGUUGCUUGACAUACUUUUCCAUGAACCCGUAAGCCGCCGUAAUAGCCACCCAUUUACGGAUGACGUUUAACAAACCCCAAAGUUCAUGAAGCAAGCAUGAAGAAACUCGAUACUCUCAUGGUCUAAGGAAUCAUGCAAACGUUAACCAUCUUUGUGUUAUUUACCAUUAACUUCUGACGAAUGUAUCUCAUAGCAUAACAUCAAUUCGGGUGGAUUCAACACAAAUGUUCUCUUAACAUUGUGCCCUCAAAGUUGCUGGCAUAGACAUGCCCAUGAUCAGGAAAACGGAACCCUCAUGCAACACUUGAGCUAGUCUUCAAGGCCAAACUACGAAUACUUCUUACCGUUUAUUAUUCCACACGUGCAUAUGAGUCUUCCUCCGAGCCUUGUGGAUAUUGUAGACUCGAGAAUCAUUGCAGUUAUAGCAUGGAACAUAAACAUAAUUAUGAACUCGGAGAUAAAUAAUAUCAUUUAUUGUUGCCUCUAGGGUAUCGCCAAGCUUGCCUUCCACGCCAAGGAAAGUCCAUAUCUGGACACGGGACGGAGUCUUCAAUCUUGUAUCAUCAUAGUCCGGGAGUCCGGCCAAAGGUCAUAGUCCGGUCAUCCGGAAACCCCCUAAUCUAGGACUCCCUCAAGGCCGAAAGGCACAAAGGGGCGCAAAUUGGCCCAACACUUAAAUGGGUCGCUAAAAGGCCAAAACUCAGGUCCGACUACAAAUGGCGCAACUGAUUUAUGGGCCGUCAAUAGGCUGAAAGUGACACCGGGCCGGAAAUUGGCCCAACACUUAAAUGGGCCGCUAAAAUGCCGAAACUCAGGUCCGACUACAAAUGGCCCAUCAGAUUUAUGGGUCGUCAAUAGGCUGAAAGACACACCGGGCCGGAAAUUAGCCUAACAUUUAAAUGGGUCGCUAAAAGGCCAAAAGAUGUACAUCCUGAAAAUUGGCCCAUCCAUUGAAUGGCCCGUUAACAGGCCGAAAUCUCAUCGGGCCGAUAUUGAGCCCAAAUAUAUAGCGGGCUGUUAACGGGCUCGAACUGACGAUGGGCUGCAAUGGUGUCAAAUCUUUAACGGGCUGUUGACGGGCCGAAUUUGCACAUCUCGUAUGGGCCGUGGGCUUAAAUGGGCCGGCCUGCUAAUUUUUACUAGGCCGGCCAUUUUCACUGGAAUGGGCCACUGUUGGGCCGUGCCACGUGUUGACCUAUCAUAGGCACCUCCAGUCCAAUGAGUGGAUGACAUCUGUCCCAACGGUGAGGCAACACGUGUUUCCUGCGGCCAGUGAUUAUUUUACACGUGGAAAAUCCCCAUUAGUUCGGGCUGUUAACGGGUUAUCGGAUCCAAAACCGGAGCCGAUAGCUGUUGGGGAACGUAGUAAUUUCAAAAUUUUCCUACGCACACGCAAGGAUCAUGGUUAGAACAACGCGGUUGAUGUAGUCGUAUGUCUUCACGAUCCGACCGAUCCAGGUACCGAACAUACGGCACCUCCGAGUUCAGCACACGUUCAGCUCGAUGACGAUCCCCGGACUCCGAUCCAGCAGGGUGUCGGGGAUGAGUUCCGUCAGCACGACGACGUGGUGACGAUGAUGAUGUUCUACCAACGCAGGGCUUCGCCUAAGCACCGCAACAAUAUGACCGAGGUGGAAUAUGGUGGAGGGGGGCACCGCACACGGCUAACGAACGAUCACGAAGAUCAACUUGUGUGUCUAGAGGUGCCCCCUGCCCCCGUAUAUAAAGUAGCCAAGGGGGAGGGGCAACCGGCCAAGGAGGGCGCGCCAAGGGGGAGUCCUACUCCCACCGGGAGUAGGACUCCCUUCUUUCCUAGUUGGAGAAGGAGAAGGGGGGAAGGAGGAGGAAGAGGGGAAGGAAAGGGGGGGGAGGGCGCCGCCCCCUCUCCUUGUCCUAUUCAGACUAGGGAGGGGAGGGGGCGCAGCCCACCUCUUGCCUCCUCUCUUCCUCUCCACUAGGGCCCAUGUAGGCCCAUUAAGCCCCCGGGGGGUUCCGGUAACCUCCCGGUACUCCGCUAAAAUCCCGAUUUCACCCGGAACACUUCCGAUAUCCAAAUAUAGGCUUUGAAUAUAUCAAUCUUUAUUUCUCGACCAUUUCGAGACUCCUCGUCAUGUCCAUAAUCUCAUUCGGGACUCCGAACAAACUUCGGUACAGCAAAACAUAUAAAAUCAUAAUAUAACUGUCAUUGUAACGUUAAGCGUGCGGACCCUACGGGUUCGAGAACUAUGUAGACAUGACCUAGAACUGUUUCCGGUCAAUAACCAAUAGCGGAACCUGGAUGCUCAUAUUGGCUCCUACAUAUUCUACGAAGAUCUUUAUCGGUCAAACCGCAUAACAACAUACGUUGUUCCCUUUGUCAUCGGUAUGUUACUUGCCCGAGAUUCGAUCGUCGGUAUCUCAAUACCUAGUUCAAUCUCAUUACCAGCAAGUCUCUUUACUCGUUACGUAAUGCAUCAUUUCGUAACCAACUCAUUGGCCACAUUGCUUGCAAGGCUUAUAGUGAUGUGCAUUACCGAGAGGGCCCAGAGAUACCUCUCCGACAAUCGGAGUGAGAAAACCUAAUCUCGAAAUACGCCAACUCAAGAUGUACCUUUGGAGACACCUGUAGAGCUCCUUUAUAAUCAGCCAGUUAUGUUGUGACGUUUGGUAGCACACAAAGUGUUCCUCCGAUAAACGGGAGUUGCAUAAUCUCAUAGUUAUAGGAACUUUGUAUAAGUCAUGAAGAAAGCAAUAGCAACAUACUAAACGAUCAAGUGCUAAGCUAACGGAAUUGGUCAAGUCAAUCACAUCAUUCUCCUAAUGAUGUGAUCCUGUUAAUCAAAUGACAACACAUGUCUAUGGCUAGGAAACAUAACCAUCUUUGAUUAAUGAGCUAGUCAAGUAGAGGCAUACUAGUGACAUUAAGUUUGUCUAUGUAUUCACACAUGUAUCAUGUUUCCGGUUAAUACAAUUCUAGCAUGAAUAAUAAACAUUUAUCAUGAUAUGAGGAAAUAAAUAAUAACUUUAUUAUUGCCUCUAGGGCAUAUUUCCUUCAGUCUCCACUUGCACUAGAGUCAAUAAUCUAGAUUACACAGUAAUGAUUCUAACACCCAUGGAGUCUUGGUGCUGAUCAUGUUUUGCUCGUGGAAGAGGCUUAGUCAACGGGUCUGUAACAUUCAGAUCCGUAUGUAUCUUGCAAAUCUCUAUGUCUCCCACCUGGACUUGGUCCCAGAUGGAAUUGAAGCAUCUCUUGAUGUGCUUGGUCCUCUUGUGAAAUCUGGAUUCCUUUGCCAAGGCAAUUGCACCAGUAUUGUCACAGAAGAUCUUCAUUGGUCCCGAUGCACUAGGUAUCACACCUAGAUCGGAAAUGAACUCCUUCAUCCAGACUCCUUCAUUUGCUGCUUCUGAAGUAGCUAUGUACUCCGCUUCGCAUGUAGAUCCCGCCACGACGCUUUGUUUAGAACUGCACCAACUUACAGCUCCACCGUUUAAUAAAAACACGUAUCCGGUUUGCGAUUUAGAAUCGUCCGGAUCAGUGUCAAAGCUUGCAUCGACGUAACCAUUUAUGACUAGCUCUUUGUCACCUCCAUAAAUGAGAAACAUAUCCUUAGUCCUUUUCAGGUAUUUCAGGAUGUUCUUGAUUGCUGUCCAGUGAUCCACUCCUGGAUUACUUUGGUACCUACCUGCCAAGCUUAUUACUAAGCAUAAGUCAGGUCUGGUACACAGCAUUGCAUACAUGAUAGAGCCUAUGGCUGAAGCAUAGGGAACAUCUUUCAUUUUCUCUUUAUCUUCUGCUAUGGUCAGGCAUUGGGUCUGACUCAACUUCACACCUUGUAAUACAGGCAAGAACCCUUUCUUUGCCUGAUCCAUUUUGAACUUUUUCAAAAACUUUAUCAAGGUAUGUGCUUUAUGAAAGUCCAAUUAAGUGUCUUGAUCUAUCUCUAUAGAUCUUGAUGCCCAAUAUGUAAGCAGCUUCACCGAGGUCUUUCAUUGAAAAACUUUUAUUCAAGUAUCCCUUUAUGCUAUCCAGAAAUUCUAUAUCAUUUCCAAUUAACAAUAUGUCAUCUACAUAUAAUAUCAAAAAUGCUACAGAGCUCCCACUCACUUUCUUGUAAAUACAAGCUUCUCCAAAAGUCUGUAUAAAACCAUAUGCUUUGAUCACACUAUCAAAGCGUUUAUUCCAACUCCGAGAUGCUUGCACUAGUCCAUAAAUGGAUUGCUGAAGCUUGCACACUUUGUUAGCACCUUUUGGAUCGACAAACCCUUCUGGUUGCAUCAUAUACAACUCUUCUUCCAGAAAUCCAUUCAGGAAUGCAGUUUUGACAUCCAUUUGCCAAAUUUCAUAAUCAUAAAAUGCGGCAAUUGCUAACAUGAUUCAGACAGACUUAAGCAUCGCUACGGGUGAGAAAGUCUCAUCGUAGUCAACCCCUUGAACUUGUCGAAAACCUUUCACAACAAGUCGAGCAUUGUAGACAGUUACAUUACCAUCAGCGUCAGUCUUCUUCUUGACGAUCCAUUUAUUCUCGAUGGCUUGCCGAUCAUCGGGCAAGUCAACCAAAGUCCAUACUUUGUUCUCAUACAUGGAUCCCAUCUCAGAUUUCAUGGCUUCAAGGCAUUUUGCGGAAUCUGGGAUCAUCAUCGCUUCCUCAUAGUUCGUAGGUUCGCCAUGGUCAAGUAACAUGACUUCCAGAAUAGGAUUACCGUACCACUCUGGUGCGGAUCUUACUCUGGUAGACCUACGAGGUUCAGUAGUAACUUGAUCUGAAAUUUCAUGAUCAAUAUCAUUAGCUUCCUCACUGAUUGGUGCAGUUGUCACAGGAACCGGUUCUUGUGAUGAACUACUUUCCAAGAAGGGAGCAGGUACAGUUACCUCAUCAAGUUCUACUUUCCUCCCACUCACUUCUUUCGAGAGAAACUCCUGCUCUAGAAAGGAUCCGAAUUUAGCAACGGAAAUCUUGCCUUCAGAUCUGUGAUAGAAGGUGUACCCAAUAGUCUCUUUUGGGUAUCCUAUGAAGACACAUUUCUCCGAUUUGGGUUCGAGCUUAUCUGGUUAAAGUUUCUUCACAUAAGCAUCGCAGCCCCAAACUUUAAGAAACGAAAACUUUGGUUUCUUGCCAAACCACAGUUUAUAAGGCGUCGUCUCAACGGAUUUGAUGGUGCCCUAUUUAACGUGAAUGCGGCCGUCUCUAAAGCAUAACCCCAAAACAAUAGCGGUAAAUCAGUAAGAGACAUCAUAGAUCGCACCAUAUCUAGUAAAGUACGAUUACGACGUUCGGACACACCAUUUCAUUGUGGUGUUCUGGGUGGCGUGAGUUGCGAAACUAUUCCGCAUUAUUUCAAAUGUAGACCAAACUCGUAACUCCAAUAUUCUCCUCUUCGAUCAGAUCAUAGAAAUUUUAUUUUCUUGUUACGAUGAUUUUCCUCUUCACUCUGAAAUUCUUUGAACUUUUCAAAUGUUUCAGACUUGUGUUUCAUCAAGUAGAUAUACCCAUAUCUGCUCAACUCAUCUGUGAUGGUGAGAAAAUAACGAUACCCGCCGCGAGCUUCAACAUUCAUUGGACCACAUACAUCAGUAUGUAUGAUUUCCAAUAAAUCAGUUGCUCGCUCCAUAGUUCCGGAGAACGGUGUUUUAGUCAUCUAGCCCAUGAGGCGCGGUUCGCAAGUACCAAGUGAUUAAUAAUCAAGUGAUUCCAGAAGUCCAUCAGUAUGGAGUUUCUUCAUGCGCUUUACACCGAUAUGACCUAAACGGUAGUGCCACAAAUAAGUUGCACUAUCAUUAUCAACUCUGCAUCUUUUGGUUUCAACAUUAUGAAUAUGUAUAUCACUACUAUCGAGAUUCAAUAAAAAUAGACCACUCUUCAAGGGUGCAUGACCAUAAAAGAUAUUACUCAUAUAAAUAGAACAACCAUUAUUCUCUGAUUUAAAUGAAUAACCGUCUCGCAUCAAACAAGAUCCAGAUAUAAUGUUCAUGCUCAACGCUGGCACCAAAUAACAAUUAAUUAGGUCUAAAACUAAUCCCGAUGGUAGAUGUAGAGGUAGCGUGCCGACCGCGAUCACAUCGACUUUGGAACCAUUUCCCACGCGCAUCGUCACCUCGUCCUUAGCCAAUAUUUGCUUAAUCCAUAGUCCCUGUUUCGAGUUGCAAAUAUUAGCAACAGAACCAGUAUCAAAUACCCAGGUACUACUGCGAGCAUUAGUAAGGUACACAUCAAUAACAUGUAUAUCACAUAUACCUUUGUUCACUUUGCCAUCCUUCUUAUCCGCCAAAUACUUGGGGCAGUUCCGCUUCCAGUGUCCAGGCUGCCUACGGUAGAAGCACUUAGUCUCAGUCUUAGGUCCAGACUUGGGUUUCUUCUCUUGAGCAGCAACUUGUUUGCUAUUCUUCUUGAAGUUCCCCUUCUUCUUCCCUUUGCCCUUUUUCUAGAAACUGGUGGUCUUAUUGACCAUCAACACUUGAUGCUCCUUCUUAAUUUCUAGCUCCGCAGCCUUUAGCAUUGCGAAGAGCUUGGGAAUAGUCUUGUCCAUCCCUUGCAUAUUAUAGUUCAUCACGAAGCUCUUGUAGCUUGGUGGCAGUGAUUGAAGAAUUCUGUCAAUGACACUAUCAUCAGGAAGAUUAACUCCCAGUUGAAUCAAGUGAUUAUUAUACCCAGACAUUUUGAGUAUGUGUUCACUGACAGAACUAUUCUCCUCCAUAUUACAGUUAUAGAACUUAUUGGAGACUUCAUAUCUCUCAAUCCGGGCAUUGCUUGAAAUAUUAACUUCAACUUGAGGAACAUCUCAUAUGCUCCAUGACGUUCAAAACAUCAUUGAAGACCCGGUUCCAAGCCGUAAAGCAUGGCACACUGAACUAUCGAGUAGUCAUCAGCUUUGCUCUGUCAGACGUUGUCAGUUGCAUCUGCAGCAGGCCUGGCACCCAACGGUGCUUCCAGGACGUAAUUCUUCUGUGCAGCAAUGAUGAUAAUCCCCAGGUUACGGGCCCAGUCCGUGUAAUUGCUACCAUCAUCUUUCAACUUAGCUUUCCCAAGGAACACAUUAAAAUUCAACGGAACAACAGCACGAGCCAUCUAUCUACAACAAACAUAGACAAGCAGAAUACUAUCAGGUACUAAUUUCAUGAUAAACUUAAGUUCAAUUAAUCAUAUUACUUAAGAAAUCCCACUUAGACAGACAUCUCUCUAGUCAUCUAAGUGAUCACGUGAUCCAAAUCAACUAAACCAUGUCCAAUCAUCACGUGAGAUGGAGUACUUUCAAUGGUGAACAUCACUAUGUUGAUCAUAUCUACUAUAUGAUUCACGUUCGACCUUUCGGUCUCCGUGUUUCGAGGCCAUAUCUGUAUAUGCUAGGCUCGUCAAGUUUAACCUGAGUAUUCCGUGUGUGCAACUAUUUUGCACCCGUUGUAUUUGAACGUAGAGCCUAUCACACCCGAUCAUCACGUGGUGUCUCAGCACGAAGAACUUUCGCAACGGUGCAUAGUCAGGGAGAACACUUCUUGAUAAUUUAGUUAGAGAUCAUCUUAAAAUUCUACCAUCAAUCAAAGCAAGAUAAGAUGCAUAAAGGAUAAACAUCACAUGCAAUCAAUAUAAGUGAUAUGAUAUGGCCAUCAUCAUCUUGUGCUUGUGAUCUCCAUCUCUGAAGCACCAUCGAAUUCACCAUCGUCACGGGCGCGACACCUUGAUCUCAAUCGUAGCAUCGUUAUCGUUUAUGCCAUCAAUUGCUUCUACGACUAUCGCUAUCGCUUAGUGUUAAAGUAAAGCAAUUACAUGGCGUUUGCAUUUCAUACAAUAAAGCGACAACCAUAUGGCUCCUGCCAGUUGCCGAUAACUUCGGUUACAAAACAUGAUCAUCUAAUACAAUAAAACAUAGCAUCACGUCUUGACCAUAUCACAUCACAAUAUGCCCUGCAAAAAGAAGUUAGACGUCCUCUACUUUGUUGUUGCAAAUUUUACGUGGCUGCUACGGGCUGAGCAAGAACCGUUCUUACCUACGCAUCAAAACCACAAUGAUAGUUCGUCAAGUUAGUGCUGAUUUAACCUUCGCAAGGACCGGGCGUAGCCACACUCGGUUCAACUAAAGUGAGAGAGACAGACACCCGCCAGUCACCUUUAAGCACGAGUGCUCGUAACGGUGAAACCAGUCUCGUGUAAGCGUACGCGUAAUGUCGGUCCCGGCCGCUUCAUCUCACAAUACCGCUGAACCAAAGUAUGACAUGCUAGUAAGCAGUAUGACUUGUAUCGCCCACAACUCACUUGUGUUCUACUCGUGCAUAUGACAUCUACGCAUAAAACCUGGCUCGGAUGCCACUGUUGGGGAAUGUAGUAAUUUCAAAAUUUUCCUACGCACACGCAAGGAUCAUGGUGAUGCAUAGCAAUGAGAGGGGAGAGUGUUGUCCACGUACCCUCGUAGACCGAAAGCGGAAGCGUUAGAACAAUGCGGUUGAUGUAGUCGUACGUCUUCACGAUCCGACCGAUCCAAGUAGCGAACGUACGACACCUCCGAGUACAGCACACGUUCAGCUCGAUGACGAUCCCCGGACUCCGAUCCAGCAAGGUGUCAGGGAUGAGUUCCAUCAGCACGACGGUGCGGUGAUGAUGAUGAUGUUCUACCUACGCAGGGCUUCGCCUAAGCACCACAACGAUAUGACCGAGGUGGAAUAUGGUGGAGGGGGGCACCGCACACGGCUAAGGAACGAUCACGAAGAUCAACUUGUGUGUCUAGAGGUGCCCCCUGGCCCCGUAUAUAAAGGAGCCAAGGGGGAGGGGGCGGCCGACCAAGGAGGGCGCGCCAAGGGGGGGAGGAGGAGGAAGAGGGGAAGGAAAGGGGGGGUGCCGCCCUCCUCUCCUUCUCCUAUUCGGACUAGGGAGGGGAGGGGGCACAACCCACCUCUUGCCUCCUCUCUUCCUCCCCAGUAGGGCCCAUGUAGGCCCAUUAAGCCCCCGGGGGUUCCGGUAACCUCCCGGUACUCCGGUAAAAUCCCGAUUUCACCCGGAACACUUCCGAUAUCCAAAUAUAGGCUUCCAGUAUAUCAAUCUUUAUGUCUCGACCAUUUUGAGACUCCUCGUCAUGUUCGUAAUAUCAUUCGGGACUCCGAACAAACUUCGGUACAUCAAAAUAUAUAAACUCAUAAUAUAACUGUCAUCGUAACGUUAAGUGUGCGGACCCUACGGGUUUGAGAACUAUGUAGACAUGACCUAGAACUGUUUCUGGUCAAUAACCAAUAGUGGAACCUGGAUGCUCAUAUUGGCUCCUACAUAUUCUACGAAGAGAUUUAUCGGUCAAACCGCAUAACAAAUACGUUGUUCCCUUUGUCAUCGGUAUGUUACUUGCCCGAGAUUCGAUCGUCGAUAUCUCAAUACCUAGUUCAAUCUCGUUACCGGCAAGUCUCUUUACUCGUUACGUAAUGCAUCAUUUCGUAACCAACUCAUUGGCCACAUUGCUUGCAAGGCUUAUAGUGAUGUGCAUUACCGAGAGGGCCCAGAGAUACCUCUCCGACAAUCGGAGUGACAAAACCUAAUCUCGAAAUACGCCAACUCAACAUGUACCUUUGGAGACACCUGUAGAGCUCCUUUAUAAUCAGCCAGUUAUGUUGUGACGUUUGGUAGCACACAAAGUGUUCCUCCGGUAAACGGGAGUUGCAUAAUCUCAUAGUUAUAGGAACUUUGUAUAAGUCAUGAGGAAAGCAAUAGCAACAUACUAAACGAUCAAGUGCUAAGCUAAUGGAAUGGGUCAAGUCAAUCACAUCAUUCUCCUAAUGAUGUGAUCCCGUUAAUCAAAUGACAACACAUGUCUAUGGCUAGGAAACAUAACCAUCUUUGAUUAAUGAGCUAGUCAAGUAGGGGCAUACUAGUGACAUUAAGUUUGUCUAUGUAUUCACACAUGUAUCAUGUUUAUGGUUAAUACAAUUCUAGCAUGAAUAAUAAACAUUUAUCAUGAUAUGAGGAAAUAAAUAAUAACUUUAUUAUUGCCUCUAGGGCAUAUUUCCUUCAGAUUUUACACGUGGAAAAUCCCCAUUAGUCUGGGCUGUUAACGGGUUAUCGGAUCCAAAACCGGACCCGGUAGCUUAACGACGUUCCGUUACGGUGGAUGCCACGUGUCGGUCACCCUUGACGAAAGCACUUAUGUGACGCGCGAUUUAUCGUCAUGGAAGUGGACACUUCCAUGAUGAUAAUUUUGGUUAUGUCAAGGAACACUUCUAUGACAGCACAGGCAUGACUAUCUUGAUUCUGUCAUAAAAUCGUCAUGGAUGUACAUGCAUGACAAAAAACGCGACCUACUGUGACAAAAACGUAUCAUCACGGAAGUGUAUCUUUUUUGUAGUGUCUUCAGUUGUCUUUCAUGUGGUCUCUGUCCUGCUGCUAUGAAUGCUCAAGUCCCUCCCUUGUUGGAUGUUGUGAUGAGGCGACCUUCGGGCUCUUGGUGUCGUCUCAGCUCAUCUUUGCUCAAUGAUGACACAAUGACGCCUCCCCAACUUGCUAAUCAUCUUGAACUUUCAUGGUGGAGCUCUCAGUCAAGGUUCGUGUUAACUUUCGGCACUCGUUGAUUGUGGAUGCCCCUCUGUUGUGCUGUGGAGUAUGAAACGCACGCUAGUGCGGUGCCUUAGGCUGCUUGUAGAGUCUCGGUAUUGUGAUACCUCGACGUACCCCUCAUCUACUUGGUCCUGUUAGUCUGCUAGUUAGGUCAUGACUUUUGUUCGGCAUCCCUGUUCUUCUCUUCUUCUUGCCACACUUGUUGCUUCUAUGGUUUUCGGCCCAGUUUUCCUUAUAAAUGGGGUCUAUUUGAUAAGGUUUUCGAUCCGGUUUUCCUUAUAAACUGGAUCAGACUCCUGGCAUUAUGGCCACUUUGAGUAAUAUAUUCAGGUGGAGGAACUCCUCCCCCGAUGAUUCUCAAAAAAAAAAUGUUCCUAACAGAAAUGCUAUUACAAAAAUUUAUGAACAGAAAAUGUGUGUAAAAUUUACAAAAAUGUUCACAAUUUUUUGAAACUUUAAAGCUGGCUUCUGAUUUAUUUUUUCAAAAUUUUGAGCUCCAUGGAGCUCGGUAUCCAAACAUCCACUCUCUACCAACUAUGUGCAUAUAUCUUGUAGCAAGCCAUAAGCUGAGGGUUGCUACAUGAUCAAUUGCUGAGUGGGCAGUGUGUUUUCUUCAUUUUGGGCAGAUCACAAGUGUUUGACAUCUCUCUCUACAUUGGGUAUCCUUUUCUACUUGAAUUUUAAGAUGCGUAGAAUGUGCUUUCCUUGUUGUUGCCUCGUCAUUCCAGCAUGGAAUCAAAGCCAAACUGAUAUUACUGCCCUUAAAAAUUGUCUCGCUAUCUAUGUCCAUAACAUGCCCAUUGGACUGCAUGGCGGAAAUGAAGGUGUUCGUCUAGCUGGCCGAGCAGACGCACUUGUCUGUGACCUCUGAUCUAAGAAUGACAUGUACUUUGUUGUGAGCCCAUGGUGCAUGUGGGUUGAAACGCUGCUUAGCAAAUCUAGACUUAUCUUGCAGGCAAGCCAAGAUGAGAUCUGUAGGCCCAUGUGAAUUCCAUCAAAAUCACGGUCAGUUCAACUCUGGUUCGAAUCCUAAUAAAAAAUAGAUCAGUGGUCCUGGAUGGAUAUGUCCAUCGCUAAAAAGUGCAGUUGUUGAAAGAGUCGAUAUGACUUGUAGCUAGAGGACGCCGACACCCCUCACUUCUUCUACACACACUAAACACACCCUAUCUUAUCCAACUCAAUUUGCUUUAAGGUUUGUGAGUGAAAGAAGUAGUGUUAAAACCAAACACCACACUCUUCAACCUAAGAAAUCAAUAGUAAAUUUACCUAUGGAUAUUAAAUCUAUAUACAUCAUACUUGAUUUAUCAAAUUGAUAAUACUUACUAUACAUAUUUUAAAUUACAAUAUUUGGUGCUUCACAGCCUGUUAUGAAAUUAUUGUUCACCCAUCCAAUGUAAUAAAAAGUAUGUGAAUGAUGUUAACGCACGCGUGUGAGAGAGAGAGAGAGAGAGUGGAGUACAUUUUGUCCUGAUGUCCAUCAUAGUUCCACGAUCAGUACACCUAGGAGGAGAUAAUCAAAAUAGGGACAGAAAAUAAAUAUUUAAUAUAUAAAUGGUUGGUAACAAAUCCAACCACAAAAUUGUGCAAGCAACCCACAAGCUAGUUUUAUUGAAUAUUAAAAUAACAUAGUUGAUUUCUAAAACAUACAAAAUUUAUUAUCUCAUCAACACAUAAUUAUUUUGAUAACCAUAAGGUUGAGAUUUAUCCACCCAAAAUAGGGGAGAUAACAAAACUAUUGUGUUGUUGUUGCUGGUGUGCAAUUAAUCUUGCAGGGACAGUUGAUGAAGCAUUCUCCAAGGUCUGGCCAGCACAAGUUAUCUAUUUGACAACAGAAUUCCCGUCCUGGGAGCUGGUGCCCAUCUUUAUAACAAGGGGGUCUGGUUACAUGGCUUACUUUGCUCAUCAUGUUUCUCCCCUUGUUGUUUAUGAUUUCACCUAAUUAACAUAAAAUAAAGAAUAUACUUAUCAUUUCAUCAUAUAAACAAUAAAAGUCCACAAUAUCAAUCCCCCCAAAAAAUUGAGUUGUUAAUUACCAUAUGUGCCUCCAAGACAAGUUAAACACACCACAAGAAGAAAAGAAAGUAGCACAAGUCCUUGCACAUUGUUCCUCGUGAACUUUGUCAUCGUCACUAAGGAAAAGAGGCUAUUAAUAGGUGGUACUCUUGUAAGUGGAGUUGAUAAGUGUAUGACCGUGAAAUGCUUGCUCCAUGAAUGGUUCAUAUAUAUAUAGGAAAAGCUUCUCCGCGUUGAUGUGUGAAGUUAUAGAAAAUAUUAAUGCUACGAGUUAUGGCUUGUCUGAAUUUCCAAUUUUAGUUUAACUUCUAAAGAUUCAUGGUUCCUUCUAAAGUUUUUUUCCUCAAAUUGAUGCUUUGUCAUAGCAUGUAAGUUACUUUAAUGCCCCCUCUAGAAUUGACCGCUUAUUGUUUCCAAAGGGUAGAAUUGACCUCUUAGAAUGGGUAGCAAAAAACGGGUGCAUGGCAAUAUUGUGUUUAAGGCAUUGAUAAUAAUUGGUAUAAUAUUAAUAAUUCCUAUAUAUAUGAUGCCUUAUCAGUAAAUUAUUAAUUUCUCUCUUGGUAUAAGAGAACAAAAUUUAAAAUUCAACAAGACUCGUCCACUUAACAUUGGACUUGUUUUUUAAUGUAUAUAAGCAAUUGUUCUUAAGUAUAUCAGCAAGUUACGGAUACAUUUUUUUACUUUUAUUCCAUGAACAUAGAUUAAUUAUGGGAUGGCCAUUUUAUAAAUAUAAGAUGAUGAUUUAUUUUCAUAUACAUGAACAUUUUAUAUCAAGGUAGUUGAGCAUUUUUUACAUUUUUCUAUACACAAAAUUUUCUCCAAUAUUAAGUUGAUUUUGAUUUCUUUAAAUAGAUUAGUUUCCCCAAAACGUUCUUUAUUAGAAUAGUGAAAAUGUUGCACUUGCCCGACUAUGGCAAAUUUCGUUAAUUCUCGGGACUCCCUAUAUGUUCCUCCUUGCGGCUAACAACCUCCCCUUCGGAUAGUGCGCGCCUGGCUGGGCCGGCCCAUUGACGACACGAAUGGACACCACUGAGUGGGAGAGUAGGCGCUGAGCCAAUCCACUUCAGCGACAAUUUUUUAAAUUUUGGAAAAUUUCUUUGCAAAAUGAACAAGCAUUGAUAAAUGCGAAGUUUUUUUGAACAUAUUCUAAAAUUUGAAAUUUCUUAAAACCCCAAUUAUAUUUGGAAUUUCGUUCAUUUUUCUGAAAAUAUGAACGAUUUAGGAAAUACUGAAGAUUAUUUGAAAACUACGUCCUUUCCUUGGAAAACCAAAAAUUUAUUUAUAACAAAAUAUGAGAAUCGGAACAUUUCCUGAAAACUUGAAUAUUUUUUAAAUUUCAAAUUUACGCACAUUUUAAAAAAGGAGACUUUUUGAUAGAGAAAAUAAGAAAAAUAAAACAUGGAAAAACCAAAUAUGUAAAACUAAAAAAUAACCCAAAGAAAACGGUAACAGAAACAGAAGGAAAAAAAGAACAAAUGAAAAUACUAGUAAAAAUCAUAUCAGAACCUUUUAGAACGCUCCCAAAAUUGGUAAAAGCCCAGAAGGAAUAUUCCGGAAGUUCAUAAAACUAGAGAGGCGCGGCUAACAUGGGUCGGCCGUCCCAAGCUCUAGCAUCGAUUCUGUGUGCAAUCCCCGGCAAUUUGAUGUUUACUGCUCAAAUAGGGUUUUCGCCAAUUCUCUUGUUUCUUGUUGCCUCAUAUGAGUUUGUUGUUGUUUGGGACAUACCUUGGCGCCAUUUGUACGGGUUCGAUGACCGCCAUCAAGGGUCUCUUAGUGGAAUCACAAUAUCUUGCAUCGUGUGAGGGCGUGAGGAGAUUAUAGUGGCCCUAGUGGCAUUUUGGGGAGCAUUGUGCCUCCACAGUGCUCCAGACGGAGAUUAGCAUCUGCAAUGUCGUCUCCGCGUGCCUCAGUUAUUUCUUACCCGAGCCCUUUACUUUGUGAUAGCCAUAGUGUUUCAUGUUAUAUAUCUUGCUAUCACAUAGUUGUUUGUCGUGCUUAGCAUAAGUUGUUGGUGCACAUAGGUGAGCCUAGUGGUUUUAGCUUUUAUGCUUGACAAAUUAGACACUAGUUUUAUUCUACAUUUGUUCAAGCCUAAAUAGUAAUUAUUUUAAAGCAUCUAUUCACCCUCCCUCUAGGCAACAUCCACGAUUUUUCAAGUGGUAUCAGAGUGUCGCCUCUCUUUAUUAGGCUUAACCACUUAGAGAGUAAAGAUGUCGACUAGGGGAUUAGGAUUCUUUGACACUCUUUGUUUCAAUGGCACAAUUUUUGAUGUUGUUGUAAUUCGUAUGGUUAAUCUCUUUAGGGUCAUGGACCCAAAUUUAGAGCGAAUUUUAGAUAUUAGUUUUCAUCCUUCAAAGGAUCCUCAAAGAUUAUCUCUAGAGGAUGAGAAAAAACUCUUAUCUCACUGCUCAAGCUUCUAAUGUGCUUUUUGAUGCUUUGAACAAUGUAGUUAUAUUUGAACUUAUGCUAUUCUGGGAUGCUCAUGAUUUGUGGACAAAGCUUCAAGAUAAAUAUGGUGUGUCCAGGAUUUCUAGGAAUGAUUAUUCUCCCUCCAUCUCCAGUCUUAUGGUGUUCUCAACUUCUUCCACUUCACCUACAUGUGGAUUGCCACAAGGUAGUGAUAUGGUGAGUAGUGUUGGUCAUUGCAAUGAUUAUAGUGGGCUUAUUGUUGAUGAUCCUUCAUCGCUAUCUUAUUGAAUGCUCCGUCUUUGCACUUCAACACUUCGAGAUCUCUAGAUGGUUCACACGCUCGUGUUGAUAGUCCUUGCAUAUCACGUAGAAUUUGCUCAACUAAAUCUCAUGAUGAUAUGCUUGCUAUGUCUUGCUGCCAUGAUAAAAGUGCCUCUAUUUCCUCGAGUUGUUGUGCAAACAGUGUAAAGGAAACCCUACACUCCAUGGAACAAGAUGUGGUCCUGAAUGGUGCUUCAAGGGAUCCAACAUCAUCAUCUAUUGUUUCUCACUUUUGCCUUAUGGCUACGGUUUCAAAGGUAUCUCCCAGUUUGAAUCCCAAUAUAUAUUGUGAUGAUGAUGUUCAUGAUAAUCAGGGGAGGGGCCCCACCCAGUUGAAAUAAGGGGAGGGACCCUACCCAGUUGAAAUCAGGGGGUGGAGUGAUCAGUUAGGAAAGUUAAGUAAGAUUACGUAGGAUUUCUACGUAAUGCUACACCUACGUAGCUAUCAUACAAGAAUUUCUCCUCCCUCUCGUCCCAUUGCCCCUUCCAUGGCACUCUGCUCGAUAAGAAUAUUCUCCACUCCAGCAACACAUGUAUCUUCAGUAGUCCUAGUGCAAUUUUGCCUUCCCCAACUUUUCUACAUCAAAAUCCACAUCUGCACGAGAUGUACCAACAAUCAGUCGGGUUACGAAAGCUAUAUUUUCCACACAAGGGAAGGGCUAGAAAUCAAUACUGCAAAUUUGUCAUCUUAGGACUGGCAUUUACAUUUAUAAUUUAACAAGAACAGAUCACAUCAUAGUUCAAAUAAGAUAAGUAUGAAUGGACAUAAGUUUCCCAGUUAUAGGAUCAAACUAUAGGGGUGCUGCAAAAGCAACAACUUUGAACCAAGCUUCAUUGCCUCAGUAUACGAGUAGAAACCUGGGAGCCCUCCCUUGUUACCCUUCAUGGUGACAAACUAACAAUCUCGCAUGCAAGUUUCUUCCGGAGGUGCUCCAGCUGAGCCUGGGCGAGAAAAAAAAUACAGCUUUCAGUCCACCUCACAGUUUGUUCACUGUGGACACGCCCUGAACUACCAUGCUUUUACCUCACUAUGUUCAAACCCGAGGAUGUUGUGCAUGAUGUACACAUCGCUAUCCUCCUUAAGAUCACGGGAUCAGUAUUCGUCUUUGUUAGUGUGAAGUAUAACAAAAAAAAUUAUCCUUGUUCAAAGUCAGAUGUACUAACCUCGUGCACAGUUUGUUCCGCGCCACUAAAGGGUACACAAAAGUCCAUCCAGUCGUGUCAACCAACCCGGCACCAAAAAUGUCAUUGAACACUCACCCCUUCGACCAUUCGAACCUCUGCGAGCCAAUGCUGGCCUCGAGCUGCCGAGGUUUCUGCUGUUGCAGUACAUCUCAUUGGUAGGAUCCCAGCAGAUUUUGUGGCUGAAGCACACCCAUGGGUAGGACAAGCAUUAGUCAAGAGCAAACUUUAAAUCUUUUAGAACACCAACUACAAAUGUGAAACUAUUUGCUUGCCGUGCACCCACAUUCUAGUUCUAACUUUGCCAGUUCCGCAACAGCAAACAUUUCGUCCAAUCUUAUCUGUUCUUCUUUGUCAACCUCGCCAACAACAUCUUGGUUUGUUUGACUCCUGGCAUUCGCACUAUUCGCCCCAACUCCACUUCCGGCAACAUCUCUCAUUCUCAGCUUCAGCUGAAGCCUGCUCAAGCUCCACAGCCAUGGCCCCCUGCAUGCACAAUUGACUCCAAAUAAACAUUCUUGGACUACCAACCUGACCCAAGGCCACCUCGCAAUUCCGAUGAAAUACGUAGGUUGCUCUACCCAGCUGGUGCUCCAAUGGGUUACCUUACAUUGCAAAACAAUAUUGGUAUUUAUAUUUUUGUGGUCCAGCAUUGCUGCAUUUGUCGACAAAUAGUGCACUCGUCGAACAGCAAUCAAGCUUUUUUUAGAAGGAGGAUGUACCCCCGGCCUCUCCAUUCGGAUGAUGCAUUCAACCAUAUUAUUAAUUAUCCACAAAGAUCAUACAAGGUGAUACAUCAAUAAGCCUGAAGCCAUCAUCUUGGCAAUGUUGUUGCUACUUCUAUCCCCUUGAUGAAGGUGUGUCGGAUGUCCGAGCCUAAUACCAUGCAGACAUCGCACCAAAACCUAACAUAUAAAGCCGGGUGUCCCAUCCAAGCCACUACCUGGAAUGGGUCCCACAUCGGUCUGGCAGACUCCCAGUGAGCACCGCACGCUGCAAGGGUCGUCGCCUCCAUCUUCCAUCAGUCCAUCCUCAAAGCAGAACUGAUGCACUGACCGUGACAGGCCUCUCUGCCAUCAAUGCCACCAUGACGCUGGACAGCUUCCUCCUCCUGCGCGAGUCCAUCUCUGUGCAUCAGACGCCAAGUGUCCAUUGCGCCAUGCCGCCGAGACCCACCGUCAAUGAUACGGUUGAUGCCACACCGCUCCACCUACAUGCCAUCUCGCAUCGACUCCGAACUACCAGCAGCUCCACCACCUUGAGCAGUCCCUGUCCGACGCCUUCAGAAAGGAACACGACACCAAAGUACCAUUGUCGCCCAAACAGAGGAACAGAGACUUUUGCAUGCGCUCAUGGCAGAGGUGGGGGGCGUAUGAUCCACACCAAAGCCUCCAGGAAGGGAAUCGGCGCCGACGGCGUAGACUUUGGUGCGGCCGCCACGCCGGCCUGAAGUUUCCCCUCGAUUCAUGCCCACCCGCCAGACCCUAUCCAGGCAGUAUAAGUGUCGACCGUAUUCGCUACCGUUGCCAGCACGAACUGGAGAGUAGAUCUACUGUAGGUAGGGUAUAAUGUUUGGUACACGUGCAAUGUUCAGAUUCAUUUUUCAUUCGUCAACUCCCAUUCCCAGCCUGAAUUACUAGGGCCCCUUCAGGGAGAGAUACGGGGGAGUUACCCCCGUCAAUUCAUAUUACCUUCCCUCCACAACUCCUAUGUCCCCGAACCAUACAGGGGAUUUUUAGUGUCAUAGCCUCUUAAUUCCCAUUCCCCAGCUUUUCUUCCCCCCAACCAAACAGGCUGUAAGAGUGAUUCUUGCAUCGCGCUCCAGCAUCACAACUCCUUGCCGAACUGAAUCUACUAAGUUCCAUACAAAUUUAGCUUGAUUUAUGUACAUAUGUACAAUGUGACGACAGUAGUGGAGUUGCUUUUUCGCUAAAUUCAACACACAAUGGACAGGAUACUGUAUGCCACCUAGUUUAGAGAUAGCUAUUAAAGUUUUAUCAUUUGAGCAUCCUUAUUCAAAUUAAUAUGUGCUAACGAUACUAUUGAGGCUUCUAAGAUUUAAGUACCCAAACUCGACUUCUGUAGAUAAACAUAGAAGUACAAUCUUUGCAUAGGUAUACACUAUCUUCCAAUAUAUGAUUUCAUUCCAUUGUGUAAUUUGGUCGAAAAAUUACGGCGUGCUUUUGGUGACUAGACUAGAGUAGAAUUGGCAUAAGAGCUAAUGCAAGGAAGAAAAUCAUGCCCCAGACAUUUGCAUAGCCCGACUCAAACUUGCCAAAUGUAGCAAGUUUUUUUAUGCAAAUUCCAAAUGAUAUUUAAUUUAUCAAAAAUAAUGAAAUUUAGUUCAACGUUUCAGGCCUGAAGCAAACCUGAAUCAUCUAUACUUCUUAUCCUCCUAAUCUUUGCAGAACCAGCAAAAGUGGGCAAUAAGAACCGAACAAAUGAAGGCCUCUAUUUUGUCUGCAGCACAUAAACCCUUUAUCACUACUAGGACAAGGCCUACUAAUGGCGCACCAGUUUUGCCUACUAAUGGCGCACUACUGGUGCGUCAUUAGUAUCACGCCACUAAUAUUUUUUACUGAUGGCGCAUCAAUAGUGCGCCAUUAGUAUCUGGUAUACUAAUGGUGCACCACUGGUGCGCCAUUAGUAUAGGCCACGGUGCGCCAUUAAUAUUUUUGAAUUUUGAAGGUGGGAAAAUAGAAGUGGCGCACCGUCUAACCCCCAUGGUGCGCCAUUGCUAAUUUUGAAUUUUGAAUUUGGAUCUGGAUCGCGAUUUCUUUGCCCAUUUUUUGCUCUUUUUUUUUGCACGAUAUUAUUUCAAAUUUUGUUCCUGUUUUUGGAUCUUGUACGUUCUUUUGCCGUGUUCUUUUGCCGGAGAGGAGUUCGCCGGAGAGGAGUUUGCCGGAGAGGAGGAGGAGGUCACCGGAGAGGAGUUCACUGGAGCAUCGGAGAGGAGGAAGGAGAAACCAUGAUGGGAUGGGAGGAGAGGAGGGAGAAGGAGCUCACCGGAGAGGAGGGAGGAGGAGCUCACCGGAGAGGAGGGGGGAGGAGCUCACCGGAGAUGAGGGAGGAGGAGCUCACCGGAGAGGAGGGAGNNNNNNNNNNNNNNNNNNNNNNNNNNNNNNNNNNNNNNNNNNNNNNNNNNNNNNNNNNNNNNNNNNNNNNNNNNNNNNNNNNNNNNNNNNNNNNNNNNNNNNNNNNNNNNNNNNNNNNNNNNNNNNNNNNNNNNNNNNNNNNNNNNNNNNNNNNNNNNNNNNNNNNNNNNNNNNNNNNNNNNNNNNNNNNNNNNNNNNNNNNNNNNNNNNNNNNNNNNNNNNNNNNNNNNNNNNNNNNNNNNNNNNNNNNNNNNNNNNNNNNNNNNNNNNNNNNNNNNNNNNNNNNNNNNNNNNNNNNNNNNNNNNNNNNNNNNNNNNNNNNNNNNNNNNNNNNGUGAGGGGAGGGGAAGGGAGGAGAGGAGAGGAGAGGAGGGAGGAGGAGGUCGCCGGAGAGGAGGAGGAGGUCGCCGGAGAGGAGGAGGAGGAGGUCACUGGAGAGGAGGAGGGUAGUAUGGUGGAGGAGAAAAGGGAAGAUGGAGUGGAGGAGUGGAGGAGAGGUGGAGUGGAGGAGAAGAAUGAAGAGGUAAGGAGGAGAGGACAUGCCCAGCCAUAUAUACGGCAUAGUAAUGACGCAUCGUGGGCAGGUGCGCCAUUACUUUUUUUAAUUUUUUUAAUUUUAAAGGCGGGAAGAUAGUAAUGGCGCACCAUGGGCAGAUGCGCCAUUAGUAACUUUUUUUUAUUUUAAAUUUUGAAGGCGGGAAGAUAGUAAUGGCGCACCAUGGGCAGGUGCGCCAUUAGUAACUUUUUUUUAUUUUUUGAUUUAUUUUGAAUUUUGAAGGCGGGAAGAUAGUAAUGGCGCACCAUGGGCAAGUGCGCCAUUAGUAAGUUUGAUUUUUUUUGAAAUUUUUUGCCUCUCCAGAUCUUAAAAGCCCCGUAUCUUUUUUUCUGUUAGGUUUUUGAGGAUUUUAAAAAUGUUUAACGGGGUUCCCCUGUUAAAUUCGGAUGUAACUUUUCGAGUAGAUGAUUUUUCAUAUAAAAAAAAUUCAUCCGAGUUCGUAUGCAAAAGUUAUGCCCAUUUUUACAAAUUCUUGAAAGAUUUUGCAAAAAAGUCGAAAAUUCAUGUUUGUAAAUUUUGCUAACAACUAGAUCACAUAUCACAUGGGAAUCUUAUUUUCUUUUAUUUUUUUGACAUUUCUAUCAUUUUCUUUUUUUUUUAAACUGAAAAGGCGGUCCAGGGGGGUUGCAUUCGGGGGAAUGUUUGGGACAAAUUACUAAUGGCGCACCGUGGGAAGGUGCGCCAUUACUAGUUUCAACUAGUAAUGCCGCACCACUCUCACAGUGCGCCAUUAGUAGUUUCGGAAAAAUUAAAAAAAAAUUACUAAUGGCGCACCGUGGGAUGUGGUGCGCCAUUAGUAUUUGCACACUAAUGGCGCACCAACACAUGGUGCGCCAUUAGUAUUUAGUAAUGGCGUACCACAUGUACAGUGCGCCAUUAGUGUCCAUCCCAUCUAUAGCUCUUUUCCUAGUUGUGUAUGUUCAAUGUACAAAAAACAAAAUUGCAUCAAGUAAAUGUAACAGAAGAGGAAAAUAAGAGAUAUAUGUAGAAACAGAAAUCGAACAUAUCCGGGCAAACACAACAUCUCGCCGCGCAGAUAAAUUCUAGACGUACUUCCGAGGUGAAGAAAGAAGGUGGAUUUAGAAGCAGGAGAGCAAAGACCCGGGGAUGGGGGCGAGAAACAGAGUUCUAAUGCCUUUGGGUCUACAUCCCCUCUGGAUAUGUGUCUUGGAGUGUCUGAUCUCAUGGCCGUGGGGCUCAUGGUGGCCAGAGACGCCCUGCAGCCUACUAUGGUGCAAUAACUAACUCAAAUGCCAUUGACAGCAUGGAGCUAUGCCAGGAGUGUGGCGGCCCUCUUGGACAUCAGCGCACGCGUAGGAUGCUGGUACAUAGCGGUGGGCGCCGCCAUCGAGAUCAAGGUCGGGGGAGACGGGAGGGGUGCCCCUAGGCGUGCUAAAUAAAGGAGCCUGGGAGCUUGCCGGGCGCCUCCAUUGGUGUUAGGCUGCUGUUAAUGCAUGGGUGCUUAGAUGAGGUGCUAAGCACAUUAAAUAGUUUAACAACUAUACUCCCCAAUGCAUAGGUGCUUAGCUUAUGGUUGCUAAGCUUGCUUCAUUUAAUGAUUUAGCAACUAAAGCUCUUCAUGUAUUGGUGGGCUUUUUUUCUUUAAAUGUUUUGCCUAGGUUCACGAGCUUAGCAUUGUCUCUUCCUGGGUCACCACACUCAUCUCCCUCCUCUUAAAUAACUUGCCACAUCAGAUUUUUUGCCUAUGUGAAAAGCUUAGCACCUGUACAAGGUGGAGCAUUGGGAGGGGCCUUAAUGCACUUUUAGCAAUGGUAACAUUACUCCUCGCUUGAAUACCGGUGGACGAUCUCCAAUCACCCAUUGUUGGGGAACGUAGCAGAAAUUCAAAAUUUUCCUACGUGUCACCAAGAUCUAUCUAUGGAGAAACUAGCAACGAGGGGAAGGAGAGUGCAUCUACAUACCCUUGUAGAUCGCUAAGCGGAAGCGUUCAAGAGAACGGGGUUGAAGGAGUCGUACUCGUCGUGAUCCAAAUCAUCGGAGAUCCUAGUGCCGAACGGAUGGCACCUCCGCGUUCAACACACGUACAGCCCGGUGACGUCUCCCAUGCCUUGAUCCAGCAAGGAGAGAGGGAAAGGUUGAGGAAGACUCCAUCCAGCAGCAGCACAACGGCGUGGUGGUGAUGGAGGAGCGUGGCAAUCCUGCACGGCUUCGCCAAGCACCACGGGAGAGGAGGAGUACUUGGGAGAGGGGGAGGGCUGCGCCAGAACUUGGGUGUGGCUGCCCUCCCACCCCCACAUAUAUAUAGGGGCAAGGGAGAGGGGGGCCGGCCCCCUCAGAUCCAAUCUUAGGAGGGGGCGGCGGCUAGGGGGGUUGCCUUGCCCCCCAAGGCAAGGGGGGCGCCCCCUUUUAGGGUUUCCCCCAAGCCCUAGGCGCCUUGGGCCUUGGUGGACGGCGCACCAGCCCACCUGGGGCUGGUCCCCUCCCACACUUGGCCCAUGCAGCCCUCUGGGGCCGGUGGCCCCACUUGGUGGACCCCCGGGACCCUCCCGGUGGUCCCGGUACAUUAUCGAUAGCACCCGGAACUUUUCCGGUGACCAAAACAGGACUUCCCAUAUAUAAAUCUUUACCUCCGGACCAUUACGGAACUCCUCGUGACGUCCGGGAUCUCAUCCGGGACUCCGAACUACAUUCGGUAACCACAUACAAACUUCCUUUAUAACCCUAGCGUCAUCGAACCUUAAGUGUGUAGACCCUACGGGUUCGGGAACCAUGCAGACAUGACCGAGACCUUCUCCGGUCAAUAACCAGCAGCGGGAUCUGGAUACCCAUGUUGGCUCCCACAUGUUCCACGAUGAUCUCAUCGGAUGAACCACGAUGUCAAGGACUCAAUCGAUCCCGUAUACAAUCCCUUUGUCUAGCGGUAUAGUACUUGCCCGAGAUUCGAUCGUCGGUAUACCGAUACCUUGUUCAAUCUCGUUACCGGCAAGUCUCUUUACUCGUUCCAUAACACAUCAUCCCGCGAUCAAAUCUUUGAUCACGUUGUGCACAUUAUGAUGAUGUCUUACCGAGUGGGCCCAGAGAUACCUCUCCGUCACACGGAGUGACAAAUCCCAGUCUCGAUUCGUGCCAACCCAACAGACACUUUCGGAGAUACCUGUAGUGCACCUUUAUAGUCACCCAGUUACGUUGUGACGUUUGUUACACCCAAAGAAUUCCUACGGUAUCCGGGAGUUGCACAAUCCCAUGAUCUAAGGAAAAGAUACUUGACAUUAGAAAAGCUUUAGCAUACGAACUACACGAUCUCUGUGCUAGGCUUAGGAUUGGGUCUUGUCCAUCACAUCAUUCUCCUUAUGAUGUGAUCCCGUCAUCAAUGAUAUCCAAUGUCAAUGGUCAGGAAACCGUAACCAUUUAUUGAUCAACGAGCUAGUCAACUAGAGGCUUACUAGGGACAUGGUGUUGUCUAUGUAUCCACACAUGUAUCUGAGUUUCUUAUCAAUACAAUUAUAGCAUGGAUAAUAAACGAUUAUCAUGAACAAGAAAAUAUAAUAAUAACUAAUUUAUUAUUGCCUCUAGGGCAUAUUUCCAACACCCACUAUGCCGCAUCGCUGCCCAUUAAUGUGUCGCUAUCUCAUCACAUUUCCCGCACGCUGCCCUUCCGAAAGCAUACACUCUUUCUUGCGAUAUUCGUUGUGCUAACUGAGCCGAUAUUAAACAACAGAUGAUGGCAAGCGAAUAUGUUACGACGAGCUUAAAUGGGCUUCUUGUGGGAGAAGGGUAUGAUUAACCAUAAACCACCGAUUUUGUUACAGGAGUAGCAGCCAAUGAGGCAUACAGUCCACUUAGUGCUAUUUAAAAGUAUCUUACGGCCAAAAAACGACCAUCACAAAAUGAUCCAAUGGUUAGGAAUGGUGGUGGCCUGAGAGGGCAGGAAAGAUGCUCAGGUAUAAUGUGUCUACAUGUGCUUCCCACGGUAUUGAGCACGAACAUUUGUUGUGCUUGGACCAGCGUCCCUUAAGGUGCACACUAUCCGAAUAGACUUUGUUGGUUGCCACCCCCAUAUCUCUGGGACAUAGAGUGGAUGUGACUCUCACGGUGAUUGGUAAUGCACCAACUAUUGUCAUACCCAUGAAGCAACCGUACCAAAACAGGGCACUCACACCUACAUGAACUGCUGUUUGCUGACUCUGGCUUCCCCUGCACACCGGAUAGCACAUGUCAUGGUCAGCGCAACUAAAUUAGUGAUGGGAGCCCCACACAUAAAAGGACAGAAGAGAAGAGAGUGACGUUUUGGCACAUGGGAGCAUGCGUUCCUGAUUUUUAAAAUUUAUUUUAAACAUCCUUUGAAAUGUCAAAAAAUUUCAAACAAAAACUUGGCGCGUACAUUUCGAUAUUAUACAUGCUCACAAAAUUGUUUCUCAAAAAACCGACAACUCACGUGUUGCGUGUGAAAAAGAAAAAAUCCGGUGUUAAAAAAUGCUUUUCACUAAACAUCCUUUUGUCUUUUUUACACAAGCCAGAAAAAAUGAUUGGUUUUCUCCGAAACUUGACAUGCACACAUAUAAUGUCGAGAUGUAUGCGCCAAAUUUUUCUUUGGAAUUUUUUCACACUUUGAAAUAUUUUUUCGUGUGCAGGAGCGCGUGCUCCCGGGAGCACCAACAGAUAUCCAUAGAAUAGAUAAGCAGAAGGCACUACACGCCAAGUAGCCACAAAUGAUUUCCUGCAUCUAUUUGGUCCUCUCAGCGUUCAAUCUAGUCUUACAAUACCUGAUCCCAAACCCAAUCUCCCACGAAUACAAGUUGUAGAUGUCCUGCGCCUCACCUAGCGAGUAGCGAGUUGAAUUCAGUCCCAGUUCUGGCUUGAUUACACUCUCCCUAGCCUCCUCUGCACAUUUCCGAAUCGACUGCUCCAAUGCCAUCAUCCUACAUGGACAAGGCCUUUUGUCCGAUGGAGAACUCCUGAGGUGUAACCUGAUUUUUUUAGGAACACAGUCGAUCGGAUAGAUGCAGGCUUACCUCUUUUAUCCAUCCUGGUCCUCCGGAUUGACCCUAUCAACGAACACCAGAAAUAAUAAAAAUUAUAUCUAUAUCCGUAGACCACAUAGCAAAGAUUACAAGCACUAAAGCGAGCCGAAUGCGCGCCGCUAUCAUUACCCCUCCCUCAACGGAGCUGGGCAAAACUUGUUGUAGUAGACAAUCGGGAAGUCGUCGUGCUAAGGUCUGAUAUGUCUCCGUCGUAUCUACUUUUCCAAAAACUUUUUUCCCUGUUUUGGACUCUAACUUGCAUGAUUUGAAUGGAACUAACCCGGAGUGACGUUGUUUUCAGCAGAACUGCCAUGGUGUUAUUUCUGUGCAGAAAUAAAAGUUCUCGGAAUGACCUCAAAAUCCACGGAGCAAAUUUUCAGAAUUAAUAAAAAAUACUAGUGAAAGAAUCAGCGUUAGGGGGCCCACACCCUAUCCACGAGGGUGGGGGCGCCCCCCUCCCCUAGGGUGCGCCCCCUACCUCAUGGGCCCCCUGGACGUCCACCGACCUCAACUCCAACUCCAUAUAUUUGCUUUCAUGGAGAAAAAAAUCAGAGAGAAAGUUUCAUCGCGUUUUACGAUACGGAGCCGCCGCCAAGCCCUAAUCUCUCUCGGGAGGGCUGAUCUGGAGUCCGUUCGGGGCUCCGGAGAGGGGGAUUCGUCGUUGUCAUCAUCAUCAACCAUCCUCCAUCACCAAUUUCAUGAUGCUCACCGCCAUGCGUGAGUAAUUCCAUCGUAGGCUUGCUGAACGGUGAUGGGUUGGAUGAGAUUUACCAUGUAAUCAAGUUAGUUUUGUUAGGGUUUGAUCCCUAGUGAAGGAAAUAUGCCCUAGAGGCAAUAAUAAAGUUAUUAUUUAUUUCCUCAUAUCAUGCUAAAUGUUUAUUAUUCAUGCUAGAAUUGUAUUCACCGGAAACAUGAUACAUGUGUGAAUACAUAGACAAACAUAGUGUCACUAGUAUGCCUCUACUUGACUAGCUCAUUAAUCAAAGAUGGUUAUGUUUCCUAACCAUAGACAUGUGUUGUCAUUUGAUUAAUGGGAUCACAUCAUUAGGAGAAUGUUGUGAUUGACUUGACCCAUUCCGUUAGCUUAGCACUUGAUCGUCUAGUAUGUUGCUAUUGCUUUCUUCAUGACUUAUACAAAGUUCCUACAACUAUGAGAUUGUGCAACUCCCGUUUACUGGAGGAACACUUUGUGUGCUACCAAACGUCACAGUAUAACUGGGUGAUUAUAAAGGUGCUCUACAGGUGUUUCCAAAGGUACAUGUUGAGUUGGCAUAAUUCGAGAUUAGGUUUUGUCACUCCGAUUGUCGGAGAGGUAUCUCUGGGCCCUCUCGAUAAUACUCAUCACUUAAGCCUUGCAAGCAUUGUAACUAAUGAGUUAGUUAUGAAAUGAUGUAUUACGGAACGAGUAAAGAGACUUGCCGGUAACGACAUUGAACUAGGUAUUGGAUACCGACGAUCGAAUCUCGGGCAAGUUACAUACCGAUGACAAAGGGAACAACGUAUGUUGUUAUGCAGUUUGACCGAUAAUGAUCUUCGUAGAAUAUGUAGGAACCAAUAUGAACAUGCAGGUUCCACUAUUGGUUAUUGACCGAGAAUAGUUCUAGGUCAUGUCUACAUAGUUCUCGAACCCGUAGGGUCCGCACGCUUAACGUUACGAUGACAGUUUUAUUAUGAGUUUAUAAGUUUUGAUGUACCGAAGUUUGUUUGGAGUCCCGGAUGUGAUCACGGACAUGACGAGGAGUCUCGAAAUGGUCGAGACAUAAAGAUUGAUAUAUUGGACGACUAUAUUCAGACACCGGAAGUGUUCCGGGUGAUUUCGGAGAAAACCGGAGUGNNNNNNNNNNNNNNNNNNNNNNNNNNNNNNNNNNNNNNNNNNNNNNNNNNNNNNNNNNNNNNNNNNNNNNNNNNNNNNNNNNNNNNNNNNNNNNNNNNNNNNNNNNNNNNNNNNNNNNNNNNNNNNNNNNNNNNNNNNNNNNNNNNNNNNNNNNNNNNNNNNNNNNNNNNNNNNNNNNNNNNNNNNNNNNNNNNNNNNNNNNNNNNNNNNNNNNNNNNNNNNNNNNNNNNNNNNNNNNNNNNNNNNNNNNNNNNNNNCCUUGGUGGGAAGAGAGUGGGGCGGCCAGGGUGGGCCGCGCGCCUCCUCUCCCUCUCGUCCGAAUUGGACUAGGAGGGGGGGCGGCGCCCCCCUUUCCUUUCCCCCUCUCCCCCUUCCUUCCCACUCCUAGUAGGAGUAGGAAAGGAGGAAUCCUACUCCUUCUAGGAAGAGGAUUCCUCCUCCUUGGCACGUCCCAAGGGGCCGGCCGGCCUCCCCUCUUGCUCCUUUAUAUACGGGGGCAGGGGGGCACCCUGGGACACACAAGUUGAUCUACGAAUCGUUCCUUAGCCGUGUGCAGUGCCCCCCUCCACCAUAUUCCACCUCGGUCAUAUCGUCGCAGAGUUUAGGCGAAGCCCUGCGCCGGUAGAACAUCAUCAUGGUCACCACGCCGUCGUGCUGACGGUACUCAUCCCUGACGCUUUGCUGGAUUGGAGCCCGGGGAAUGUCAUCUAGCUGAACGUGUGCUGAACACGGAGGUGCCGUACGUUCGGUGCUUGGAUCGGUCGAGUCGUGAAGACGUACGACUACAUCAACCGCGUUGUGAUAACGCUUCCGCUUACGGUCUACGAGGGUACGUGGACAACACUCUCCCCUCUCGUUGCUAUGCCAUCACCAUGAUCUUGCGUGUGCGUAGGAAAAUUUUGAAAUUACUACGUUCCCCAACAGUGGCAUCCGAGCCUAGGUUUUAUGCGUUUAUGUUAUAUGCAUGAGUAGAACACAAGUGAGUUGUGGGCGACACAAGUCAUACUGCUUACCAGCAUGUCAUACUUUGGUUCAACGGUAUUGUUGGAUGAAGCGGCCCGGACCGACAUUACGCGUAUGCUUACGCGAGACUGGUUCUACCGACGGGCUUUGCACACAGGUGGCUGGCGGGUGUCAGUUUCUCCAACUUUAGUUGAACCGAGUGUGGCUACGCCCGGUCCUUGCGAAGGUUAAAACAGCACUAACUUGACGAACUAUCAUUGUGGUUUUGAUGCGUAGGUAAGAACGGUUCUUGCUAAGCCCGUAGCAGCCACGUAAAACUUGCAACGACAAAGUAGAGGACGUCUAACUUGUUUUUGCAGGGCAUGUUGUGAUGUGAUAUGGUCAAGACGUGAUGCUCUAUUUAUUGUAUGAGAUGAUCAUGUUUUGUAACCGAAGUUAUCGGCAACUGGCAGGAGCCAUAUGGUUGUCGCUUUAUUGUAUGAAAUGCAAACGCCCUGUAAUUGCUUUACUUUAUCACUAAGCGGUAGCGAUAGUCGUAGAAGCAAUAGAUGGCGUAAACGACAACGAUGCUACGAUGGAGAUCAAGGUGUCGCGCCGGUGACGAUGGUGAUCACGACGGUGCUUCGGAGAUGGAGAUCACAAGCACAAGAUGAUGAUGGCCAUAUCAUAUCACUUAUAUUGAUUGCAUGUGAUGUUUAUCCUUUAUGCAUCUUAUCUUGCUUUGGUUGACGGUAGCAUUUUAAGAGGUGUUCUCUCUGAAUAUGCACCGUUGCCAAAGUUCCUCGUGCCCAGACACCACGUGAUGAUCGGGUAUGAUAAGCUCUACGUCCAUCUACAACGGGUGCAAGCCAGUUUUGCACACGCAGAAUAUUCAGGUUAUACUUGACGAGCCUAGCAUAUGCAGAUAUGGCCUCGGAACACAAAGACCGAAAGGUCGAGCGUGAAUCAUAUAGUAGAUAUGAUCAACAUAGUGAUGUUCACCAUUGAAAACUACUCCAUCUCACGUGAUGAUCGGUUAUGGUUUAGUUGAUUUGGAUCACGUAAUCACUUAGAUGACUAGAGAGAUAUCUAUCUAAGUGGGAGUUCUUAAGUAAUAUGAUUAAUUGAACUUAAAUUUAUCAUGAACUUAGUACCUGAUAGUAUUUUUAUUGUCUAUGUUUGUUGUAGAUAGAUGGCUCGUGCUGUUGUUCCAUUGAAUUUUAAUGCGUUCCUUGAGAAAGCAAAGUUGAAAGAUGAUGGUAGCAAUUACACGGACUGGGUCCAUAACUUGAGGAUUAUCCUCAUUGCUGCACAGAAGAAUUACGUCCUGGAAGCACCGCUGGGUGCCAGGCCUGCUGCAGGAGCAACACCAGAUGUUGUGAACGUCUGGCAGAGCAAAGCUGAUGACUACUCUAUAGUUCAGUGUGCCAUGCUUUACGGCUUAGAACCGGGUCUUCAACGACGUUUUGACUGUCAUGGAGCAUAUGAGAUGUUCCAGGUGUUGAAGUUAAUAUUUCAAGUAAAUGCCCGGAUUGAGAGAUAUGAAGUCUCCAAUAAGUUCUACAGCUGCAAGAUGGAGGAGAAUAGUUCUGUUAGUGAGCAUAUAGUCAAAAUGUCUGGGUAUAAUAAUCACUCGAUUCAACUGGGAGUUAAUCUUCCGGAUGAUAGCAUCAUUGACAGAAUUCUCCAAUCACUGCCACCAAGCUACAAGAGCUUCGUGAUGAACUAUAAUAUGCAAGGGAUGAACAAGACAAUUCCCGAGCUCUUCGCAAUGCUAAAGGCUGCGGAGGUAGAAAUCAAGAAGGAGCAUCAAGUGUUGAUGGUCAACAAGACCACUAGUUUCAAGAAAAAGGGCAAAGGGAAGAAGAAGGGGAACUUCAAGAAGAACAGCAAGCAAGUUGCUGCUCAAGAGAAGAAACCCAAGUCUGGACCUAAGCCUAAAACUGAGUGCUUCUACUGCAAGCAAACUGGUCACUGGAAGCGGAACUGCCCCAAGUAUUUGGCGGAUAAGAAGGAUGGCAAAGUGAACAAAGGUAUAUGUGAUAUACAUGUUAUUGAUGUGUACCUAACUAGAGCUCGUAGUAGCACCUGGGUAUUUUAUACUGGUUCUAUUGCUAAUAUUUGCAACUCGAAACAGGGACUACGGAAUAAGCGAGCACUGGCCAAGGACGAGGUGACGAUGCGCAUGGGAAACGGUUCCAAAGUCGAUGUGAUCGCGGUCGGCACGCUACCUCUACAUCUACCUUCGGGAUUGUCUUAGACCUGAAUAAUUGUUAUUUGGUGCCAAUGUUGAGCAUGAACAUUAUACCUGGAUCUUGUUUGAUGUGAGACGAUUAUUCAUUUAAAUCAGAGAAUAAUGGUUGUUCUAUUUAUAUGAGUAAUAUCUUUUAUGGUCAUGCACCCUUGAAGAGUGGUCUAUUUUUAUUGAAUCUCGAUAGUAGUGAUACACAUAUUCAUAAUGUCCAAGCCAAAAGAUGCAGAGUUGAUAAUGAUAGUGCAACUUAUUUGUGGCACUGCCGUUUAGGUCAUAUCGGUGUAAAGCGCAUGAAGAAACUCCAUACUGAUGGACUUUUGGAAUCACUUGGUACUUGCGAAUCGUGCCUCAUGGGCAAGAUGACUAAAACACCGUUCUCCGGUACUAUGGAGAGAGCAACAGAUUUGUUUGAAAUCAUACAUACAGAUGUAUGUGGACCGAUGAAUAUUGAAGCUCGUGGCGGAUAUCGUUAUUUUCUCAGCUUCACAGAUGAUUUGAGCAGAUAUGGGUAUAUCUACUUAAUGAAACACAAGUCUGAAACAUUUGAAAAGUUCAAAGAAUUUCAGAGUGAAGUGGAAAAUCAUCGUAACAAGAAAAUUAAGUUUCUACGAUCUGAUAGUGGAGGAGAAUAUUUGAGUUACGAGUUUGGUUUACAUUUGAAACAAUGCGGAAUAGUUUCGCAACUCACGCCACCCGGAACACCACAACGUAAUGGUGUGUCCGAACGUCGUAGUCGUACUUUACUAGAUAUGGUGCGAUCUAUGAUGUCUCUUACUGAUUUACCGCUAUCGUUUUGGGGUUAUGCUUUAGAGCUGGCUGCAUUCACAUUGAAUAGGGCACCAUCAAAAUCCGUUGAGACGACGCCUUAUGAACUAUGGUUUGGCAAGAAACCAAAGUUGUUGUUUCUUAAAGUUUGGGGCUGCGAUGCUUAUGUGAAGAAACUUCAACCAGAUAAGCUCGAACCCAAAUCGGAGAAAUGUGUCUUCAUAGGAUACCCAAAAGAGAGACUGUUGGGUACACCUUCUAUCACAGAUCCGAAGGCAAGACAUUCGUUGCUAAGAAUGGAUCCUUUCUAGAAAAAGAGUUUCUCUCGAAAAAAGUGAGUGGGAGGAAAGUAGAACUUGAUGAGAUAACCAUGUCUGCUCCCUCAUUGGAAAGUAGUUCAUCACAGAAAUCAGUUCUUGUGACAUCUACACCAAUUAGUGAGGAAGAUAAUGAUAUUGAUCAUGAAACUUCAGAUCAAGUUUCUACUGAACCUCGUAGGUCUACCAGAAUAAAAUCUGCACCAGGGUGAUACGGUAAUCCUAUUCUGGAAGUCAUGUUACUUGACCAUGAUGAACCUACGAACUAUGAGGAAGCGAUGAUGAGCCCAGAUUCCGCAAAAUGGCUAGAAGCCAUGAAAUCUGAGAUGGGAUCCAUGUAUGAAAACAAAGUAUGGACUUUGGUUGACUUGCCCGAUGAUCGGCAAGCAAUUGAGAAUAAAUGGAUCUUUAAGAAGAAGACUGACGCUGACGGUAAUGUAACUGUCUAUAAAGCUUGACUUGUUGCGAAAGGUUUUCGACAAGUUCAAGGGGUUGACUACGAUGAGACUUUCUCACCCAUAGUGAUGCUUAAGUCUGUCUGAAUCAUGUUAGCGAUUGCCGCAUUUUAUGAUUAUGAAAUUUGGCAGAUGGAUGUCAAAACUGCAUUUCUGAAUGGAUUUCUGGAAGAAGAGUUGUAUAUGAUGCAACCGGAACAUUUUGUCGAUCCUAAGGGAGCUAACAAAGUGUGCAAGCUCCAGCGAUCAAUCUAUGGUCUGGUGCAAGCCUCUCGGAGUUGGAAUAAAUGCUUUGAUAGUGUGAUCAAAGCAUAUGGUUUUAUACAGACUUUUGGAGAAGCCUGUAUUUACAAGAAAGUGAGUGGGAGCUCUGUAGCAUUUCUAAUAUUAUAUGUGGAUGACAUAUUGUUGAUUGGAAAUGAUAUAGAAUUUCUGAAUGGCAUAAAAGGAUACUUGAAUAAAAGUUUUUCAAUGAAAGACCUCGGUGAAGCUGCUUACAUAUUGGGCAUUAAGAUCUAUAGAGAUAGAUCAAGACGCUUGAUUGGACUUUCACAAUGCACGUACCUUGAUAAAGUGUUGAAAAAGUUCAAUAUGGAUCAGGCGAAGAAAGGGUUCUUGCCUGUAUUACAAGGUAUAAAGUUGAGUCAGACUCAAUGCCCGACCACUGCAGAAGAUAGAGAGAAAAUGAAAGGAGUUCCCUAUGCUUCAGCCAUAGGAUCUACCAUGUAUGCAAUGCUGUGUACCAGACCUGAUGUGUGCCUUGCUAUUAGUUUGGCAGGGAGGUACCAAAGUAAUCUAGGAGUGGGUCACUGGACAGCGGUCAAGAACAUCCUGAAAUACCUGAAAAGGACUAAGGAUAUGCUUCUCGUAUAUGGAGGUGACAAAGAGCUAGUCGUAAAUGGUUACGUCGAUGCAAGCUUUGACACUGAUCCGGACGAUUCUAAAUCGCAAACCGGAUACGUAUUUUUGUUAAACGGUGGAGAUGUAAGUUGGUGCAGUUCUAAACAAAGCGUCGUGGCGGGAUCUACAUGUGAAGCAGAGUACAUAACUGCUUCGGAAGCAGCAAAUGAAGGAGUCUGGAUGAAGGAGUUCAUUUCUGAUCUAGGUGUUAUACCUAGUGCAUCGGGACCAAUGAAGAUCUUCUGUGACAAUACUGGUGCAAUUGCCUUGGCAAAGGAAUCCAGAUUUCACAAGAGGACGAAGCACAUCAAGAGAAGCUUCAAUUCCAUUCGGGACCAAGUCCAAGUGGGAGACAUAGAGAUUUGCAAAAUACAUACGGAUCUGAAUGUUCCAGACCCAUUGAGUAAGCCUCUCUCACGAGCAAAACAUGAUCAGCACCAAGACUCCAUGGGUGUUAGAAUCAUUACUAUGUAAUCUAGAUUAUUGACUCUAGUGCAAGUGGGAGACUGAGGGAAAUAUGCCCUAGAGGCAAUAAUAAAGUUAUUAUUUAUUUCCUCAUAUCAUGAUAAAUGUUUAUUAUUCAUGCUAGAAUUGUAUUAACCGGAAACAUGAUACAUGUGUGAAUACAUAGACAAACAUAGUGUCACUAGUAUGCCUCUACUUGACUAGCUCAUUAAUCAAAGAUGGUUAUGUUUCCUAACCAUAGACAUGUGUUGUCAUUUGAUUAAUGGGAUCACAUCAUUAGGAGAAUGUUGUGAUUGACUUGACCCAUUCCGUUAGCUUAGCACUUGAUCGUUUAGUAUGUUGCUAUUGCUUUCUUCAUGACUUAUACAAAGUUCCUACAACUAUGAGAUUGUGCAACUCCCGUUUACCGGAGGAACACUUUGUGUGCUACCAAACGUCACAACGUAACUGGGUGAUUAUAAAGGUGCUCUACAGGUGUCUCCAAAGGUACAUGUUGAGUUGGCAUAAUUUGAGAUUAGGUUUUGUCACUCCGAAUGUCGGAGAGGUAUCUCUGGGCCCUCUCGGUAAUACUCAUCACUUAAGCCUUGCAAGCAUUGUAACUUAUUAGUUAUUUAUGAAAUGAUGUAUUACGGAACGAGUAAAGAGACUUGCCGGUAACGAGACUGAACUAGGUAUUGGAUACCGAUGAUCGAAUCUCGGGCAAGUAACAUAGCGAUGACAAAGGGAACAACGUAUGUUGUUAUGCGGUUUGACCGAUAAAGAUCUUCGUAGAAUAUGUAGGAACCAAUAUGAACAUCCAGGUUCCACUAUUGGUUAUUGACCGAGAAUAGUUCUAGGUCACGUCUAUAUAGUUCUCGAACACGUAGGGUCCGCACGCUUAACGUUAUGAUGAUAGUUUUAUUAUGAGUUUAUAAGUUUUGAUGUACCGAAGUUUGUUCGGAGUCCCGGAUGUGAUCACGGACAUGACGAGGAGUCUCAAAAUGGUCAAGACAUAAAGAUUGAUAUAUUGGACGACUAUAUUCGAACACCGGAAGUGUUCCGGGUGAUUUCGGAGAAAACCAGAGUGUCGGAGGGUUACCGGAACCCUCCCGGGAGAGUUAAUGGGCCACAUGGGCCUUGGUGGGAAGAGAGAGGGCGGACAGGGUGGGCCAUGCGCCCCCUCUCCCUCUAGUCCGAAUUGGACUAGGAGGGGGGGCGGCGCCCCCCUUUCCUUUCCCCCUCUCCCCCUUCCUUCCCCCUCCUAGUAGGAGUAGAAAAGGAGGAAUCCUACUCCUACUAGGAGGAGGAUUCCUCCUCCUUGGAGCGCCCCAAGGGGCCGGCCGGCCUCCCCCCCUUGCUCCUUAGGACACACAAGUUGAUCUACGGAUCGUUCCUUAGCCAUGUGCGGUGCCCCCCUCCACCAUAUUCCACCUCGGACAUAUCGUCGCGGAGUUUAGGCGAAGCCCUGCGCCGGUAGAACAUCAUCAUCGUCACCACAUCGUCGUGCUGACGAAACUCAUCCCCGGCGCUUUGCUGGAUUGGAGCCUGGGGAACGUCAUCGAGCUGAACGUGUGCUGAACACGGAGGUGCCGUACGUUCGGUGCUUGGAUCGGUCGAGUCGUGAAGACGUACGACUACAUCAACCGCGUUGUGAUAACGCUUCCGCUUACGGUCUACGAGGGUACGUGGACAAUACUCUCCCCUCUCGUUGCUAUGCCAUCACCAUGAUCUUGUGUGUGCGUAGGAAAAUUUUGAAAUUACUACGUUCCCCAACACCUAGUAUCCACUAUGUUCUGAGUUUGAUGUUGCUAUGACUUUGCUAUGCUCAAUGCUUGUCACUAGGACCCAAGUGCCAUGAUUUUAUAUAUGAACCUAUUAUGUUUUCAUGAAUAUAUGUGAGUUCUUGAUCCUAUCAUGCAAGUCUAUAGUCACCUAUUAUGUGUUAUGAUUCCACAACCCCGAAGUGACAAUAAUUGGGAUACUUCUCGGUGAUGACCGUAGUUUGAGGAGUUCAUGUAUUCACUAUGUGUUAAUGCUUUGGUCCGGUACUCUAUUAAAAGGAGGCCUUAAUAUCCCUUAGUUUCCAUUAGGACCCCGCUGCCGCGGGAGGGUAGGACAAAAGAUGGCAUGCAAGUUCUUUUCCAUAAGCACAUAUGACUAUAUUCAGAAUACAUGCCUACAUUACAAUGAUGAACUGGAGCUAGUUCUGUGUCACCCUAUGUUAUAACUAUUACAUGAGGAAUCGCAUCCGACAUAAUUAUCCAUCACUGAUCCAAUGCCUAUGAGCUUUUCACAUAUUGUGCUUUGCUUAUUUACAUUACCGUUGCCACUGUUACAAUUACUACAAAACUGCUACCGUUACUUUUGCUACCGUUACCGUUACUUCCAUACUACUUUGCUACUAAAUACUUUGCUGCAGAUACUAAGUUAUCCAGGUGUGGUUGAAUUGACAACUCAACUGCUUAAUACUUAAGAAUAUUCUUUGGCUCCCCUUGUGUCGAAUCAAUAAAUUUGGGUUGAAUACUCUACCCUCGAAAACUGUUGCGAUCCCCUAUACUUGUGGGUUAUUAAGACUAUUUUCUGGCACCGUUGCCUAGGAGCAUAGAUCUAUUCUUUGAAUCACUUGAGAUUUCUAUCUGCUGGUCACUAUGAGGAACUUCAAAGACGAAAGAACUAAGAUUUAUCCCUCAACUACGAGGGGAGAUAAGGAACUACCAUCUAGAUCUGCACUAGAUUCUCCUUCUGUUAUGAGUAAGCUUGCGACACCUAAACCUGCUUCUGCUAUUAAUUCUGAUAUUUCGCAUGUUAUUGAUGAUGCCACUUCUACUAUGCAUGAUACUUAUGAUGAAACUACUUUUGUGCUUGAUACUACUGUGCCAUUAGGUGAAUAUCUUGAUGCACAACUUGCUAGGGUUAGAGAGAAAGAAAUUCUUGAAACUGAUAUUAUUGAAGAUAGUGAUGAUGAAGGUUCUCCCCCUAAAUAUGAAUUGCCUGUUGUUCCUGAGGGUUAUGUUAUGGAUGAAGAAACUGUUAGAGAUUUUCUUGCUUGCAAUGAUAGAUCUGAUCUUAAGAAGUUAUUAGCUAAACUGAAACAGAAAACUCUGAAUGCUAGAAUGAAAUAUGACCGUGCUUUUUCUACUUCACCUAUCUUUAUUACUGAUAAGGAUUAAGAUUUCUCUGUUGAUCCUGAGAUAAUUACUUUGGUUGAAUCUGAUCCUUUCUAUGGCUAUGAAUUUGAAACUGUUGGGGCACAUCUUACUAAGUUAAAAGAUAUAGCCACCCUGUUCACUAAUGAUGAGAAAUCUCGCUACUACUAUAUUCUUAAGAUAUUUGCGUUCUCAUUAAAGGGUGAUGCUAAAACUUGGUUUAAUUAUUUUGAUCCUGGUUGUGUGGGUAGUCCCCGGGAUAUGAUUUAUUACUUCUCUGCUAAAUAUUUCCUUGCUCAUAAGAAACAAGCUGCCUUGAGGGAAAUAUAUAAUUUUGUGCAAAUUGAAGAAGAGAGUCUCCCACAAGCUUGGGGGAGGCUUCUCCGGUUGCUUAAUGCUUUGCCUGAUCAUCCUCUUAAGAAAAACGAAAUACUUGAUAUCUUUUACUAACUGAUGCUUCCAAGGACAACUUGGAUAGUUGUGCUGGUUGUGUUUUCAGGGAAAGAACAGUCGAUCAAGCUAAAUUGCUAUUGAAUAAUAUGUUGACUAAUGAAAAUAAUUGGACUCUUCCUGAGCCAAUUCUUGAGCCAACUCCUAAACCUACUCCGAAGAAGAGGGGUGUUCUAUUUCUUAGUCCCGAAGAUAUGCAAGAGGGAAAGAAAUCUAUGAAAGAAAAAGGUAUUAAAGCUAAAGGUGUUAAGAAUUUACCUCCUGUUGAAGAAAUACAUGGUCUUAAUUUACCACCUAUUGAAGAAACACAUGGUCUUGAUAACCCGACACAGGUAGUAAAGGUAAAUUCUCUCUAUAGAUAUGAUAAGGUUGAAAUCCCGUCUACUAAGUUUGCUAGCCAAUGCUUGGAUGAAUUUGAUGACUUUAUGGCUAGACAAGAAAAUUUCAAUGCUUAUGUUGGUAGAGAAUUAAAGAGUAAUUCUUAUAUGAUUGGACGCUUGAGUGAUUAUAUGGCUAGAGUUAAAGGUGAACUUAAACUCAUUAGUAAAUAUGCUUCUAUGGUUACCACUCAAGCAGAAUAAGUACUUAAAGCUCAAAGUCAUUUGCUCGAUGAAUUAAAUAAUAAACAUGAUUUUGUAUUUAUAGUGGCUACUAGAACGGGUAGAAUGACUCAGGAACCUUUGUAUCCUGAAGGCCACCCUAAGAGAAUUGAGCAAGAUUCUCAGAGAAAUAAUGUAGAUGCACCUAGUCCUUCUAAAAAGAAGAAAAAGAAAAAUGAUAGGACUUUGCAUGCUUCUAGUGAACCCGUUGUAGACACACCUGAGAAUCCCAAUGAUACUUCUAUUUCUGAUGUUGAAACACAAUCUGGUGAUGAACAUGAACCUAGUGAUAAUGUUAAUGAUAAUGUUCAUGUUGAUGCUCAACCUAGAAAUAAUAAUGAUGUAGAGAUUGAACCUGCUGUUGAUCUUGAUAACCCACAAUCAAAGAAUCAACGUUAUGAUAAGAGUGAUUUUGUUGCUAGGAAGCACGGUAAAGAAAGAGAACCAUGGGUUCAGAAACCCAUGCCUUUUCCUCCUAAGCCAUCUAAGAAAAAGGAUGAUGAGGAUUUUGAGCACUUUGCUGAAAUGAUUAGACCUAACUUCUUACGUAUGCGCUUAACUGAUAUGCUUAAAGUGAAUCCUUAUGCUAAAUACAUGAAGGAUAUUAUUACAAAUAAAAGAAAGAUACCGGAAGCUGAAAUUUCCACCAUGCUUUCUAAUUAUACUUUUAAAGAUGGAAUACCUAAGGAACUAGGAGAUCCAGGAGUACCAACUAUACCAUGCUCCAUUAAAAGAAACUAUGUUAAAACUGCUUUAUGUGAUCUUGGAGCCGGUGUUAGUGUUAUGCCUCCCUCUUUAUAUCGUAGACUUGAAUUGAAUAAGUUGAGACCUACUGAAAUAUCUUCGCAAAUGGCCGAUAAAUCAACUGCUAUACCUGUCGGUAUUUGUGAGGAUGUGCCUGUUGUGGUUGCAAACAUCACUAUCUUAACGAACUUUGUGAUUCCUGAUAUUCCUGAGGACAAUAGCAUGUAUAUUAUCCUUGGUAGACCCUUUUUGAAUACUGUAGGGGUUGUUAUUGAUUGCAACAAAGGCAAUGUCACUUUUCAUAUUAAUGGUAAUGAGCAUACGGUACACUUUCCGAGGAAACAACCUCAAGUUCAUAGCAUCAAUUCUAUUAGAAAAAUUCCAACUAUUAUUAUUGGAGGUUUUGAAUUUCCUCUUCCUACUGUCAAGAAGAAAUAUGAUAUUCUUAUUUUUGGGGAUGUGCAUAUCCCCAUUAAGGUAACCUGGUGUCAUUCGAAAUUUCUCCGGUUCCAUGUUAUUCGGAAUGAGUUUGUUAACAAGACUUGAUCAACCUUGUUAGUGGAUUCCUUUUGAUGAGCAUGAGAUGGAUGAAGUUAGAAAGCACAACCUCCUGUACCCUCCUUUUACUUUCUGUUAUUUAGAUUAAAUAAAGUAAAAAUAGUAUUUUCUGUCUGUUUUCUGGAUUAUCCAUGCAAUAAACAAUACCCCGAAAAUAAAAUUUCUCCAAAUGCCCUACAAAUUUAGUAUGAUUUUUCUGGAAAAUUUGAGAAUAUUUGGCACUGAGAACACAACAGGGGGAGCUGGCACCUGGCCACGAGGGUCCAGGGCGCGCCCACCCCUAUAGGGCACACCCCCUGCCUCGUGGGCCCAUGGUGGCCCCCUCCACUUAUUCCCGCACCCACACACUUCUUCUUCCUCCCAAAAAAAUCACCAUCUAGCUCAAGCACGAGUUCUAGCUCAUUUUGCUGCAGUUUUUGAUCUCCUUGCUCAAAGUUCCAUUCACAAAACUGCUUUGGGAGAUUGUUCCUUGGUAUGUGACUCCUCCAAUGGUCCAAUUAGUUUUUGUUCUAGUGCUUUAUUCAUUGUGGCACCCCGGCUCAGAGAAACCGGAACGCCCCGUAUUCCAGCCCAAAGAUCAAGGAGAAGUCUUCUAGAAUACGGCACUGCUUAGCAUAGAACAAACCAGCUUUCUACUAUUACACAAAUAUGAAUACAAGGUCUCCGAUAUUACAAUGAAUAACAUCGAUACGGCGACACUAUGCCAUCCUCGGUUACUCUAUGCAAGCAGCAGAACAACUCGAAGUAGCGGAAGAACUCUAGCAGCGGACCAAUGACGAUGGUGGUGAACUCCACUCCGCAGGGACUCUGGCUAGAACGCUUAUCCUAACUCCGUCGUGGCCCGUCCCACUCUAGGACAAGGAUCCGAAAACUAACUCAACAAUGGGCACACAAGGCUUAUGUCCGCCUACCUAAUCGGGGUAGCGCGCGCCCAUAACCUUCCCUCGUUGGAGGCACCGGCGAGAGGCACAACAAUAGACCCAGUUAGGACCGACCCAUACCGGUAAGCGUGGUUGCACUGGUCAGCAUCGAUUCAGCGGCACCAUGACUCAGCCAACAGUUGUUCAAGUUCAAUUUAAUCCGGUUAACUUGAAUGCAAAUAUGCUGAGUCAUGAUAAAAUGCAUGAACAUGAUAUCAACAUCAUCAUGAGUGUAUCACAUAACUUUCCACCAUAUCAACAAUAAAUCAUAUCCACUGAGCAUGGCAUACUGACUAGCACGACCAUCACCAACAUCAACAUGUACUACUAGCAAUCAUAAAUAUAUGAAAGUUAAUACUAGCAGGUAGAACAUGAUAACAGAGUACAAGACAUCAUAGCACAAAGGUUAACAUGCAACUCUAAACAUCACCGGAACAACGAUAACCAUCUUGUCAACAAGCAAAUAUUUAAUAAAGAUUCAAGUUGAAAACCAUGGCUACUGCACGACUAUCAUGCAAGUGGGUAUUGUGGCUUGCCUGGGGAUGAAGAAGGCACCGGGGAGAAGUGCGGUGAAGCCGCGAAACGAAUUGCUGGAAAAUGUUGUCUCUCGGAGGGGGCUGACUAAGGGCAAGGGCAAAAUGUUCAUUUUCAGUAUGCCAAAACAUAAUGAAAGUUAGACCAACAGAAAGGGCUCGACGAAACAAAGAAGUGAGCAUUGGAUUCACCUCGUUUGGAGUUACGGAUAAAAAGAUAUAAGGGUUUUACUGUGAGGGACCUAUCUGUAAACAUUUAUUUUACAGAUUGGGCCAAAACAAAAAAACGGAAAGCGCAUGCCAAGAUUUACGUUUCCACUUAUCCAGCGUGACAGUGGCGGGGCCGGCUCCUGUGUGGCCGACAGGCGGGUCCCACCUUAUCCACUCCCUCUCUCUCCCCCCUUCUCUUCUUCCUCUCUCCUUCUCCCGACGCCGCACGCAGAGCAGAGGAGAGGCCGCCGGCGCCGACGCUCGCUCCGGCCACUCGGGCCACCUCCGACGGAGCUUGGACCGCCGGAGUGCUCAGGACGGCGAGGCGCACCCGUCCCACCACCACACGAACAUCGGGGAGACUCGGGCAGGGCGGGACCAUGGCCACGGCGAACGGGGCUUCGGCCGAUGAUAGAGGACAAGGCCAUGGCAAUUCCGGCGACUAACGGAGGGCUGCAGAGAGGCUAUGAUGGCUGGCUGACCUACUAGAGGUGGAAGAUACAGGAGAGGGGCUUCGGUUCGGCGGAAUCGGACUGGACAGGGGCGGCGGCCAUGGCGGCAAGGGCGGGCUCAGGAGCUCUUGGAGUUCGAACGAGUGGACGGGGAGGUUGCUGGGAGUGAGGCGAGUCUCGGGGUGAGCUCAGACAAGGCCGGGGAUGGCUUAAAUAGCCGCGGGGCAAGGUGGCCGACCUGGCACCACCGCGGACGCGUGGCCGGCGCCACGGACGCGUGCCCGCGCGCAUGAACUCAGGGGAAAACGACGGAGGAGGAGGAGUGGGGGCUCUCAUGGGGCAGAGGAUGCCAAUGGGGCGCAGGGAGGAAGACUACGGUCACGGGAAGAUCCAAAACCCCACUGUGCUCUCGUGUUCACGCGGCGGCGAGCGUCGAUGAGCAAGCAGACGGAGGGGGAGAGGGGUCCAGGGGAACGACGAUGAGGAGAGGAAGACAAUGGACAGGCUCACGAGCGCGAAAACGGCAAGAGGGGGAGGGGCGCGAGCAAGAAGACGCUCUGGGCGUGGCCAUUGCACGCCAAAACGGUGGUCACCAUGUGAACCGGUGCACACAGUGCCACAAGUGAUGCCAAACCAUGUCUGGGGGUUAGUCCCUCAUGGGUAAGUUGUAACUACGGGGGUAACUAAGUGAAAACGUCUCUGGUUAAAUACUUAGUGAGCUCUGAAGUUUACUGCAGUAAACUUUACCAGCUCAAUAUGAUCAACAGGGAGUUACCUGAAGCCACGGAAUUUGUCUGGGGUGUAUAGCUAUGGAGGGACUAUGAUCCUGGAGGUUUUGAGGGGAAAUGGAACAAGAUAAAUCGUAUUUGCUUUGCAACUGCCAAAAUGGUCCAGAAAUGAAGAUUAGGAUGGUGCACUCACAUGGAGUGUCCACUUGAGCUCAAAUUGGGCAAGGCUUAGUCAUUUGGUCAUAUGAAGAUGCUCACAAAGUAUCAUACCAUUUGGCAAAGCCAAAAUGGUACUUGCUUCACAAACAUCUCUACUGACCAGAAACUUGAAAUAAUUAUGGUGAUCAAAUGGAUCAAUGAAAUGAUGCCAAAUUGGGUGGAGAGAUGUUUUAUGGGUAUAAGAAGGAUCUGGUAAUUUAUCAGGAUUUUUGAAGCAAUAUAAAAUACACUUCCUUCACAACCUGGAAAUAUUGCUAGAAACAAAGAUUUGCUCCUAUGCUCACAUAGAUAAUUGGAUGGGGCUGCAUAUGGGUGGAAGGGGUUAGUAUGAGCACUUUAAGGAGUGUGCAAAAUUUUAACUCAUUUUGAGACUCCUUGCUAGUACUUCCUGCAUAAAGCCUUCCGUUUGACAGAAACUUUGAAAAAUCACUGAGGAAGAUUGGCUAGGCAAAUAAAUUUAAACUUGUGCAUGGGGCAAUUAUUUGGACAUGUAAACAUGCCCAAAAAGGUUGGGAUUCAAUAGGAGAAAUAUAAAUGACACUUCCUUCACAAAGUGCCAUGCAGGGCAAAAUAGAAAAAGGAAUUUUUGGGGAAUUAUUUAAUGGAAAUAAAAAGUUUUGCCAUAUUUGAGCAAGAUAUGACCCAAACAAUUUAUGAGAAUUAUUUGGGAAUUUUUGGAGUAAUGGAAACAGAGGUUGCUUCACAACCUAGGGCAAUUUGAGUUAUUCUUUAAUUGAAAAGGAAUAUUCCCAAUAAAAAGAAUAUUAAGAUUUGGGCUAGGAUGGAAAUGACAGGGUCUAGCGAAAGAUUUGGGGAUGACAAGCCACUCUGCAAGCAAAGAAGAGGUCAUCUCGUUCAGUUUCCAGACCACAAAGCCACGGAAAAAGAAAACUCAGGCAAAAACCUCAGAAAAACAAAAGAAAAAGAAAGGGCCAAAAAUCAGGCUGUCACAAACCUUACCCCCUUAAAGAAAUCUCGUCCUCGAGAUUUGGUUGCUCAGGGAACAAGUAUGAAUAUUCUGACUUGAGGAAACCGUUUCCAACUCGGGUAUCCUUUUUUCCUUUAUUGGUGUUCCCAUUAAAUUUUUAUCUGACUGGCCCUGGGGUGGUUUGAUUUGCUUUAUCCACAUUCUGACAGAUCUUACCUUGCUUGCUCAUGCUUAUAUAGGCUCCAAUUUCUUUUUAGAUCUGCUGACUAGCUGAGUGUGAUUUAAUUAUCACGACUGAAAUAUAUGUCCGUCUCACAAAUCCAAAAGUGAUUUCCGCUGGGUGUGCCACCUGGCACUGACAACCUUUCAUGUAAUGAUGAUUUCUGAUGAAAACUCAAGCUCUGACUCAUUGCAUUGGGUUUCUCCACUAAAUGCAGGUCCUUUGGGUUCCAAACAGUGAGUUAAAACAUAACCAUUUCCUGACAGAUUCUGACGCAUCGCAGGAGUUUCUGAAUCAUCUUACCGGUUCCACUGUCGUGAGUAUCGGAUCCGUACCAAAUAUUUGAUUGUCUCCUGUCGCGGCCAGCAUAAAGGGUUUGGCCUGUAUUAUAAUAUCUGCAGAGUUGACUGAUGGUGGUUCUGACGGAAAACUUUUGUUCAUGACAGGCUGUCCAUGAUGAUUCAUAUUAGUGAGGACUCAGGCUUCCAGACUGUUAUCCUCAUGCUGAUUAUUCAUGCUGUAGGCAUAUCCAUGUGGAUCAAUUACUGACUUAGACUGUCCGGGGAAUCUGCACCAUGGGGGUCAUGUACGAUUUUCAUACCUGCCUCACUGGUCUUGCUCCUUCAUUAUUGUUUUCUUGGUCUGGAUCUUUGGCUAAAAGAGCUGGGCCAUAUUGUUUCUUUGUAUGACCAUAGAUACUGUUGGUGCAAUUUUCUCAGCAAUCGUAGCUUAUUCUCAUUUUUCUAACAGGGUAACCCAUUAAAUGGCAGGUUCAACACCUCUCAAGUUCUGAUUGUUGGGAAAUGAUCAUCCAAAAUCCUUGCAAGAACUCUGCAAAUAAAUCAGUAGCCACCAGAAUGGUCUUUAUAACUCAGAUCUGGGACAUUACUGAAAUAACUCAACCACGGCUCAAGACGGCCGAAAAACAGCUCAGGGCAUGAGACCGGGUCGAUAAGAAGAAGGUGGCAGCUCCCUAAAAUAGCCAAAAGCAGCUAUAGGGCUACUGUCACAAAAAGAAACUCAACAGCUGUACGAGACAGCCGAAAAGUAGCUCAGACUCGUGAUAGUUGUUGAAGAGAGAAACAAAAAUCGGCAUCCACCCCGGAUAGCUAGAAACAUCUUAGGUCACAGGCGUGGUGCCGUCAUUGGAGAAAAGGGGACAAGGGCCCAUCAGGAUCAUUUUCCAGGUUCACGGGUACUUGUAUUGAGCUCAUUGAUGUCGUCAAUCCUCAUAAUCCUUUGUCACACUGUGGUGUAUACUGGCUUUCUUCUAUUAACCAUUCUCACGUGGUUGUUGGAUCCUCAUCCGAGUGACUUGUAAAAUCUUGAUGGUAUUCUCAUUGCAUAUAUAUGAGAAUCUGAUUCCCGAGAUAGAUGUGUAUUCUGACUGAUUCUUGAGAUUCACUGCCAUAUGUUGGCAAUUCACAGUGUACUACCUUGUACCAAUGUCUUACUGAGGGAUAUUAGCUGGCUUGUGCUCGAAGCUUUCAUCGGAUAGCUUGCUGAAGAAGACUGGGUAUCGUGCUUCAGAAACUUACCCCCUUGAAGACUUUGCUGGGGAAAGACUCUGUACCUUAUGCUGGAAGCUUUUGAAGUUGCUUACUGAAGAAGACAGGGUACCUUGCACGGGAAGUCGUCCAUGUAUCGUACUGAGGAAGAUAGAUGAAUCUUGCCUUGGAAGCUUCUCUGGUAUUUUGCGAUUGAAGAUUGGGCUGCUUACACUAGAAGCUUCUUAUUGUGAUAUGCAGACCAAUUUCCACAUAUAUAACAAUCUGAAUAUUUUUUCUAUUGAUUUCUUGCAUGAAAUGGGGUUUUGCAGGACUAUCCUCCUUUCUGAGUAUAUGCCAUAUUUUUGCCUGCUUCCACAUACAUCGAGUUCCAAAAUCAUCCUCAACGAAAAAUUAAACUUGUAUCUGAGCCAUACCCUUGAUAAUAUUCUGUCAAGCUUGCACACAAUUUAUCUUCUUGCUAAUUUAAUCAUUUUGUUGUGAUGAGUGCACGUAAUGCAAACUUGAUACUGAUGGUCCAUCCAGGAUUUCUUUUGCAUCCAGACAAGAUAUUCCCAAUUUCACUGCGGUCAGCUGAUAAUUCCAUUCUGUUUAGCUGAAUUUCCAAAUAUAUGCAUUUCUUGCUGACUCUUCUUGUCUGGUGUCGGCUGACGAGCAACUUUAAUAGGGGGAAAUUUGUAACACCGAAGGCCCAAAGAAAGGAACAACAGAAACGACUAAAACAAAAGCACACAAGCAUACUACUAAUAUAAUUAAUCAAGAAAUCAUCACAUAUUACUGCUACUCACACAAUAAUAUGCAUGCACACCUAAUCACACAAAUCUCACGGAAACUCCGGUAUUAAGGUCUAGCAUGUUGUGAUGAUGUGCAUGAGGACGAAUAAAUGUGUGGAAGAAUUGGUGUAAACACACUACACCACGCACUAGACUUCCCUAUCGGUGUGUGUUGGGAAAACUCAUUUAUACUGACACACAGUCGGUCGGAAAAACUUGUAUCAGUCAGUAGGUCGGGAAUACACACUUGUAGCGUCUAGCAGUCUGUCGGGAAUGCUGGUAUAUUUCACGUCUGAUGGUCGGUCGGGAAUAGAAAGACUUCCAUCGAACUAGCAGUCGGCAAUUUUUCCCGACCAACUGUUGGUGGCUAAUUGGGCCGAUCAGUCGCGCACGCGGGAACGUGAAACAGUUGGCGCCGAAAUGAGCGCUCCCCAUGAAAAACCCUAUCUCCCCUUUUCCCCUUCACCCCCCAAAUCCCUCAGAUCUGGCACACAGUUUCUGCAUCCGCCGCCGCCCCCGCUCGAGUUCUCCCUCCGCCGCACAUGCUGCUCCCCACGCCGGCCAUGUGCUCUCCAGCCGGCAGGGCCGUCGCAUCCUCUCUCCCUCCCGUCCGCCGCUGACCCCACUCCACACUGCCGCUGGUGGUACCCCGUACACCAUACUGCCGCCGCCUCCACCGGUAGGUGCUUUCUCUGUCCUCCCCCCCUCCUCCGUCUACAGGUGCUCUCUCCUCCUGUCCGUGCGCCCUUCCCUUCACCGUCGCUCACUGUGCUGCCCUACACGCACAGGUGGUCUUGCUGUCGCCGUCCAAACCCUGCCGGGAGCUUCCCUUUUCGUCCGCGCCCAAGCUCACCAUCUCCUGGAGGUGCUGCCGGCCAAGAAGGUAUGCUCCAAGAUGCCUCUUCCAGAUCCAACUACGACAGUGGGUUGGUUUUAGUCCUUCUAAUGCAAGGUCUUUAUCCACCUCGUGUGUUAUCUAUUUCCCAGCAAUACAACGAUUUCUCUUCGGAAGAAUUGUUUUUCCCCUCCACAUGUUCCUGCUUAUGUUAUGUGUGGAUUUUGAAAUCUAAUUUACACGUACUAUGUGCUUUGAGAAGAAAACAAUGUAGUUUUUUUGCAUGAGCACACCUUCUGCAUAGUGGUCAAUUUGGUUGACCUUCGUUAUCAAAAGAAAUUUGCUUAGUGUAUUGUCAUCAUAAGUAACUAGCAUACUGCUUAAAUUUGGAACAUAGAACUUAGCUAUAAAUCUUAACUAUGAUGAUACUUUGUGGAGAAUGGCACAUUUAGAUUGAUUUUAAUGAUAUAUUUAUUGCUCUGAACCUUGGGUUAUCACCAUAGUUUAGACUCUUGAGUGUUGUUCUGGCUUUGAAAAGUGGGAUCCGAGAGAAUAUAUGAAAAUGCUAAUGAUGUCCUGUGACAAGUUGAGAUCAUGCACAAGAACAAUAAUUAUCUGUGUAGCAGUAAUACAUUAUAAGGCAAACCAAAACUUGAGAUUCUGGUUCAGUUUCAGCUCUUGCCUCCGCCCAUAAAUUAAGAUACCAAUUUAGCGUGGCACCUUUAGUUCCUAGUUGUCAUGAUAACAAUACUGUACCUGACUUGCAUAAUCUCUUGCUAUUCCUUGAUGAGCAGCAACUUAUUUUGAACUUGUAUAUUUUAGAAUUUGCCUUUUCCUGUUAUUUUGUGUGUGGACAAUGUAUGACACCACAUGUAUAACAUUGUUGGUGAACAUUUAAAGCAGUGCCUGGCAAAAGAAGGGGGCCAAACCUACUAACCUGCGGGAUCCGAACGACAUGUGGAUUUCCAAAAGGUUUUUUCUUAUACUGUUAGACACUAUUUGAUAAUGAUAUAAUGAAUUCUUGCUAGACUUAAUUGUUUCCUAUGAAGUUCAAUUCCUGGAACACCUAUUUUGUUUCCUAUGAUCCACAUGCGAGGCAUAGAAAGGGUUUGAUUUUGAUUUUAGUUUCAGUUUCAGAGUUCUAUUCACAUUUUGAAUUUUCUAGUUUUUUUUGUGUGUGGACAGUGUGUGAGGCAUUUAAAUUCACUAUUAAUCAUGUGUGCAGGUGCAACUAGCAUGGACAAAUAUUGGAUGGAUACACCUAGGUACAACACCCCAUAUGUUAAACAUCUUAGAUUAGAUGUUAGUACUUGCUGAAAUCUGAUGCAACGCGCUGCAUAUGUACACUUGCAUGUAGGCAUACGGAGAAGUACUACAAGGGCUUGCCAGAUUCUUACAAUGCAUUUAGUAAAUGUUCAGUUGAGAAUCAGGGAUUCAAUAUUCUAUAUUAUUCUUCUAAGGGUUUUUAGCAUACAAAAGUAUGCAUGGUUGUGCAGACUUUUAGCUUUAUUUUUAACAAGCUAUAGUUAAGUAAAGCAUCUGCUGUUAACGACCUGAUAUUUUUUAGUUGUACAAGUUGUUGCCAUCAAGUUGAAUGACAAAGUGAAACAUAACCUUUAACUUUGUCGUUUGUUUUGAUGUCCUAGUGCAGUGAUACAGCAAACAAUGUAGAAUGCCCUCACUUACUACUGACUAGCAUAUGGAACUAUGUGCUAGUCCAAUAAACACAUCUCCAGUUUCCUAUUAUUUCUUUGUUACAUAGGAAAUACAUGCAGCACUUCGUAAAUGGUUCCUUGUCCCUGUUUUUUUAUUGUGCACAGAGCUUGUAACUUUUCGGUGGGCCACUAUUAGAGGCCUGACCUAUAGAAAUUCACCGUGGUAAAUACCGCCAACCUCGCAGCCUGCUCCUCAUGUAGAUGUAAUUGUGUUGUCUUCAUACUUCACAGGUUUUAUGCUAGCCGUGGAAUAUUUUUCGCCACGUACGUUAUUCACCUAGGUAACUCCGCUGCUCUGUUACCACGAGCAGCUCCAUGCCUCAGUGAGGCCGGUCCCUAUUUUUUAGGACUAGGUGUGCUACUAUUCCUAUUUCCUACUGAUUUGUCCACUUUCUCUCUGUCCUACUACUCUCUUUUCAUUAAUCCCCCGAAUCUCUAAUCUUUGUUUGUGCAGAUUCUCUCUUACCUAUGAAUACAAGGUCGAUGAAAAUCCAAGCAAGUUGCAAGGAAGAUUGAUCUAUGUAAUAAUGCAAUAUGCAAGUUCUGUUGUCUCUGCUUAAUAACUUCUUUUUGUGAAAUUUAGUUGCAUUGAAUGAUUAAUUCCUCUCAUGCCAAUGUGGCAAUGUCUCUCGUCUGAAUUCUCAAUUGUCUUUGCCAGUUACAUAGUGGCUUACAUGCCACCUGGAUACUGGAGUAGCAUAGUAUCUGGGAAUAUGAUUUUAUUCUUUAGUCAUUUGUAUGCCACAUCUGGUAUCGUUGGUCCUUUCUGAAGGCCAAUAUGAAAGGGCAACUUAUAUAUGUCAAAUCGCAUGGGUAUUUUAGUUGGUACUUUCAGGUUUUGAUAUUACUCUAUCACUAGAAUUUCCUUUCGAACAUUGCAAUUAGCUUUUAUCAAAGCAUGGUAAGUAUUGAGAAAUUUGUUCAUCAUACCUCCCAGGUAAACUGGAAGUAUUGUAGUAGUAGUCAAGCAGGAACCAAUUCCAAUUGUAUCCUGGGGAUUUUCUACCUUAUUCUAGCUCCAGUGAAUAAUGUUUGCUGUGGCAGAUAAAGAAUAAUGUUUGCACUUACCUCACCCUGUCCUAAAUUGGUUUGCUUACAAAUGUUGCACAUGUCUUAUGUUUCCAUAGUUAGUUUAUUAUUGGAAAUUGGUGAUGAUCAGGUAAGGAAAGAAAUCUUCAAGUCUCAGGUUUUUCUAUAACCAUUCCCCCAUGGUGGUAAGCUCUCCCAGCAAAUCAUGAUGUGACUCGGAUCAGGUGUGCAUUUUUUCCUUUUUGUACUGUAAAAAAACUUUCCACUAAGCACACUAAAGUGUAGCACUCAAUAAACAAACUUCAUGAUAUUCUAUUCGAAUAAAGUAAUCUAUGAUGUUCUUGAAGUUUUGUCACGAGUGCCUUAUAUAAGUGCACCAUGGCCAUAAGUACGAGUAGCAUGCAUAUGUGCAUUGAGUAAUCCAACGUGAGGAAUAAGAGAGAUAAAAGCGGGUCCACAAUGAAAAGCGGUGUGGCAAGGCUUGCAUCUACUUCUAGUGGUUACCUAUACUUGAAUGGAGUGCCUUCUUGAGUAGGUGUUUUGGUACUAGCUUGCCUUGUGAAGUAAUAGCUGUUGUCAAUGCUAUGCUUUAUCCCAGUUUUUAUGGUACAUUGUAUUUAUGAAUGUAAGAAUGUAAUGGCAACUUCUUUACAUUUUGCAGGGAAGAAAUGCAAGCGGAGGAGGAACCAUGAAGCCGGCGGUUCAGGAUAUUUUGUGUAGUGGUGAUUGAAUCAUUGGUGAUGAAUUUUAUCUAUCAUUUUGUAAACCCACAUUAUGUUUGAGGCAAUGAACCUUAAUGUUUCCUCUAGUUAAUUAGCUAUAUUAGCUUAUGGGAAAUUUUGGAAGUCAUUAUGUUGAUAACAGAUGAAGUAUUUACAUGUGAAAUUAAUUAAUAUGUGUUUCUAUUGUCUGGUUAUGGUUUAUUAUUGCUGGAGGACAUGCACAUUAUUGUUAUGAAAUGUCUUGAUUGAUAUUUUCUUGGUAGUGCAAAUGUAAGCUAUGGUAGGGCUACUGGAUGUUGGUUGGAAAAAAACCAUGUCUGAAAGUCGUUUGGGGAAGCUAAUGCCAGGGCCAACGAAAAGUUGGACAGGAAAACAAACCCCAUCAGAUAGUCGGUCGGGAAAAGCACAUGGCAUGCCCUAUAGACUGUUGGUCGGGAAUACAACCCCAUCAGAUAGUCGGUCGGAAAGGCCCAUGGUAGGCCCAACAGACCGUCGGUCGGGAAAGGCCCAUGGUAGGCCCAACAGACUGUCGGUCGGGAAAGUUACGCCAUAGGUGACAAACAGUCGGUCGGGAAAGAUAUGUCGGUCGGGAAAGGCUUUUCCCGUCUAGACUUUCCCCAACAGACACAGUCGGUCGGCAAUAGUCUUUCCCGACCGACUAUCUAUUGGUGGAAGCUGUUUUCCCGUCCGACCUAGCUGUCAGGGAUGUAGUGUUGUGGUGUAGUGACAGCGCUACACCAAGUGCUACCUUAGCCAGAUAGCAACCUGGACUAGCUUGGAGGUGAGGACGUACUCGGUAAUCAUGUAGUAGGACAUGAAGGUCGCAGCCACAUUAUUAUCAAGCAGACGGAAAAAGAUCCGUACUCGUCCAAGAAAUAGGAUAGCGGGAAAAACUGAGACUGCUGACAUUGCCCUUUCUUGAUAACUAAGAUCAUUAAGGGUUGCCAACACGACGAAAUAAAAGAACGAUCCGGGAUAGACGCAUGUCCAUCACCGAAACGACAAACGAGACUGAAAGAAAGACAUCGGUGUGAUACCUGAGCACCAUUUUUGCAAACAGUGUCGGGAUCACUUGGCAUCACUCUGCUGGGACAGAAUUGACACCAAACACCGAAAGAAAAGGAACUGGAGAAAUGCAAAGGUUGAGCUGUAGUGGAUCCGAACCGAUGUCAGCUACACUCACUAGAUAAAUCGUUAGUAACAAAUAAUAAUCUAUAUGCAUGCUAUGCGACAAACAAAUGCAGCAAUCAAGUGCAACAAACCAAUUGGGGUCUAUACUACCGCUUUCUAACGUUCGCGCGGUCUAGGGCGUUCUGCAGCCAGACCAGCUCUGAUACCAAGCACUAUGGCACCCCGGCUUAGAGAUACCGGAACGCCCCGUAUUCUAGCCCAAAGAUCGAGGAGAAGUCUUCUGGAAUACGACACUACUUAGCAUAGAACAAACCAGCUUUCUAUUAUUACACGGAUAUGAAUACGAGGUCUCCGAUAUUACAAUGAAUAACGUCGAUACGGCGACACUACGCCAUCCUCAGUUGCUCUAUGCAAGUAGCAGAACAACUCGAAGCAACGGAAGAACUCUAGCAGCUAGCGGAACAACGACGACGGUGGUGAACUCCACGCCAUAGCGACUCUGGCUGGAAUGAUUAUCCUAGCUCGCACGCACGGAAACCACGACAGAAAGCAAUCAAAUUCGGCAUGACCUGCAAGCUGGCAUGACACGCGAGGUCAGUACAUUGAAUGUACUUGCAAGCUCACAAUAAUCUAGAAGCAUUCAAGACAGACAACAACAUGGCAAUUACAGGUUAAAUAGGAAUUAUCAUGAGAUCAUCAGAAUAGCAUGUCAUCAUCAACAUAAACAUGAUACAGCUAUCACAACAUGAACAUAUUAAUCUGACAAUACUAACAUGCAACAUGAUGACACUAUAUGCACCAAUUAUUCUGUUCGGCUACCUCGUAACCAACUCAUGCAUCACUUACCAACCUCGGACAUCACACGAUCAAGUCAAGAUCAAAUCAAGCUUGGUAUAAACAAUACUGUAGUAAUCAGUAAAUGACCACAAGGAGCUUGACCUUUACCCACGAUUCUCGUACAACAUCACGAAUAUACAACAACUCGGUAUCCUCGAUACCAUUUUUAUCCUUACGGCGAUCACAACCCGACCAACACUUGGUCCCAUACCAUGGUCCUUCAGGCGAUCACAACCCGACCUCUAAAUGGCCCGUGAUCCUUACGAUGAUCACAACCAACUUAUCUCACUAUUAUUAAGCACAUUAUUCUUAUUACUGUUGACUCAUGGUGUGACCUAUUUUCAACCUGGGCCCUUAUCCGCGGGCACGGCUAUCGAUAGAUUUAAUAUACACUCUGCAGAGGUUAGUACACUAUACCCACACUACGGAACCCAUGGCCUCGCAAUCCCAUUCGGGUGGACCAACGGCAUUCCCACAAAACCGUCCCCAUCGGGCUAGUCCUGGGUAGCCCCGUGUCUACCUCCAGACACAAUGACCACCGUCGUGGCCCAUCCCACUCUAGGACAAGGAUCCAAAAACUAACUCAACAACGGGCACACAAGGCUUAUGUCCGCCUACCUUAUCGGGGUAGUGUGCACCCAUAACGUUCCCUCGUUGGAGGCACCGGAGAGAGGCACAACAAUAGACCCAGUUAGAACCGUCCCAUACCGGUAAGCGUGGUUGCACUGGUCAGCAUCGAUUCAGCGGCACCAUGACUCAGCCAACAGUUGUUCAAGUUCAAUUUAAUCCGGUUAACUUGAAUGAAAAUAUGCUGAGUCAUGAUAAAAUGCAUGAACAUGAUAUCAACAUCAUCAUGAGUGUAUCACAUAACUUUCCACCAUAUCAACAAUAAAUCAUAUCCACUGAGCAUGGCAUACUGACUAGCAUGACCAUCACCAACAUCAACAUGUACUACUAGCAAUCAUAAACAUAUGAAAGGUAAUACUAGCAGGUAGAAUAUGUUAAUAGAGUACAAGACGGCAUAGCACAAAGGUGAACAUGCAACUCUAAACAUCACUGAAACAACGAUAACCAUCUAGUCAACAAGCAAAUAUUUAACAAAGAUUCAAGUUGAAAACCAUGUCUACUGCAUGACUAUCAUGCAAGUGGAUAUUGUGGCUUGCCUGGGGAUGAAGAAGGCACCGGGGAGAAGUGCGGUGAAGCCGCGGAACAAAUUGCCAGAAAACAUUCUCUCUCGGAGGGGGCUGAUUAAGGACAGGGGGAAAAUGGUCAUUUUUAGUAUGCCAAAACAUAAUGAAAGUGACACCAAUAGAAAGGGCUCGACGAAAUGAAGAAGUGAGCGUUGGAUUCACCUCGUUUGGAGUUACGGAUAAAAAGAUAUAAGGGUUUUACCAUCAGGGACCUAUCUGUAAACAUUUAUUUUACAGACUCGGCCAAAACAGAAAAACGGAAAGCGCAUUCCAGGAUUUACGCUUCCACUUAUCCGCGUCGCAGUGGCGGGGCCGGCUCCUGUGUGGCUGACAGGUGGGUCCCACCUUAUCCACUCCCUCUCUCUCCUCCCUUCUCUUCUUCCUCUCUCCUUCUCCCGACGCCGCAUGCUCCGGCCACUCGGGCCACCUUCGGCGGAGCUUGGAUCGCCGGAGUGCUCAGGACGGUGAGGCGCACCCGUCCCACCACCACACGAACAUCAAGGAGACUCGGGCAGGGCGGGACCGUGGCCACGGCGGACGGGGCUUCAGCCGACGAUAGAGGACGAGGCCAUGGCGAUUCCGGUGACUAACAGAAGGCUGCGGGAGAGGCUAUGGUGGCUGGGUGACCUACUAGAUGUGGAAGACAGAGGAGAGGGGCUUCGGUUCACCGGAAUCAGAGUGGACAGGGGCGGCGGCCAUGGCGGCAAGGGCGGGCUCGGGAGCUCUUGGAGCUCGAACGAGUGGACGGGGAGGUUGCUGGGAGUGAGGCGAGUCUCGGGGUGAGCUCGGACGAGGCCGGGGAUGGCUUAAAUAGCCGUGGGGCAAGGUGGCCGAGCUGGCACCGCCGCGGAUGCGUGGCUGGCGCCACGGACGUAUGCCCGCACGCAUGAACUCGGGGGCAAACGAUGGAGGAGGAGAAGUGGUGGCUCUCACGGGGCAGAGGAGGCCAAGGGGGCGCAGGGAGGAAGACAAUGGUGACGGGAAGAUCCAAAACCCCACUGUGCUCUCGUGUUCACACGGCGGCGAGCAUCGGUGAGCAAGCGGACGGAGGGGGAGUGGGGUCCAGGGGAACGGCGACGAGGAGAGGAAGACAAUGGACAAGCUCACGAGCGCGAAAACAGUGAGAGGGGGAGGGGCCCAAGCAAGAAGACGCUAAGGGCGCGGCCAUUGCACGCCAAAACGGUGGUCACCGCGUGCACUGGUGCACACCGUGCCACAAGUGAUGCCAAACCAUGUCUGGGGGUUAGUCCCUCAUGGGUAAGUUGUAACUACGGUGGUAACUAAGUGAAAACGUCUCUGGUUAAAUAGUUAGUGAGCUCUGAAGUUUACUGCAGUAAAAUUUACCAGCUCAAUGUGAUCAAUAGGGAGUUACUUGAAGCCAAAGAAGUUGUCUGGGGUGUAUAGCUAUGGAGGUACUAUGAUACUGGUGAUUUUGAGGGGAAAUGGAACAAGAUAAAUGAUAGUUGCUUUGCAACUGCCAAAAUGGUCCAGAAAUGAAGAUUAGGAUGGUGCACUCACAUGGAGUGUCCACAUGAGCUCACAUUGGGCAAGGCUUAGUCAUUUGGUCAUAUGAAGAUGCUCACAAAGUAUCAUACCAUUUGGCAAAGCCAAAAUGGUACUUGGUUCACAAACAUCUCUGCUGACCAGAAACUUGAAAUAAUUAUAGUGAUCAAAUGGAUCAAUGAAAUGAUGCCAAAUUGGGUGGAUAGAUGUUUUAUGGGUAUAAGAAUGAUCUGGUAAUUUAUCAGGAUUUUUGAAGCAAUAUAAAAUACACUUGCUUCACAACCUGAAAAUAUUGCCAGAAACAAAGAUUUGCUCCUGUUCUCACAUAGAUAAUUGUAUGGGGCUGCAAAUGGGUGGAAGGGUCUAAUAUGAGCACUCUAAAGAGUCUGCAAAAUUUUAACUCAUUUGGGGACUCCUUGCUAGUACUUCCUUCACAAAGCCUUCUGUUUGACAGAAACUUUGAAAAAUCACUGAGGAAGAUUGUCUAGGCAAAUAAAUUUGAACUUGUGCAUGGGGAAAUUAUUUGUACAUAUAAACAUGCCCAAAAAGGUUGGGAUUCAAUAGGAGAAAUAUAAAUCUCACUUCCUUCACAAACUGCCAUCCAGGACAUAAUAGAAAAAGGAAUAUUGGGGAAAUAUUUUUGAACAUGGCAAUGAAAAGUUUUGCCAUAUUUGAGCAAGAAAUGACCCAAACAAUUUAUGAGAAUUAUUUGGGAGUUUUUGGAGUGAUGGAAAUAUAGGUUGCUUCACAACCUAGGGCAAUUUGAGUUAUUCCUUUAAUUGAAAAGGAAUAUUCCCAAUAAAAAGAAUAUUAGGAUUUGGGCUAGGAUGGAAAUGACAGGUUCUAGGGAAAUAUUUGGGAAUGACAAGCCACUCUGCAAGCAAAGAAGAGGUCAUGUUCUUCAGUUUCCAGACCACAAAGCCACGGAAAAAGAAAACUCACGCAAAAACCUCGAAAAAACAAAAGAAAUUUGGAGUUACUAAAAUUUUAUUUGGAGUUACUAAAAUUUUAGAAAUUUUCAGAAAAAGAUGAAGAGAUUGUUCUUGAGGGGCUCUUCUAGCCAAGGCUCUAAGGAUAAACAAGCUAAGGAGAAAGAAAAGGCCAAGUAUAAUCUUCCUCGUGUGGCAGAAGUACGGCCGUGUGAAUGGCCUUGUGAUGAUUUCUUGAGAGCAGUGGGGAUUUAUGAUGACUUUUAUUCCUUGGCUGAUAAUGCUAGCCUCACCGACUUCCUCCAUGACCAAAUCGAACAGUAACUCUUACUCACUAAUACUUUCGUGCAAAACUUCUACUAUUAUCCUAAGAAAUCACCUCCUUCGGUAGAGUUUCAUUUAUAUGGUGUGGCUAGGGAGAUGACACUAUAUGAAUUUUGCACGGUUUGCAAGAUACCCCUCGGGGGCAGCUUAGAGGAACCACAUCGUAAAGAUGUGGAUGGAUUUAUCGAUACUAUUAUCUUAGUGGAAACGAGGAAGGUUUCCGAUGCCAGAAUUACUAGCAUACAUUGCAAUAUUUGCUAGUCGAUGCUUAAUUGGUCGCGGAAACUGUGGAAACCUUAGUGUUCCUGAUCUUAGUGUUCUCAAGAGUGCUGUAUUAGGUGAUAAACAAUACAACUUGGGGGCAAUUGUUGCACGUAGGUUGGUUUAGUUGGACACUUGUUUGGAGGGAUUUAUGCAACCCGUGUGGCUAAUUAUCUUGGUAUACCUGCACAUGAAAAUGAUAGGGAGUUGGCUCCCUCUUAUUUAGAUUAUAAUGCCAUGGUUAAUCGUCAUUUUCUUGAGAGGAAUGAACAAUUCCUCCAGUAUCGACUAAUCUUUGACAGAUGUCGCGCUGUCCAUAUUAGUCUCCCUGCUCUUGCCCUUUUUGAUUAUCAGGCAAAAGGAAGAUAUGUUAUCACCAAGGAGGAGGCAAACGAGUACGAGAGGAGGACAGAGGUAGCUCGCCGCCAUGCUGCAGCUCAGGAGGCAAUCGCUGCUGCAUCUCAGUACGACCCUAGUUACAACUUCGGAUAUCAGCCAGGCUACCCAUGGCCAUAGACCAACUUAGGCCAAAAGCCUAAGCUUGGGGAGUACGUAUGUCGGUGCUCAUACUUUUUCAUGAUACUAUCCUUGCUAGUUUAAUUUCUCUUCUAGCUUUCUUCUUGUGUGUUUGAUAAACUUUAAGAAAAACCAAAAAAAUAGCUAGUUUAAUUUCCAUGCUAGUAGUAGUAAUUAAAAGAAAACCGAAAAAUAUUUCUCGUUCUUCUUUUGCUUGUUGGGAGCUUUCCCGUGUAAAUAGUUUUAUUUCUUUUUCUUUCCUUUUGGGGUCGAGAGGAGAAGACCAUGAUGAAAAUGCUUAGUGGCUCUAAUAUGCAUGAUUGUUGAUUUAACCAAGAGCCCAUAUUACCUUGUCUUCUCCCUUGAAUUGAAUGCUUGCAGAUUCCAGCUUAGUCCACUACACGUGCACUAUUAUUAUUAUUAUUCACAUCGUUCGGUCGUGCAAGUGAAAGGCAAUAAUGACGAUAUAUGAUGGAUUGAUUGAGAUGAGAGAAGCUGGUAUGACCUCGGCCUAUCUUGUUUUUGUAAAUACGAUUAGUUCAUCAUUCCUGAUUCAGCCUAUUAUGAAUAAACAUGUUUGCAAUGACAAUUAGAGAUUAUAGUUUCUUAUGUCAUGCUUAAUUAGCUAGGAGUUUAUAAUGGUUUAUCUUGCGUGCCAACAUGCUAUUAAAAUGGUUGUGAUGUGGUAUGAUAGGGUGGUAUCCUCCUUUGAAUGAUUCGAGUGACUUGACUUGGCACAUGUUCACGCAUGUGGUUGAAACAGAAUCAACAUAUCCUUCAUGAUAUUUGUGUUCAUGGUGGAUUAUAUCCUACUCAUGCUUGCACUCGGUGUUGAUUAAUUUUAAUGCAUGUUCAUGACUGUUGUCGCUCUCUCAGUUGUUCGCUUCCCAGUCUCUUGCUAGCCUUCACCUGUACUAAGCGGGAAUACUGUUUGUGCAUCCAAACUCCAUAAACCCCAAAGUUAUUCCAUAUGAGUCCACCAUACCUUCCUAUAUGCGGUAUCUACCUGCCGUUCCAAGUAAAUUUGUAUGUGCCAAACUCCAAACCUUCAAAUGAAAUUAUGUUUUGUAUGCUCGAAUAGCUCAUGUAUCAACUAGGGUUGUAUGUAUCUUCCAUGUUAGGCGGCUUAUUCUCAAGAGGAGUGGAAUCCUCUCCUCAUUCACGAGAAAAUGGCUGGUCACCGGGAUACCUAGUCCCAUGCUCAAAUCAAAUCAAAAUAAUUAAACAAAACUCCCCCACGAUUGUUGCUAGUUGGAGGCACACGUUCUUUCGGGCAAGCCAUGGAUUGAUGCUUGUUGGUGGUGGGGGAGUAUAAAAUUUACCAUUCUGUUUGGGAACCGCCUAUAAUGUGUGUAGCACGGAAGAUAUCGAGAUCUCAUAGUUGUUACAUUGACAGUGAAAGUAUACCGCUCAAAAUGCUAUUCAUCUCUAUUUCAAAAUCGAGCUCUGGCACCUCUACAAAUCCCUGCUUCCCUCUACGAAGGGCCUAUCUAUUUACUUUUAUGUUGAGUCAUCACCCUCUUAUUAAAAAGCACCUGCUGGAGAGCACCGCUGUCAUUUGCAUGCAUUACUAUUUGUUUAUAUUGGGUAUGACUAUGACUGGGUCUCUUUUACCAUGAAUUGGAAUGUUUAGUCAGUCCUUAAUCUUUAAAGGUGAUCUGCAUUUAUGUUUUGCGGUCUCAGAAAGGGCUAGCGAGAUACCAUCUUGUUAUAUCAUAUUAUGAUUGUUUUGAGAAAGUGUUGUCAUCCGAGAUUUAUUAUUAUUGCUCGCUAGUUGAUUAUGCCAUUGAUAUGAGUAAACAUGAGACCUAAGUGUUAUAGUGAAUAUGGUUAGCUCAUAAUCUUUGCUGAAAACUUGAAUGCAGACUUUACAUAUUUACAACAACAAGAGCAAACAGAGUUUGUAAAAGUUUUUCUUUAUCACUUUCAAUUUAUCAACUGAAUUUCUUGAGGACAAGCAAAGGUUUAAGCUUGGGGGAGUUGAUAUGUCUCCAUCGUAUCUACUUUUCCAAACACUUUUGCCCUUGUUUUGGACUCUGACUUGCAUGAUUUGAAUGGAACUAACCCGGACUGACGCUGUUUUCAGCAGAACUGCCAUGGUGUUAUUUUUGUGCAGAAAUAAAAGUUCUCGGAAUGACAUGAAAAUCCACGGAGCAACUUUUCAGAAUUAAUAAAAAAUACUGGCGAAAGAAACAGCAUCAGGAGGCCCACACGCUGUCCAUGAGGGUGGGGACGCGCCCCCUCCCCUAGGGUGCGGCCCCUGCCUCAUGGGCCCCCUAGACGUCCACCGACCUCGACUCCAACUCCAUAUAUUUGCUUUCGCGGAGAAAAAAAUCAGAGAGAAAGUUCCAUCGCGUUUUACGAUAUGGAGCCGCCGCCAAGCCCUCAUCUCUCUCGGGAGGGCUGAUCUGGAGUCCGUUCAGGGCUCCGAAGAGGGGGAUUCAUCGCCGUCGUCAUCAUCAACCAUCCUCCAUUACCAAUUUCAUGAUGCUCACCGUCGUGCAUGAGUAAUUCCAUCGUAGGCUUGUUGGACGGUGAUGGGUUGGAUGAGAUUUACCAUGUAAUCAAGUUAGUUUUGUUUGGGUUUGAUCCCUAGUAUCCAUUAUGUUCUGAGAUUGAUGUUGCUAUGACUGUGCUAUGCUUAAUGCUUGUCACUAGGUCCCGAGUGCCAUGGUUUCAGAUCUGAACCUAUUAUGUUUUCAUGAAUAGAUGUGAGUUCUUGAUCCUAUCUUGCAAUUCUAUUGUCACCUAUUAUGUGUUAUGAUCCGACAACCCCGAAGUGACAAUAAUCGGGAUACUUCUUGGUGAUGACCAUAGUUUGAGGAGUUCAUGUAUUCACUAUGUGUUAAUGCUUUGGUCCAGUACUGUAUUAAAAGGAGGCCUUAAUAUCCCUUAGUUUCCAUUAGGACCCCGCUACCACGGGAGGGUAGGACAAAAGAUGCCAGUUCUUUUCCAUAAGCACGUUUGACUAUAUUCGGAAUACAUGCCUACAUUACAUUGAUGAACUGGAGCUAGUUCUGUGUCACCCUAUGUUAUAACUAUUACAUGAGGAAUCGCAUCCGACAUAAUUAUCCAUCACUGAUUCAAUGCCUACGAGCUUUUCACACAUUGUGCUUUCUUACUUACUUUACCGUUGCCACUAUUACAAUUACUACAAAACUGCUACCGUUACUUUUGCUACCGUUACCGUUACUUCCAUACUACUUUACUACUAAAUACUUUGCUCCAGAUACUAAGUUAUCCAGGUGUGGUUGAAUUGAAAACUCAACUGCUAAUACUUCAGAAUAUUCUUUGGCUCCCCUUGUGUCGAAUCAAUAAAUUUGGGUCCAAAUACUCUACCCACGAAAACUGUUGUGAUCCCCUAUACUUCUGGGUUAUCAAGGUCCCAUAGGACCAGCGCACCAGAACAGCAACCGCCGCCGAUGAAGAGUAGCGUAAAUCGAAAGGAUCCAACCUGAAAACACACGAACGUAGACGAAUGACGAACAUAUCCAAGCAAAUCCACCAAGGACAGAUUUACCGGAGACACACAUCCACACGCCCACCGACAAUGCUAAAUGCACCAGCAGAACUAGGGCUAGGCGAGGAGAACCUUAUUCCAUCUUCAGGGAGCAACCACUGUCUCGUCUUCCUGAGUUGGACACAAACCCUAGCACAUCUCGAAGACACAUCUAAAAACCGAGCCUUCCCACAGGCAAAGGCCAGGAUCCGCCGCGCUCCCAUGACCCUAAGGCAACUGGAGAUGAGGCGGACCGGCGACGGCACCGGUAGGAGGCACAAGAAUCCUAGUUGGGGAGGAGGCCGCGGCCUGAGGAGUCAUGUAAUGUCCUUUAUAGGUUCACCGGUUGGCCCCUUCUAUUCUGCCGCUGCAGAUCUGACACGUCAGAACGAAUUGUUGCAAUCACCAGGCAGCAGCGAAUGCUAGCGAUUUCGGGAGCAGCUGAGCUCGAGCACAGAAUUGCAGCGUCCGGCGAGCGUAGUAGCCAGAGGAGAAACCGAGCGUGUGUAAAGCGCUAAACUACACUGCCCUAACAGAGCGUGCGUGUGAGCGCUCAUGCGCCAACCAACGCCAUAAGCAUGGUAGAGGAGCGCUCCUGCAAUUUGUUGCCUCAAAUUGGUGGGAAAACACAUAAGGACAGGCACUAGUCGGCCCAUUCAUUUCAUACUGUACAAACCCGGUAGCCAAGAUUUUUUCGGUGUUGUACACUUUUAAGCGCUUCUUUCAAUUAGGCGUUUUCUUUCUCGUAUUUUGAAAAACAUUAGAAAAACUUAUUUAUUGAAAAACUAAGUAUUGAGUUUUUACAAUAAUUUUACAAAAUGUGUACAUUUUUAAAACAUGAAUGUUUUUCAUAAUGCAGACCAUUUUUUCAAGUUUUGAACGUUUUUUCAAAAACACGAAUAUUUUUUGAAAACACUAAAAAAUUGUGAAAACAUUCAAAUGAAAUUAUCCAUUUUGAAUACUAUUCAUAUAUUUAAUAAACAUGAACAUUUUUGAACAUUUUGUGAAAAAACUGAAAAAGAACGAAGAAAACAAAAAAUAAAACCAGCAAAAGAAGAAAACCUCAAAAACCGGAAUCCUUAUUGCGUCAUAAUAAUGCAUGACUAUUUUUUAUGAAUAUGUCUUCGAAUCAAAAAUGUCUGUUAUAUAUGCAUUUGCCUAUACCUCACUUGUAGUGAGACAAAAGAACACAAAUCCUCAGGCCCCCUGUAUUGUGGCCUAGGGAUCCAUCAUUAUCCAGGAAGCCGGCUUGGUAGGCCGGCCUAGGGCCUUAUAGGCUGGUUUGUCUAGGGCCAUCAAUUUGGCCCAUGGAUCCAAUUAGAGAAAGGCCCGAGGGACUUGGAGCGGGUGACAGGGCGACUAGCGUCCAGGAGAACUCCUCCAACGACCAACUACGAUCGUGUAAUCCUAGACCCCAACACCCAUAUAUGUCGUGGCCAGAUUAGUCAAUAGACACAGAACCUUAGAACUAUUGCUCAAUCCAUCGAUUAUUGUAACCCCUAUACACAAGCAAUAUACACGAGCAGGGGUUAGGAUUUUACCUCAUCCAUGAGGGUCUGAACCUGGAUAAACCCCUUCUUAUUUCCCAUUUUGCUUAAUCGCAUGGCCAGAGUACCUUAUCAAGUGAUCUGCCGGAAAUAACUCCACCACGUCAUAAAUGGGCUAGGGCCAGAUAAUUUUUUUCUCCUUUUCUCUUAUUUUGUUUCUACUUUUGGUUCAAUUUAAAACAUCUUGUAAAUAUAUAUAUUUGGAAAGAUUCUUAAUCAAUUAUUAAUAACAUUCACUGUGCCUGAAAUAAUGGUCAUGAAAUGUAAUUAUUUUUUUGCACAAUUUGAUAAAUUGUUCAUAUCCUUCAAAAGAAUAUUCGUAUCAUUUUUAAAUGUUCGGAUGUUUAAAAAAUGAAUGAUUUUUUAACAAUGUUUAUUAAUAUAUAUAUAUAAAUUAACAGUGUAAUUUGUAAAAAAUAUUCAUACCAUUCAAAAAAUGUUUAACACUUUAAAAAUGUUCAAACAUUUUAAUUUUAAAUAUUUUUUAGUAAAUACUAUUGAAAUAGAAAAAAAUUAAAAGUUUAUAACAUAUAAAAAUGUUUGUAAAAUUUUCAAAUAUGUUCAUAAACACUUACAAAAUGUUUGGCACUUUUACGGAUAUGUUGAUGUCUUAAUUUUUUGAAAACUAUCAAUGAAAUUUACAAAAAUGUUCCUAACAGAAAUGCUAUUACAAAAAUUUAUGAAUAGAAAAUGUGUGUAAAAUUUACAGAAAUGUUCACAAUUUUUUGAAGGAGCUCGGGAUCCAAACAUCCACUCUCUACCAACUAUAUGCAUGUAUGUUGUAGCAAGCCAUGAGCCAAGGGUUGCUACAUGAUCAAUUGCUGAUAGUGCAGUGUGUUUUCUUCAUUUUGGGCAGAUCACAAGUGUUUGACAUCUCUCUCUGCAUUGGGUAUCCUUUUCCACUUGAAUUUUAAGAUACGCGGAAUGUGCUUUCCUUGUUGUUGCCUCGUCAUUCCAGCAUGGAAUCAAAGCAAAACUGAUAUUACUUCCCUUAAAAAUUGUCUCGCUAUCUAUCUCCAUAACAUGCCCAUUGGACUGCAUGGCGGAAGUGAAGGUGUGCGCCUAGCCGGCGGAGAAGACGAACUCAUCUGUGACCUCUGAUGAGCCCAUGGUGCAUGUGGGUUGGAACACUGCUUAGGAAAUCUAGACUUAUUUUGCAGGCAAGCCAAGAUGAGAUCUGUAGGCCCAUGUGAAUUCCAUCAAAAUCACGGUCAGUUCAACUCUGGUUCGAAUCCUAAUAAAAAUAGAUCAACGGUCCUAGAUGGUUAUGUCCAUUGCUAAAAAAUGCAAUUGUUGAAAGAGUCGAUAUGACUAGUAGCUAGAGGACGCUGACACCCCUCACUUCUUCUACACGUACUAAACAAACCCUAGCUUAUCCAACUCAAUUUGCUUUAAGGUUUGUGUGUGAAAGAAGUAGUCUUAAAACCAAACACCACACUCUUCAACUUGAGAAAUCAAUAGUCCAUUUACCUAUGGAUAUCAACUCUAUAUACAUCAUACUUGAUGUGUCAAGUUGAUAAUACUUACUAAACAUAUUUUAAAUUACAAUAUCUGGUGCUUCACAGUCGGUUAUGAAAUUAAUGUUCACCCAUCCAAUGCAAUAAAAAGUAUGUGAAUGAUGUUAACACACGCGCGCGCGUGUGUGUGUGAGAGAGAGAGAGAGAUUAGAGUACAUUUUGUCCUGAGAGAGAUUAGAGUACAUUUUGUCCUGAUGUCCACCAUAGUUCCACGAUCAAUACAUCUAGGAGGAGACAAUCAAAAUACCGACAGAAAAUAAAUAUUUAAUAUGUAAAUGGUAGGUGACAAAUCCAACCACAAAAUUGUGCAAACAACCCACUAGCUAGUUUUAUUGAAUAUUAAAAUGACAUAGUUGAUUUCUAAAACAUACAAAAUUUAUUAUCUCAUCAACACAUAAUUAUUUUGAGAACAAUAAGGUUGAGAUUUAUCCACCCAAAAUAGGGGAGAUAACAAAACUAUUGUGUUGUUGUUGCUGGUGUGCAAUUAAUCUUGCAGGGACAGUUGAUGAAGCAUUCUCCAAGAUCUGGCCAGCACAAGUUAUCUAUUUGACAGCAGAAUUCCCGUCCUGGGAGCUGGUGCCCAUCUUUAUAACAAGGGGGUCUGGUUACAUGGCUUACUUUGCUCAUCAUGUUUCCCCCCUUGUUGUUU